AGGAGUCUUGGAUCAGCGACCAAUAUCAAUACUCUGCUUCCAUUCUGAUUAUCAGGAAGAACUUCUUCAAGAUCAUCCCAUAUCUCACUGUCAUCGAAGACAUCAUCAAGCACAAUAAAGUACUUACUGUUUGUUAGGUAAUCUCGAAGAAUAGAUUUCUUCAAUUGAUAAUCUUCACCGAUAAUUACCCUAACCCGAGCUGGAGGCAUCACAGACUUGAUUAUGUCAUCCAAUAUCUUGCCAAAAUCGUAGGCAAUAGAAACCCUGACCCAAGCAAGAGUCAAAAUAGAACUUGACAUGAUUAUUGUUAAAAGUAUCAGCAGCAGAAGCAGUCUUAUCGAAGCCACUGCUGUCGAAAAUUGCAACCACUGAUAUCGAUAGAUCAAACAACUUCUCUCUGCCCUUUUCAAAUUCACUGAUAUCGAGCCGAGGUUGUCCCUCAUUCAAUAGGCGAAUGAUUUUGUUACUUUGUUCACUGAUAUCAAAACCAUUGUCGCCGGGUGGAAGUUGUUGCAUCUGAUUUCUAAUAUCAAAGUGAAAAAUUGCUGCUUUCACUUUCGUUUUCACUGUUUUGCUGCUGCAUGAUGUUGAUAUUGACAUAAUUUUAUUUUAGUUUUUGGGGAAAAAAAUAUUUGUUGACAAGCAAGAAAAUAUUUUUAUAUUUUAAAUUUAUUAUACAUAUUUUAUCAUUUUAAAGUAAUUUUAAUAAUAAAUAGAAACAUAAUAUUACGAUAAAUAAAUUAAAGUUUAAAUUAUUUUAAAUAUUAUAAAAAAUAAUUCUAAUAUUAUUAAUAGGAAGACAUUUUGUUAAUUUUAAAAUUUUUUAACCCAAAGGUUUAUUUAAAAUUUUUAUUAUAAAUAAAAAUAUAAAAUUAAAUAUCAUAAUUUAAAUUUUUUAAUAUUAUUUAAGUAUUAAAAAUAUUUUAAUGUUAUUAGUCUACUACAUAGAUCAUAUUACUUAUAUUAUAUUUGUAAUGAUUAAAAAUUUUUAAAAUCAAUUUUCUAGUUACUAUAUUCACGAGAUAUUAUGGUUAAAGAAAAGACCUUGGUGUUACUUUUUACAAAUUUGAGUGCCUACAUGAUAAUUUUUUCAAAAUUUAAGAAUGUAUGUAUCCUUUUCUCCAAUAAUUUAUUUCACUUUUGAGGGGAAUCCAAUGAGAGAUAUGAUAAGAGAACGUCAAUUAGUUGUCAUUUUCUACUUUUUCUGUAAGCUAUUUAUUUUGAGCAUUAGUGAUCUUGUCUGGACUACUCCAAUUAUUGAUGUAACUCCAGUGACUGCAUCCACAAUUGAAUAUAUGAUAGUGUUAGCUCUUAUUUGAGAAUUUAUAUAGUCUUGCUGUUAAAGAACUCACUGAGGCAUUAUUGAUUCAAUUUCAGUGGAGCAAUCGCGGGUGAAGGAUAAAUAAAGGAUCAGAACAGAGCUGAAGUGCUAAAUUGGCUAUUGAAGAAGGAUGUCACAUGAUCACAAUCACAUUGAUGCACAACUCUCUGGAGGCAAAUUUUGUCUUUAUGUACUCUAAAUUCAGCCAAACCAUACAUGCAUGAACAAAAAUUAAACCGUCGUUCUAAUCACAACAGUAAUUGAAGCUCCAAAAGCAAGAAAAUCUGAACAAAGACUUAAAAGAAAGAUCUUAUUCAAGUUUGUCCCCAAAAGACAGCUGAAAUGAAAAAUAUUGACUAUUGAAUGGAUCAAUGCUGAAUUACAUUUGAAAUGGAAAGCUUGGCUGCAUCUAUGAUGUUUCCCCCUCUGAUUUUCCCCCAAAACAAAUUUAGUUGUAAACAAUAACGGAAGCAGCAAUAAUUUAUUCACCAAAGAAAAUGCCCAAGAUUUCAACUAACAGAUCCUCUUAUCUAAACUAAAAGAACUCAUAUCUCUAAAAUCUACCCGCAAAAUGUUGGAAAUGAGGGAUGAUCUGUCAACUCGAUAAAUAAACUCAUGCAUAAUAUUAACAAUAAUGGUAAAUUACAUAAUAAUUAUUAUAAAGAAUCAUAAACUGGAAACACUAAUCAUUCUACAAUCUAUUAUAUAAGUAAGAUAAAUCUCAUGAUAAGUUAAGUUAUAACGUGAUAAAUAUUUUCAAUAUAUAAUUAUUUAAGAAGUCAUUUAAUAAUAUAUAUUUUUUAUUUUGUUGAUCAUGUCAUAUAGCGUUAUCUAAACUCCUGACAAAAUUAUUAUUACUCACUUUUCUCAAAAAAACAUGAUUAACGUUUAGAGAAAAGUCAUGCCUUUUAGAAAGAAUAUGUAUACAAGCUAUCCAUACUUUAUCUUACCGUGACAAAAUUGAUGGUGAUUAAAUCUAUUUUUAAAAUAGAUUUAAUGCACAAAUAUGAUGACUUUUGGCAAAAAUUAGUUUCGGAAGAUAUAGUGGUAGAAAAUAGUGAUGAUUAUUGUUUAAAUGUGUAAAUAGCCUAAGCAUAGCCCGUAAUACCAAUAUCCAUUUGCACCUUCAUUUGGAUUAUCACAUUUCAUGAUAUUUUUUCAUUCAUGUCCAUUGAUCAAGAUUUGAAUUUGAAUAUAAAUUAAGCUGCAAGGGAGCUUACUUCGGUUUCUAAGCUUUCCAAUUGUGAUUCCUGCAUGCCUUGCUCUGAUACUAUUUUGUUACAUACCAAUGUAACCAACCUUGUAAUUGGUCUGUAUAAGAAAUCAAGCCCUUUUAGAAUCGUUUUCUUUUGUUUCCCCAUUGUAGUAGUCAACUAAAUAAAGAAUGAACAACUGAACUUGAUCUAUUUUGAUGAAGACCAAGGCCUUCAAUACUAGAUGAACUUUGAAGAAGAUUAAUCUACUGCUUUUAUUCAUCUUUGGACUAUGAAUUUAUACAAAGACUUUAACAGAAAAUAACAAAGACACAACUAAAUGAUAGCAACAAGUGUUGACUUACUGGACCACUUCUACAAGUAAAAAAAAACUAAAUAUUUAUUUUGACUAUAACAACAACUACCCUGAUGAACAACACUCCACAGCAGCCACGUGACAACUAAUUUCUCCUUAAUAUUAUUAUUAGUAGAAGUAGAUUUUCAAACUAGUCUUGAUAUAUUUCAAAGUUGUAUUAACAAUUUAUAUGUAUCUAGAUUGUAACUAUAUUUUUUAAAAAUAAAAUAUUUUAAUUAUUGCACAUUAAAUGUAGAAGAAUAUCUGUAAAAUAAUAUUAUUAGGACUAAAAAAUAUUAUUUUAGAUAAGUUAUUUAUUUAUUAUUGAAUUAAUAAUUUAUUAAUUAUUAGCAGAAGUAUAUUUUCGAACUAGUCUUGAUAUAUUUCAAAGUUGUAUUAACAAUGUAUAGGUAUCUAGAUUGUAACUAUAUUUUUAAAAAAUAAAAUAUUUUAAUUAUUGCACAGUAAAUGUAGAAGAAUAUCUGUAAAAUAAUAUUAUGAGGACUAAAAAAAUAUUAUUUUAGAGAAGUAUUUUUUUAUUAUAGAAUUAAUAAUUUAUUAAUUAAUUUAUAAAUGAAUAUUUAUUAAUUUAAAGAGAGACUUUUUUGGUUUUAUGAAGAGUAUGUUUGGUACAUGUUCACACUUAUAAAGAAACACAAAAAAUGCUUCCUCAAGUCAACGGUAUUUGCUUUAAUCGCUACUGUUCAUAAUAAUAUAGCUUAGUUAGGAAAUUUGUAAUUAUAAUAUGACUCUUUUAGUACAACUUUUCAAGUAGAGUUUAUUUAGGUAGAGAUUUUGUUAGGAGAGGUAUUAUAAAUAGAGAUUUCACUAAAAAAAUUUAAUUAUUUGAUUAUAAUAUCCAAAUUGAAGAACUUUUGUUCUUUUGUUAACAUCUGUUUGUUUUACUUAAUAAUAAAAGUUUAGUUUACAAUUACACCGGUGUCAAAUCAGCAGAGCAUCGGCAAGAGUUUUCGAUUGUUGCAAUUUGCAAUGCAUGCGGUACAUGCACGCACUAAUAAAGAAACACAAAAAGUGCAUUCUCAAGCCAAUAGUAUUUGUUUUUAAUCGCUACUUUGCAUAAUAAUGUAGCUUAGUUAGGAAAUUUGUAAUUAUAUUAUGCCUCCAUUUGGUAUAAUUUUUUAAUUAGAACUUAUUUAAGGAGAACUAUUGUUUGUAGAGUUUUUAUAAAUAGAAAUUUUAAUUAAAAAAAAUUAUAAUUAUUUAGUUGUCAAUGUCCAAAUUGAUGAACUAUUGUUCUUUUUGUUAACAUGUGUUUGUUUUACUUAAUAAUAAAACUUUAGUUUACAAUUACACCGGUGUCAAAUCAGCAGAGCAUUUUUGCAGCCCGUCACAUUAUACAUUAUACUAAUAGCAUCGGCAAGAUUUUUCGAUUGUUGCAACUUGCAACGCACGCGAUGCGAGAAAAUGAGAAUCUUGUUUAAUUGUGAAUAAUGACAAACCUAAUCCUUUCAUUAGGAGCAAUUUAAUAAUCGUUUGUUAUAAUUGAAUAGGUAUAAAGAAAGGACAACUCUAUUCAUAGAUUCGGCUUAUUUUUUGUUUAAAGUAAUUAAUCCUCUAAAACUGAAUUUUAUUUUAUCUGGUGCAUGUUAAAUGAUGUGAGGCCUAAUUUAGGUUUUUGGUUAGCGAAUCAAUUUCAAAGUGUGCUUAAACGGUAUAGGACUUUAUUUCCUGGUCCAUACAUUACUCUGUUAGCUAUAAACCUAUGUGUGCUUGAUCCCGACAAUAAUGAUUUGCAUCCUGCUUGCAAAAAGGAAUUUUUGGAUAUGUCUGUGUUUGAAAGAACAGGUGUGGUCGAAUUCAAGAAGGGGAGAUUUUAGUUUACUGAACCAGGACCCACUCAACUUCCGAAGAAGCUUUAUGCUAGGAGUGGUGCUACCUCUGAUGACGAGUUUGACGACGACACUGCUGCCCCGCCAACUAUUCCUUCUACAUCCGCACCACCUUUGAGCAUUCAGUUAGAGAAAAUGGAGCACAAGCUGAACAAGAUGGAGCAGAAUUUGGCCGCAUACUUCGAGAGUGUGGGAUUUACCCCACCAUUUUCGCCAAGCCCAUAGACGUUAUGUGGAUCAAAGCUCACAAUUCAGGGAAGUUUCUUUUUGCCCUUAAUCUUUUAUCCUUACGCUUUAAUUUUUAUGUGAGCUUUGAUUAUCUUACAUUGGGGACAAUGUAAGUUCUUGGUGUGGGGGAGGGAUUUUGAUGUCUGGAAUUAUUAUUUUCACUCUACUCAUAUAUUUUCACUCUACUCAUCCUUAAAUGAUUUUGGAGUUAGUAUGCUUCAUACAUUAUUAAUUUUCUUUUCCUCUCUCUCUCACUACUCUUUUCCCAUCUAUCUCAAAUUAUUUACAUCUAUUUUUAUUCUAUCAUACUCUUUCAUCACUCACAUUUUAUCUUUCACUUUUCAUAUUACUACAUACAUCUUUCUCACUUCUUAUCAUUUUUACAUUUUCUUUUAUAUAUCACUCAUACCUUCUUCUCAUUCUACACCACUAUUGAUGGUUGAUUCAUUUGAAGAGUGUACAUGAUUUGAUGGCAAAUUUACCAACUUUGUGAGGAUUUGAGCCUAUGAGCAACCACUUUGCUCUAAUAUUUUUGUUGUGUGAAUAUCAAUCUUAGUUUGUUUAUUGUAGAACUUGCUUUGUUAUGCAUGUUGAAGCCGCAUUACGGGAUUUUAUGCAUUAAAAUGAUAAGGGCAAACCCUUUUCCAUUUUUCUAUUCUCGCAUUUUUUUUUCUCUACCCGAAGACCUUUAUUUGCUAUCUUUGUUUGAGCCUUAACCAUUACCCACCUAAUUUUCUCCGUCUACUUAACCAUUUUUCUUCUUUUUGAGCCUCAAUUUACGGAGAUUUUUGGACUCAUUGUGUGGAUGUAUUUUGUUGCUUUUUCUACCUUGUAAUAAAGUUUCUCAAUUAGAUCAACAAGCAUUAUGCUUGAAUUAAAUUGUGCAAGGUUCGUUUCUUUUGUUUGAUUCAAAAAUAAAAAAAAACAACAAAAAAAAAGAAAAAGAAAAAUCCAAAAAAAAGAAAAAAAAAUGUUUACAUUCUUGGUGACUUGAGUAGAAAUAAGUAUUUUGAUAUCAUAAGUUCAUUCAAUGAGUUCAUUCUUCUCAUUUUGAUCUCUUUUUCUUUCGUAAACCUUUCUUUUUCAUUCAACCUAUUUAACCCCAUUACAACCCUUUUAAGACCCUUAGAUUUUUGCAUUUUAUUCAUGUUUUGUGGAUUGAGAUGUGAUAUAUGAGCAAGCUUAUGGUAAUAGCAUUCUUUGAUUUGAUUUGAGUGAAUAAAUGACACCCUAAACACUUUGAGUGCAUGGAGUGAAGUUAUUGAGAGGGCUAUUAAAUCUUGUUGCACUUGAAUUUUGAAUGGAUCUUCUUGGUGGUUGAAUGUUCUUAUUCUAUCUUAUGAAAUUCUAUGCUUUAAAAUCCUUGUCUCUUGAAUGUUGAUCGACUUAAUUUCUUGAGGUAUGCUUGCUUAAAAUUGUUUUUGGAUGAGUUGAGAUGAGAAUUGAGUGGAGAUUUGAGAUUAAUCUUGAGUUAUAUGCUUGAGGACAAGCAUCAUCUUGGUGUGGGGGAAUUUGUUAGAGUGCAAUUUAUGCACUAGUUUUGCAUUGUUUACUUCCCUUAAUAUCGAUGUUUUACACUUAAUAAUAGUGAUUUACUUGUGUUUUACUUUUGUAGGUGCAAUUCUAUUGAUUGGUGAUAAAAUUGAGCUAUAAGAUGAUGUUUAAGGAUGAUUGUUCUCUUGGAGAAAUUAUGAGCGGCAGAAGAACUUUGUUGAUAAGGCGUGGGCGCGUGCUGUCAACUGCGGACCUGCAGUUUUUAGUUUAACAUGUUUUGUAUUUUUGUAAUUACGAAUUUAAUAUUUCAGAUAUUAGUAUUUUAUUUUAAAUAGAAUUCUAAAAGAGAGGAGAGAGAGAGAGUAUUUAAGGGAGGAAUCUAUUGUGAAAAAGGGGGAUUUAGAUUGGAGAAAAGAAAAUAAACCCUAAAUCUAAUUUUUCUCUUCUCUCUAUGAAGAACUAAACUUAUUUUUUCUGGUUGAAGGUUAAUGAAGCUUUGAUUCAUCACUACUGUGAGAUCUUUUUUAUGCUUUAAUUGUUUUAUUACUUUUUGGGUAAUUGUUUAUUCUCUGAAUUAGUUUCAUGAUUAUGUUUGUUAAUUAGGUAAUUGGCCACUAUUUAAUUAUCAACUUAAUCUAUUGUCAAUUAAAGGAUUCAUCGUAUGAAGAUUUUAAUGUUUGUGACAAAUAACAUAGCAGUGAGUUGUGUUAUGAGAAUAAACAAUCUAAUUUAAAUGAAUCAUCAUAUGUGUUGAUUAGGAUUUGGAUCUCUCUGGUUUUUCAGGCUGUCAAUUGAUUAAAUCCUAUGAUCGUAUCUAGGGUUGUCUAUUGAUUAGGGAAAUAUCCAACGGUCGUACCUUGGUUAUCGACUAGUUAAGGAGAGAUUGGCUAUUAGAGGGUCUCAAUAGCUAUAACCGGUCUAUUCAUAAGUAAUAAUAAUCUAUAUUUGAAUCAAUGAUCAGUAGUCGAAUCAAGCUGAGUUAAUUCCUUCAACCAGAGCUUUCUCUAAUUUGAAUUACAACUUUAAUUUGCAUUCUUGUUAUUUUAAUUUGAUUUUUAUUAUUGUCAACAAUUCCCCCAUUUUACUUUUUACGUUUCAAAAGGAUUUAAAUAAUUACCGAUCUCUGUGGACACGACCCUGCUCAAUCACUAUACACAAUUUAUUUAGAGUAUGAAUUUAUUUUUGUUGGCUUCGACAACCAUCGGUAGUAAAAGAAUUUUACUCCAAUUUGGUAAGCCCUGGUCAGCACAACAUUUGGGUAAGAAACUCACUUGUUCCAUUAGACUCUCGAGUUAUAAAUGUUUUUUAUAAUUUACCUGCUGAAAUUAAUUGUGAGUAUGCCAAGUUGCUUGACAAAUUGACCCCGCAACAAUGGAACACGAUUUUCACGACACUUACAGUAGAGGGUGCAUCGUGGGCUAAUGAGGACGGGCGUGUAAUUAACAGGAUAGAUUUAAAACUCAUUGCUAAGGUGUGGGUGAAAUUUCUGAAAUCUAGGCUUAUGCCAACCACCCACACCACUACUGUUUCACAGGAAAGGUUGGUGUUGUUAGAUGCUAUUGUUAGAGGGCUUCCCAUAGAUGUGGGAAGUAUUAUCGAAAAAGAAAUUCGAGUUUGUACCAUGAAAAACCACAAGGCUGCUGCCUUGUUAUUUCCUUCACUCAUAACCAGCAUAUGUAUAGUAUCAGGUGUUCAUCUUGAUGCAAAGGAUGAAAUUUGUAAUUAUAUUAUGGCUCCAUUUGGUAUGACUUUUUAAUUCGAACUUAUUUAAGGAGAAUUUUUAUUAGUAGAGUUUUUUAUAAAUAGAGAUUUUACUAAAAAAAUAAUUAUAAUUAUUUAGUUGUCAAUGUCGAAAUUGAUGAACUAUUGUUCUUUUUGUUAACAUGUGUUUGUUUUACUUAAUAAUAAAAGUUAAGUUCACAAUUACACCGGUGUCAAAUCAGCAGAGCAUUUUUGCAGCCAGUCACAUUAUACAUUUUUGCAACUUGCAAUGCAAGCGACGAGAGAAAAUGAGAAUCUUGUUUAAUUGUCAAUAAUGACAAACCUAAUCGUUUCAUUAGGUGUAAUUUCAUAAUCGUUUGUUAUAAUUGAAUCUGUAUAAAGAAAGGAAAAUUAUAUUCGUAGAUUCGACUUAUUUUUUGUUUAAGGUAAUUAAUCAUUCAACCAUCUUCAUUUGCCCCUGGCCACUGCCCUUGUAGAUUAGUUGAAGCGUUAAUUACUUAAUUUAGAUAAUUACAACGUCCUUUUCGCUAAUUAAUUAUGAUUAUAUACGUUUUCAUAUAGCAAGUGGCAUUGUAGAUCUAAAUUAUGUUGCUAUUUCAAUACGUUAAUUAAGUGAUUCUCCUCAUUGUCAUCAAGUGGAAAAUAGCUCAAUUGUUUCCCUGCAUCGAUUUUCAUUGGUAAGUGAUUUCUUAUGAUAUUCGUUUGAGCUUUCCUUAUUAAAAAAGCUUGAGCCUUGAUCACCUAAUACUGAUAUCAAUUUACUUGUGAACGAUUUUGUAAUGAAAUUAGGAGUUAAAUAUAUAAGAUUUUUACCUGAUGAAUUUUGAUUUUUUUUUUAAUUUUUUGAUGUAGUCAAUUUGCGAAUUUUAUAUGUUUCAUAUUCAACGGAAUUUGGGCACGGAAAGUUUGGAUUCUAAUAUUUAUAUAUUUAGCUUUAAUCAGUUUGACUUUAGCAAUCUUUUUCCCUCAUCAUUAAGGGAUUCAGAAUUAGAGAAACGCUAGGAAGAGGAAGAAAAUAACUUUGGAAAUAAGUAAGGGGGAAAAAUUAUGAAAUUUUGAAUUAUUUUUUGUAAAAUAUGUUGCGUUUACUAAACUUGAAUUAGAAUGAGCUGAAAUUAGAAUGAUUAGGAAUGCAAAUGUGCUGAAAUCGGAAUAGGUAAUGAGAAUAAGAAUAAGUUGUUUACUUGAACUGUAAAAAUCAAAAUCGAAAUGAGCUGAAUUGCAAUUACUUUAUCUUGGAAGCGGAAUUGGAAUCGGAAUGAGUUAGAUUGUAACAAAUUACUAAAAAGUACUUAAUGAAUUAUUGUCAUAAUUAUUAUUUUAUAUUUUAAUUAUAGUGAUUAUUUAUUCAAAAAUUAUUAUUAUUAAUUAUUUUCAAUAAUAUAUUAAUAUGUUAAUUAAUUUUAAAAAUUAUUAAUUAAUUUAUUAUAAUAAUAUACUAAUUAAUUAUAAUAAUUAUAAAAAUAUAUUAAUAAUAAAAUUACUAAUUUAAUUAUAAUAAUAUAUGAAUUAAUUAUAAUAAUUACUAAAUUAAUUAUAAUAAUUAUAUUAGUAAUUAUUAUAAUAGUAUAUUAAUUAAUUAUAAUAAUAAAAAUAUAUUAAUUAUGUGAUUAUUUAUUCAAAAAUUAUAAUUAUUAAUAAUUAUUGUUAAUAAUGUAUCAAUAUACUAAUUACAUAUAAUAAUUAUUAUAAAAAUAUAUUAAUUAUUAAUAAUAAAAUUACUAAUUUAAUAAUAAUAAUAAUAAUAUAUUAAUUAUGUGAUUAUUUAUUCAAAAAUUAUAAUUAUUAAUAAUUAUUGUUAAUAAUGUAUCAAUAUAUUACUUAAUUAUAAUAAUAUAUUAAUUAAGUAUAAAUGAGGACAAAGGGGGUAUUUUUAAUUUCACGUAGGGGCAAAAUGGUCAAUUCUAGUAAUGGGAGACUCACUCCCACCCUCUCCCUUGGGAAUGAGUCUCCCAUUCCUCAUUCCCAAAUUGUGGUGGGCCCCAUGAUUUUGACUCUGAUUUUUGACUCAAUUUUGCGAAGUAAACGCUACUAAUGAUUCUGAUUUUGGAUUCUGAUUCACUUAUCCGAGAAGUAAAAGCAACAUAAAUGUGUAUGAAUAAUUGAUACCUAUGAAUAGUUUUGGGAGUUUUAGUUAGGAGUCAUUUAUUGAAGAUGUUUAGCAAUUAAAGAUCUCUGACUCAGUAGUUUUCCCAAUCAAAAUCAAGAAGCAAAACAACUUGCCAUUUUUCUACUUGAUAAUUAAUUGAAAUUUAAGAAAAUACAAUGGCAUUUCAAUUAGAAAUGGUAAUUGUUUAUCUUUUUUCAUUGAUCAAAUUCUAAUCGUGAUCCAAUAGUUAUGGAUGAAGGAAAUAUUAUGAGAGGCGAUAGGCCAAGUGAAGACGUACCAGCAAAUUCAAAAUAGUCGGGAGGUGGACGUCCAGCAUAUCUCCUUCUCUCUGUAGCACCCAGAUGUAUUGUUAUUUGCUCCAAGAAAUGUUAAAAGGAUUGGCCCUAUCUCAAUGUGGUUAGUGGUGAAAAAUUAAACACCAUGGAAGGAUUUGCAAGGAAUAUGCCAAGAAACUGGCUAAGUUCCACAAAUAUGGCAUUAUUGCUCUUUUUUUUUAAAGAAAAAUUAUACACGUUAAUUUAGCAAAAAGUCUAAGACACAUGCCUUUUGAAAAGAAUAGCUAUUACCAUGACACAAUCGAUGCGGCUGAAACCAAAAUUUUCUUUUCUUAAUGUAAAGAUUUUUUUUAAAUAGAUUUUAAUAUUAAAAUGCCCUUCGAUGUUAUUACUGUCACAAGCCCUGUAACAGGAGUAAUAAAAAUUUUUAGAAUUUGUUGGGCAUGAAAAAAGUAGUAUUAAACAUCAGCAAGCAAAGGUUGUUCUGUUAAAGAAUUGAUAUUGACGUGAUUUUAUUUUGGUUAUCGAGAAAAAAAAAUAUAUUUGUUGAUAAGUAAGAAAAUAUUAUUAUAUUUUACAAUCUAUUAUACAUAUUUUAUUAUAUUAAAUAACACUAAAUAGAAACAUAAAAUUAGAAUAAAAUAAAUUAAAAUUAAAAUUAUUUUGAAUAUUAUGUAAAAAAUAAUGUUAAUAUCAUUGUUACUUGUAAAAUAUAUUUAGCCCAAAGAUUUAUUUAAAAUUUUAUAAUAAAUAAAAAUAUAAAAAUAAAUUAAAUAUCAUAGUUUAAAAUCUUAAUAUUAUUUUAAAUAUUAAAAAUACUUUAAUGUUAUUAAUCUACUACACAUGUUAUAUUAUUUAUAUUAUAGUUGUAUUAAUUAAAAAUUUUAAAGUCAACUUUCUAGUAACUAUAUUCAAAGGUAUUAUGGUUAAAUAAAGGUCUUAGUGUUUCUUUUCAAAAUUUGAGGGUCUACAUGAUAAUUUUUCCAAAUCCUAAGGUAUAGGUGUCCUUUUUAUCAAUAAUUUAUUUCACUUUUGAGAGAAUAUGAUGAGAAAUAAGAUCAGAGAAAUGUCAAUUUAAUGUUAUCUAGCUUAAUGAUAAAAAAAUGGAAACCAAGAACUAUUCAAUUUUGUAUUUUUUGUUUGUAAUUCAAAAAAUCCAUCCACCAAACAAGUUUCACGCAUUUAUGUUAUCAUAAAACAAAAAAAAAAACAGUUUGUGAAAAAAUGGCACCAAACAUACACUUAAUGUCCCACAUGAUUUCUUAUGAAGCCCAUAUUAGAUAUAUUUAUACAUUUUACUGCAUUUAGGACAUGUUUGAUAGCCUGCAUUAUAUAGGAUAAAAACACAAUUUUGUAUUAAAUUAAUGCACACUCACGUUUGGCGCUAAAAGUAACUCCAGCCACAUUGCAUUAAUGGACUGCUAAUGCGGCAAUUGCCGCACUAGCUUGCCUCUUUUUCUUUUUAAUUUUAUUUAUAAUAAUAAUAAUUACAUAAUAUAACUUUUUAUUUUAAUAUAAUAUUAUAUAAUAUUAAGUAUAAUUUUUUUUACAUUAUAAUUAUUGAUAUAAAUUAAUAAAUUAAUUAUUUAUUAUUCAAUAAUAUUAUAUUAUAUAUUUUUUUUAUUUUUACAUUAUAAUUUAUUAGUAAAUUUAUAAUUUAAUAUAAUUAAUAAUAAUAGAAAAUAUCAUUACAUGUACUACAAAACUCUUACUUGGAUUAUUUAACACAAUUUAUUUUAUUCGUGAAUAUGUUAUAACAAUUGUAUCACUUUAUUAUUUUGUUAUUAUUUUGUGGUAUGUAUAAAUUUUUGUUCUAUUAUCCUAAGAUGACUUUUGAACUAAUCUUAUAAGUUUUAACUAUUUAUUUAUGUUGUUAUAUUAUUAGAGAUUAUUUGCUUCGAUCUUUAUUUUACAGGUCAUAUAUUUAGAAAUUACUGAAAAAUAAAUGUUAUACUUCCCAAAAUUUAAGGCUAGAAGCUCGAUCUUUAUGAAGAAUUUUGAUAUUUUUUAACAUUUACACUAAAAAAAAUUGUUAAAUUUCUAAAAUUUAAGACUUCUAUAUUUAAUAUUUUUCUAAUUACUAAUAAGUAUUAUUUUCUAAAUAUAUAAUUUAAAUUAAUCACAAAAAAUUAAUAUAGUACAGUGCAAUAUCAAAUAUAGUAUAAUUAAAAAUUAUACAGUGCAAUAUAGCACCAAAUAUUGUACACUAUUAUUAUAAUAUAGUACUAAUGCAAUACAAUAUAAUACAAUAUAGUGUGCCAAACGCACCCUCAGAAUGUGUUUGGAACAUGGGAUUAUAGGGUAUUAAAACACUGUUCACAUUAGCUUAAUACCAAUCUCAUGUUUGGAAAGAAAUUUUAAGGGAUUAAAGGGGGGUGAGCUAAUGUCAUAACUGCGUCAUUAGUGUCUUGGUUUUUUUUAAAUAAUAAAAAAAAUAUAAAUUCCUAAUUUUAUGUAAAAUUAUAUAAUAUUAAUUUUUAUUUUCUUUGAUCUUUACAUCAUAAUUAUUAAUAUAAGUUAAUAAAUUUAUAAUUUAUUAUUCAUAUUUUAAUUUUUAUUAUAUUAAAAAUAUAACUAAAUAAUUUAAUUUUAAUUCUAUAAUAAUUAAUGUAUAAAAUUGAUUAAUAUUUAAUAAGUCAAUACAACUAGUAAUAAGUGCUUAAAUAAUAUAUAAAAAUAAAAAUAUAACAUAAUAUUACAUUAUUUAAUUAUAUUACAAUAACUAAUAUAUAAAAAUUGAUUAUUAUUUAACAAUUUAAUAUAGCUAAUAAUAGAUACUUAAAUAAUAAUUUAAUAUAACUAAUAAUGAAUAUUUAUAUAUGAAUAUAUUUAAAUAAUAUUAAUUUAAAAUUAAUACCAAUAUAUAUAAUAAUAUAAAAUAUUAUUACAUGUACUGUAGUAUUCUUACUUGGAUUAUUUAGCGCAAUUUAUUUUAUUAGUGAAUAUGUUACAAUUAUUGUAUCACUUUAUUAUUUAAAUUAAUCAAAAAAAUUAAUACAGUACAAGAUAGCACUAAACAUUAUAUAACAUUAUUAAAAUACAGUGUUAAUGCAAUAUAAUGUAAUACAAUACAUCUAUAUUAAAAUAAUAUAAUAUAAUAUAAUUUAAUAUAAUACAAUAUGUCAAAUGCACCCCGUGUAUUUUAAUUUCAAAAGAAGUUGGUCCUUCCUUUAUUUAUAAAAGAUAACUUUAUUUUCAGAUUACCACUAAUUACGAUUAUUUGGUAGACUAUAGACCUAAAAGACAUGUUAGAUUAUAAAACAGUGCGAUUAAAAAAAAAAGAGUAUUUGUGACGUCAAAUAACAAUUGGUAACUAAAAUCCAAAAUAUUUCAGUUGUUAAAAGCAAAUAAAAAAAAGAAGGUAACAGUGAUGCAGAAACACAAUAUUAGCUUAUCUUGAUUUUCCCACUUUAUUCAUUCUCAAUGCUUUUCAAAAGAAAUUCUUCUAAUCCUUCUGGUGUCUGCAGCCCCUUAUCACGGGACGAGAGGUUUUGAGCCCGCGUGGCACUCUCGCAUCCCAUACUACGAGAGUAAACCUAGUGGAAGUGGCACAAUAUCGACUGGUUUCACCCUGCCUUGGGCUCAUCAGGAGAACGGCUCCAGUUCCCAACCAGUGUGUGUAGGGCUUCGCUUAGACUCCUCUUCAACGUUAAAUCCUCGACUAGCAACAAGCUCCCCAAAGUCAACUGGGUUGGCCUGCCUGAACUCCAAGAAAUCUAGGAUCAUUGUAUUCCCCACACGCACGCCCCUGAAGCACGUCUCCUGCAAUCAGCACAACUAUUAUCGAUACUAGUGUACAAGCGCAUAUCUUCGGCAUCACAAUUGCAGUCCGUGACACCCUGCUCUUCUUAUAAAACUCCACCCCAAAUCUAUACUACAAACAAGUGGAUUGAAAUUAAAAAAUUGCUUUUUGAAGUGGACCCAUUGAGUCGUGGUCAUUACUCGUCAUUGUCUAUUUUUUCUAUGAGCCAUUUAUUUUGAGCAAUAGUGAGCUUCUCUGAACUACUCCAAUUAUUGAUGUAACUCCAGUGGCUGCAUCCAUAGUUGAAUAUAUGAUAGUAUUAGCUCUUAUUUGAGAAUAUAGGGGGAUCUUUCUUUGUUUCUUUGUUGCAAUGUUCUAGUAUAUAGUCUUGCUGUUAAUGAAUUCACUGAGGCAUUAUUAAUUCAAUUUCAGUGAAGUAAUUAUGGAUGAAAAAUAAAUAAAGGAUAACAGAAUAGAGCUGAAGUGCUGAAUCGGCUAUUAAAGAAAGUGUCACGCGAUCACAAUCACACUGAUGCACAACUCUCUCGAGGCAAAUUUUGUCUAUAUGUACUCCAAAUUCAGCCAAACCAUACAUGCCUCAACAAAAUUAAACCGUAGUUCUCAUCACUACAGUAAUUGAAGCCCACAAAGACAGCUGAAAUGGAAACUUAAAACGAAGAUCUUAUUCGAGUUUGUCCCCAAAAGACAGCUGAAAUGGAAAAUAUUGACUAUUGAAUGGAUCAAUGCUGAAUUACAUUUGAAAUGGGAAGCUUGGCUGCGGUUACGAUGUUUCCCCCUCUGAUUUUUCUCCAAAACAAAUUCCGUUGUAAAUAAUAUUCAAUGUAGCAACAAUUUAUUCAGCAAAGAAAAUACCUAAUUUUUCAACUAACAAAUUCUCUUGUCUAAACUAAAAAAACUCACAUCUCUCCAAUCUAUCUACAAAUUUGGAGAUGAGAGGUGAUUUGUCAACUCGGUAAAUAAAUUCAUGCAUAAUGUUACCAAUAAUUAUAAAUUACAUAAUAAUUCUUAUAAGAAUCAUAAUAAAGGAACCUUAACCAUUUUACAAUCUAUUACAUAAGUAAGAUUAAUCUUAUAAUAAGUUAACUUAUAACUUAAUAAAUAUUUUCAAUUCAUAAUUAUUUAAGAAGUCACUUAACAAUAAAAUAUUUUUUUAUUUAAUUGAUCAUGUCAUAUAACGUUAUCUAAACUCCCGACGAUAUUAUUAUUACUCACUUUUCUCAAAAAAACAUGACUAACGUUUAGAGAAAAGUCAUGUCUUUUAGAUUGAUAGAAUACGAUUACAAACUAUCCAUACUUUAUCGUAGGCUAUAGAAACCCUUACCCAAGCAUGACAGUCAAAAUAGAACUUGACACGGUUAUUAUUGUAAGUAUCUGCAGCAAAAGCAGUCUUAUCGAAGCCACUGCUGUCGAGAAUUGCAACCACUGAAAGCCCAGAUGGUCCCUCAAUCAAUAGAUCAAAAAACUUCUCUCUGCCCCUUUCAAAUUCACUGAUAUCGAGCCGAGGUUGUCCCUCACUCAAUAGGCGUAUGAUUUCGUUCCUUUUUUCACUGAUAUCAAAACCAUUGUCGCCGGGUGGAAGUUGUUGCAUCCGAUUUCUAAUAUCAAUGAUUUUAGUGUGGAGUCCAACAAGAAGAGCCAUAUCAGUACUGCUUUCACUUUCGUUUUCACUGUUUUGCUGCUGCAUGAUUUUGAUGAAGAAUGUGUCAAUGGCUUCCUCAGAUUCAUGGACAAAGUCAUUGAUGUCCUCCAGAAUUUCAAAAAUAUCUGCUGUUUCAACGUCUUCUUCAUCGCUUUCUUCUAAGUCCAACAGUUGCAAAAAAGGCAAUGAUAUUUUGGAGUCAUCUAAUUCUUCUCUAAGGAGUUGAAACAAAUGCCGAGCCAUGUCAGCUUCAUAGUUUCCCAGCAGAGUAGUAGCAAUAAUUUCGGACUCCGUAAGAAGGUUUUGAAAACGUGGAGUUAAAUUUGUUGAAUCUGGCAAAGUUAACGUGCCUUCUUCACCUGCUAACACCCUUUUCAACCUCUCACAAAACAGUCGGAGGUGGAAUUCCAGCAUAUCUCCUUCUCUCCGUAGCACUCAGAGGUAUAGCUGAAAGAUUAAACACCAUGGAAGAAUUUGAAAGGAAAAUGCCAAGAAAUUGUGUAAGUGGCUAAAUUCCACAAAUAUGACAUUAUUGCUCAUUUUUUAACUCAAAAAAAGGGUACGCGUUCAUUUAGAGAAAAGUCCAAGACGCGUGCUUUUUGAAAAGAACAGGUAUCCCAAUCGGUAUCCAACCUUUAUCUUAUUUAAUUACUACCAUGACAUAAUUGAUGGUGCUUAAAUCAAUUGUUUCUUUUUUAAUUUAAAGAAUUUUUCAUUAAAAAAAUAUUUUAAUAUCAAAUUGCCUUCAGUGGCGUAACAACUGCCUGAAGCCCAGUAACAGGACUAAUUAAAAAUUUUACAAUUUUUGGGCAUGGAAAUAGUAGUAUUAAACAUUAGAAAGGUGAGGUUGUUCUGUUAAAGAAUUGAUAUUGACAUAAUUUUAUUUUGGUUUUCGUGGAAAACAAAAAUAUUUGUUGACAAGCAAGAAAAUAUUUUUAUUUUUUAAAAUUUAUUAUGCAUAUUUUAUCAUAUUGAAGUAAUUUUAAUAAUAAAUAGAAACAUAAUAUUACAAUAAAUAAAUUAAAAUUUAACUUAUUUUGAAUAUUAUAAAAAAUAAUUUUAAUAUUAUUAAUAGGAAGACAUUGUAUUAAUUUUAAAAUUUUUUAACCCAAAGGUUUAUUUAAAAUCUUUAUUAUAAAUACAAAUAUAAAAUUAAAUAUCAUAAUUUAAAAUUUUUAAUAUUAUUUUAAGUAUUAAAAAUAUUUUAAUGUUAUUAGUCUACUACAUAGAUCAUAUUACUUAUAUAAUAUUUGUAUUAUUAAAAAUUUUUAAAAUCAAAUUUUUAGUUAGUAUAUUCAUGAGGUAUUAUGGUUACAAAAAAAAGACCUUAUUAUUACUUUUUAAAAAAUUGAGGGUCUGCGAUGAUAAUUUUUUCAAAAAGAAAAUACAUGGUAUGUAGGAGGGGUAGAGAAACAGGACUUCCAAAAUCUCUCACCCUUCUUUAAUUAAAAAAAAAAUUAAAAUAUUAAUAAAAAAUAAUAAAGAAAAUAGAAUUUUAUCUGCUCCUUACUCCAUUUUUGCAACUCUCUCAACAUCUCUGUCGAGCAGCCUUCUCUCUCAUUGUCUCUCACUAUUUCACGAUCUCUCUCUCACUCACACAGGCAAUGACCAUCUCAUCAUCGGCGGUCGUGUCGUCAGUGUCACUGGUCUUGCUCGACCGAGACAGUGAGAGAGAGGUUUGUUAGAUGGAGUGAUGAUAAAGGAUUCUAUUUUUUUUAUUAAUAUUUUAAUUUUUAAAAUUAAAAUGUGCUGCCGUUUCUCUUGUCUUUUUAGCUGUUUAGCAGCACUCUUUUCAAAAUUUAAGAAUGUAGGUGUCCUAUAAGAGAUCGAUAAAAGAACGUCAAUUAAAUUUAUAAAAAUAUGAUAAAAGAACGUCAAUUACUUGUCUUUUAGGGAAUCCAAUGAGAAAUAUGAUAAAAGAACGUCAAUUACUUGUCAUUUUCAAUUUUUUUCUGUAAGCUAUUUAUUUUGAGCAUUAGUGCUCUUGUCUGGACUACUCCAAUUAUUGACGUAACUCCAGUGGCUGCAAUUAAUGAUAUAAAGCUGAGACUUUUGACCAAGUUAUCUAGUUGGGAAAGCAAAUUUUUUUCCAGUGGGGGCAAAGAAGUGUUGAUUAAAACUGUUGCUCAGGCUGUGCCAGUCUAUGCAAUGAGUGUUUUUAAGAUCCCUCAUAGCUUUUGUGAUGACAUUGAGAAGGCUAUUGCUCGUUUCUGGUGGGGUUCCUCUGAAACAAAAAGAAGCAUUCACUGGACAAGGUGGGAACGGUUGUGCCACGCCAAGAUAAGGGGGGGAUUGGGUUUUAGAGAUUUCUCUAGUUUUAACCAAGCCUUAAUUGCUAAGCAGGGGUGGAGAAUUCUGCAGCACCCUGACUCUUUAAUGGCAAAGAUUCUGAAAGCAAAAUAUUUUAAGCAUACUGGUUUUAUGGAUGCGAAAUUGGGUUCACACCCCUCUUUUGUUUGGAGAAGUAUAUUAUGGGGUAGGCAAGUGCUCCAUAACGGCCUAAGAUGGAGAAUCGGCUGUGGGAGUCAGGUUUUAAUUUCCAGUAGCAAUUGGAUAAAAAACCAUAAGCUUCACAGUUUGGUUCCAUAUUCAAAUCUACCUCCUGAAACUGUAGUUGUUGACCUUAUUGAUGAAAGUCACCAAUGGAAAGAAGAUAUGGUUUUCCAACAUUUUCCAAUGGAUGUUGCAAAGAGGAUCACAAGAACCCCUCUCCCAAAAACUCCCCAGCAGGAUCUUCUCAUUUGGAAAUAUGAUAAGCACAGAAUUUACUCGGUGAAGAGUGGGUAUCAAUUGGCUGUUAAGCAAAAAUUCCAAAAUUAUCCAAGUUGUUCAGAUGUUACCAAGUCAAGGUGGGAGGUGAUAUGGGCUACGGAUCUUCUAGGAAAAGUCAAGAUUUUUAUUUGGAGGGCUGCUCAAAAUCUUCUCCCUACAGUUGGAAAUCUAUGGAGGAGGAGGGUGGUGAAGGAUUAUUUUUGCCAAAGAUGUAAUUGCAGAGGAGAGGAUGUCUUCCAUGCUUUAAUAGAGUGCAGGGCAGCUAAAAGGGUUUGGAAGUUGACUGAAUUUUAUGAGGAUGUAAAGCAAUUAGCUCGGCAAGACAUGUUGAGUGUGCUGCAGGAUUUAGCUGUGAAGAGAAAAAAGAAUGAGCUGGAGCUUGUUGUUGCGGUGUGCUGGGCCAUCUGGUACUCUAGGAAUCGUUUGGUGUUUGAAGGAAAGGAAGAAGAUCCAAAAACUUCAGUGGCCAGAGCAAUUGCUAUGGUGGAAUCAUACAGGCGAAUAAAAGUUCCAAAUGAACAAAAUUCUCCAGGCCAUAGCAGAAUCAGUCAACUAGAAUGGGCAAAUCCUCCAAAGGGGUGUUAUAAAGUCAACGUUGAUGCUGCAAUUAAUGUUUCAAACCAAAAGGCAGGGUUGGGUGUAGUGUUUAAGAGUGACUAACUAUCCCAAUCAACUCAAAACACUUCCCAAGAUCACACCCAAACAAACAAGAUGUACCAAGAAUCAAUCCAGUAGAAUACACACAGAUUAUUAGAACUGAAAGAAUUAAAGAAAAGGACAAGAAUUAACGUGGUUCAGCUAGCUUCAGUCUAGCUUACAUCCACGGGAGAAACAGAACCCAAUUGUAUUGAUUGUUUAAAGGAGUUACAGAGAGUUCAUCAAGCUUGUUACAGAGUCUCUCAAGAAGCCUUUUGUUAUUAAUCUUCUCAACUCACAAUAGCUCUCUCUUCUUUUUUCUCAGUUGCCAGAAUCAGCUGUAUAUAACAGCUUGUUAACGAAUCAGCAACCAACCCAGAAACCCACGUGACAGUCAUGUGAGUUAACUGAUUCUAACGAACCAAGAACGCAACUUAUCCAUGCACGUGAAACUCUCGUGCAUCACUUAACCAAAACGACCUUCAUACAUGUCGUUCCAGGAGAUACGAGUUUGACUUUCCAAAACGCAGCAUCAGCUGACGUUUUCACAAACAGAUUUGCUUCACAUCACAACAAUUCUCCACCUUGAACAAAUCACUCUCUGAUCCUGAUUUCUCCAACCUGAGUAUUUAGAAUUCACUCAGCCCAGCUUUGUCCAAGCCGCUCUUGAACUUAGCUGUAGUUACAACCUUAGUAAGCAUGUCAGCAGGAUUAUCAUCUGUAUGCACUUUCACCAUGCUAAUCACACCUUUAGAGAUCACAUUUCUGAUAAAAUGUAACUUGAUAUCUAUGUGUUUAGUUUUUUCAUGGUGAGCUGGGUUCUUACUCAAGUAAAUUGCACUUGAGCUGUCACAAUGAACUUCCACAGUCUCCUGCUUCAUCCCCAGUUCUGUUAUCAACCCUCUCAGCCACAGAGCUUCCUUGACAGCUUCUGUUGCAGCAGUAUAUUCAGCCUCUGUUGUUGACAAAGCUACAACAUGCUGCAAUCUUGCCUUCCAGUUAACAAGGCAACCAUCCAAGAAAAACAUAUAGCCAGUUAAAGAUCUCCUUCUGUCUAAGUCCCCAGCAUAGUCUGAGUCAACAUAACCACAGAGACCUGCAAUCUUUCCAGCUGAUUUUCCAUAUACCAACCCAUACUGUUGUGUACCUUUCAGAUACCUCAGCACCCAUUUAACAGCCUUCCAGUGCUCCUUUCCAGGUGUAGCCAUAAACCUACUUACAACACUUAAAGCAUGAGCUAAGUCUGGUCUUGUAAGUACCAUUGCAUACAUCAUGCAACCAACAGCAUUUGCAUAAGGAACCUUUGUCAUUUCAUUCCUCUCUUCAUCUGUACUGGGGCAUUGUGAACAUGACAGCUUGAAGUGAGAUGCAAGAGGGGUUACUACUGACUUGCUGUUUGACAUCCCAAAAGUUCCCAGUACCUUCUCUAGAUACUUCCCUUGAGACAGAAUCAUAGUACCCUUCUUCCUGUUCCUUAUUAUUUCCAUACCCAAAAUCUUCCUAGCUGGACCCAAGUCUUUCAUAUCAAAUUCUGAAUUGAGCAGUUGCUUCAAAGCCUCAAUCUCUUCCCUUUCAUUACAAGCAAUCAACAUAUCAUCUACAUAUAACAGCAGAUAUAUGUAGUUGCCUGAUUGUAUGAUCUUGUAGUAAACACAUACAUCAUAGCUGCACCUUAGAUACCCAUGAGUGACCAUAAACUCAUCAAAUCUAAGGUACCACUGUCUGGGUGAUUGUUUCAGCCCAUACAGUGACCUCUUCAGCAGACACACACAGUCAGCAGAUUCAGGACUUGUGUACCCUUCAGGCUGUGUCAUCAAGAUGUCCUCAUUUAAUCUUCCAUGUAGAAAGGCUGUCUUGACAUUGAGUUGAUCAAGCUCCAUGUCUUUUACAGCUGUUAAAGCCAGUAGCACUCUGAUUGAUGUGUGUCUGACUACUGGUGAGAACACCUCUUUGAAAUCCACUCCAGCCCUCUGUGUGUAACCCUUGGCCACUAACCUAGCUUUGAAUCUUCUAGGUUCAGUAGCUGUUAGUCCAUCUUUGACUUUGUAGAUCCAUUUACAUCCUACUGUUCUGCUGUUGGCAGGUCUUUUAAUCAGCUCCCAUGUAUUGUUCUUCUUCAGUGAAUAGAUUUCCUCAUCCAUGGCCUUUUUCCACUCAUCUUUGUAUGGUCCCUGGAUAGCCUCUUUGUAGUUCUUGGGUUUAUCAUCAUCAAUUUGAUGAGAUGCUGUUAAUGCAUAGGCUAUCAGAUCUGCAUAUCCAUAUCUGACAGGUGCUUUUGCUUUCCUUCUUUCUCUGUCUCUUGUCAGCUGGUACUCCUGAUGCUGAGCUUCAGUCUGCUUUACAUGAUCAGUUUCUAGAUCAGUAGCUCCUUGAUAAGAGUCAUCUUCAUCUUCUGAAGCUUCUCUAGUGUAGGGCUCCACCUCAAACUGAAUCUUGGUUCUCUCCUUCUCCUUUGGUGUAUCUGUGUCAGUAGGUUUCUUCAUUUCCAGUGCAGCUUUCUCAUUGAAUAUUACAUCUCUACUGAUUAUGCACUUGGGGGGAUUAAGGUCUGUACACCACAGUUUGAAGCCUUUAACACCUUCAGGAUACCCAAUGAACUUUCCUUUAAGGGUUCUUGGAGCUAACUUCCCUUGGCUCACAUGUGCAUAAGCUGGACAUCCAAAUACUUUGAGGCUGCCAUAGUCUGCUGGUUUUCCAUGCCAUUUCUCAAAUGGGGUUUUGAAGUCAAGUGCUGCAGAGGGACUUAGAUUUACCAGAUAGCUUGCUGUUAACAGAGUCUCAGCCCACAAUCCUUUUGGAAGUUGUGACUGGAUCAUCAUGCUUCUUACUCUGUCCAUCAGGGUUCUGUUCAUUCUUUCGGCUAACCCAUUUUGUUGAGGAGUCAGCCUUACAGUUCUAUGCCUUGCAAUGCCAUGAUCUGCACAGUAGCUAUCAAACUCCUGAUUGCAAAACUCAAGACCAUUGUCUGUUCUGAGUUUCUUUACCUUCAAUCCAGUUUGAUUUUCAACCAGGGAUUUCCACUCUCUGAAUUUUCCAAAUACCUGAUCCUUGUGCUUUAAGACAUAAACCCAUACUCUCCUUGAAUAAUCAUCUAUUAAAGACAAGAAAUAGGUGUUGCCACCUAGUGACAUUGUCUGUGCUGGUCCCCAUAAAUCUGAGUGUAUGUAUUCAAGGAUGCCUUUUGUUGAAUGAACUGAUUUUCCAAAGCUACUUCUUGUAGCUUUGCCUAGUACACAGUCUUCACAAAAAUUCAGUUCUGAGAUUUGACUGCUGCCUAGAACCCCUUGCUUCUGUAAUUCUUUCAGACCUCUCAAGCUCAUAUGUCCUAAUCUAAGGUGCCACAGCAGAGUGUUAUCACAGCUUGAACUGAUUAACACUCCUGACACACCAGUUAUAGCUUCCCCAUUCAAAACAUAAACCCCAUUUCUCUUGUAACCUUUCAUAACUAUCCCAUCUUCAUUUGAAAUUCUCAGCUCACCAGAUUCAAGCUUAAUGCUAAGCCCCAUUUGGUCAAGCAUACCUAGAGAUAUUAAGUUCCUUUUAAGUUCAGGAACAUACCUAACUUCCCUUAAUUCUCUUAUUGUUCCAUCAUGCAAUUUUAGGUUUAUAUUUCCUAUCCCCGCAAUUUUACAAACAGCAUUGUUACCCAUCAUAACUUUUCCUCCAUCAGUUUCAUGAUAGUUUAAUAGGUAAUCUUUAAAGGGGCACAUAUGAAAUGUACAACCUGAGUCUAGAAUCCAGGUACCUUUUUGCACAUGCUCUGUAGCCACACAUACUCCUGCUGACUCAUACCCCUCUUCCUCAGCAGUAGCAGCAGCUCCAUUUUGUUCCCUUUUCUUGUUCUUGAGUUCUGGGCAAUCUCUCUUGAAAUGCCCUUCUUUCUGGCACUGAAAACAUUUCUUGCCUUUAGUCUUUUGUUUGUUGUUCCCUUGCUUCUUUUUCUUUCCAUCAUACUUAUCAGUUCUUGCUUUUACUGCCAAUACUUCUCCAGAGUUCAUAUUCCCUGACUUUUCUUGCAGCCCUCUAGUAUUCAGGGCAGCCUUAACUUCAUCCAAUGAUAAAGUCUGUCUCCCAUACAUGAGUGCAUCCACAAAGUUUGAAUAUGAGGAUGGAAGUGAACUAACCAGAAGCAAUGCUUUACCUUCAUCAUCUAAACCUUCAUCAAUUAUUUCCAAUGUAUCACAGACCUGAUUGAAUUCAUCAAUGUGGUCUUCGAGAGAUGACCCUUCAGCCAUCUUUAGUGUGAACAUUCUUUUCUUGAUGUAAAGUCUGUUGGCUAAUGAUUUAGUCAUAUACACCCUUUCAAGCUUUGCCCACAGAUCAGCCACUGUUCUUUCUCUUGCAACUUCCCUGAUCACCGAGUCUCCAAGACUCAAGAUUAUGGUACUCCUUGCCUUUUUGUCAAUCUCAGCAGCUUGUUGUGGUGUUAGUGAUGAUGAAGAUGUGGAGGCUUCUAAUCCUUCUUUCUUGAUGAUAGGUUCUAAGGCAUCACCUAGCCCUUGAGUGAUCAGUAAUGCCUCCAUUUUAACCUUCCACAUGUUGAAGUCAUUCUUCCCUGUAAACUUCUCUAGAUCGAUCUUUGAACCAACCAUACUUGUGUCUGAUUUGUAAUCCAAGCUCUGAUACCAAUUGUAGUGUUUAAGAGUGACUAACUAUCCCAAUCAACUCAAAACACUUCCCAAGAUCACACCCAAACAAACAAGAUGUACCAAGAAUCAAUCCAGUAGAAUACACACAGAUUAUUAGAACUGAAAGAAUUAAAGAAAAGGACAAGAAUUAACGUGGUUCAGCUAGCUUCAGUCUAGCUUACAUCCACGGGAGAAACAGAACCCAAUUGUAUUGAUUGUUUAAAGGAGUUACAGAGAGUUCAUCAAGCUUGUUACAGAGUCUCUCAAGAAGCCUUUUGUUAUUAAUCUUCUCAACUCACAAUAGCUCUCUCUUCUUUUUUCUCAGUUGCCAGAAUCAGCUGUAUAUAACAGCUUGUUAACGAAUCAGCAACCAACCCAGAAACCCACGUGACAGUCAUGUGAGUUAACUGAUUCUAACGAACCAAGAACGCAACUUAUCCAUGCACGUGAAACUCUCGUGCAUCACUUAACCAAAACGACCUUCAUACAUGUCGUUCCAGGAGAUACGAGUUUGACUUUCCAAAACGCAGCAUCAGCUGACGUUUUCACAAACAGAUUUGCUUCACAUCACAACAUUGGGGGUAGUCAUUAGAAACUCUGUGGGUAAGGUUGUUGCUGCAGCAGUCCAAAGAGCUCCAUAUAGGGGAGAUGUGGCGUGUAUGGAGGUUGAAGCUGUUCUGUUUGGUAUUCAGAGUGCCCAACAAGCAGCUGUUUUCCCAAUAAUUAUUGAGUCGGAUUCAAAGGAAGUGGUGGAUCUAUCCUUAAAGAAAAAGAUCAGCAAGACUGAAAUUGAGUGGAAAAUUGCAGAAAUCCAAGCAAAUCUGGAAAAUCAGAAUGUGUCCUCGCUGUCAUAUGUCCCUAGAAGCUGUAACUCUAUUGCUCAUUCUAUUGCAAAGAUAGCUCUAGGUUUUGAAAGUCAAGUCUUUUGGCUGGAAAACUUUCCAGAACAUAUCAGGUGUACUCUUGCUAAGUUCAUCAAUUGAAAAGCUUUACUUUGCUCAUCAAAAAAAAAAAAAAAAAAAAACUCCAGUGGCUGCAUCCACUGGAAAAAGUGGAUGAGAACCAUUUUUUUUUCAUAAAGGUAACUACUCACAUAAUUGAUGGUGCUUAAAUCAAUUUUUUUUUUAAUUUAAAGAAUUUUGCUUUAAAAAAUAAUUAAUAUCAAAAUGCCUUCAAUGUUGUUACCCUCACAAGCCCAGUUAGAGGACUCAUUAAAAAUUUUAGAAUUUUCAGGCCUGGAAAGCGUAGUAUUAAACAUCAGAAAGCAAAGGUUUUUAUGUCGAAGAAUUGAUGUCGACAAAAUUUUAUUUUAGUUUUUGGGAAAAAAAAUAUUUUGUUGACAAGCAAGAAAAUAUUUUUUAUACUUUACAAUCUGCCUUCUCUCUCAUUGUCUCUCACUAUUUCACGAUCUCUCUCUCACUCACACAGGCAAUGACCAUCUCAUCAUCGGCGUUCGUGUCGUCAGUGUCACUGGUCUUGCUCGACCGAGACAGUGAGAGAGAGGUUUGUUAGAUGGAGUGAUGAUAAAGGAUUCUAUUUUUUUUAUUAAUAUUUUAAUUUUUAAAAUUAAAAUGUGCUGCCGUUUCUCUUGUCUUUUUAGCUGUUUAGCAGCACUCUUUUCAAAAUUUAAGAAUGUAGGUGUCCUAUAAGAGAUCGAUAAAAGAACGUCAAUUAAAUUUAUAAAAAUAUGAUAAAAGAACGUCAAUUACUUGUCUUUUAGGGAAUCCAAUGAGAAAUAUGAUAAAAGAACGUCAAUUACUUGUCAUUUUCAAUUUUUUUCUGUAAGCUAUUUAUUUUGAGCAUUAGUGCUCUUGUCUGGACUACUCCAAUUAUUGACGUAACUCCAGUGGCUGCAAUUAAUGAUAUAAAGCUGAGACUUUUGACCAAGUUAUCUAGUUGGGAAAGCAAAUUUUUUUCCAGUGGGGGCAAAGAAGUGUUGAUUAAAACUGUUGCUCAGGCUGUGCCAGUCUAUGCAAUGAGUGUUUUUAAGAUCCCUCAUAGCUUUUGUGAUGACAUUGAGAAGGCUAUUGCUCGUUUCUGGUGGGGUUCCUCUGAAACAAAAAGAAGCAUUCACUGGACAAGGUGGGAACGGUUGUGCCACGCCAAGAUAAGGGGGGGAUUGGGUUUUAGAGAUUUCUCUAGUUUUAACCAAGCCUUAAUUGCUAAGCAGGGGUGGAGAAUUCUGCAGCACCCUGACUCUUUAAUGGCAAAGAUUCUGAAAGCAAAAUAUUUUAAGCAUACUGGUUUUAUGGAUGCGAAAUUGGGUUCACACCCCUCUUUUGUUUGGAGAAGUAUAUUAUGGGGUAGGCAAGUGCUCCAUAACGGCCUAAGAUGGAGAAUCGGCUGUGGGAGUCAGGUUUUAAUUUCCAGUAGCAAUUGGAUAAAAAACCAUAAGCUUCACAGUUUGGUUCCAUAUUCAAAUCUACCUCCUGAAACUGUAGUUGUUGACCUUAUUGAUGAAAGUCACCAAUGGAAAGAAGAUAUGGUUUUCCAACAUUUUCCAAUGGAUGUUGCAAAGAGGAUCACAAGAACCCCUCUCCCAAAAACUCCCCAGCAGGAUCUUCUCAUUUGGAAAUAUGAUAAGCACAGAAUUUACUCGGUGAAGAGUGGGUAUCAAUUGGCUGUUAAGCAAAAAUUCCAAAAUUAUCCAAGUUGUUCAGAUGUUACCAAGUCAAGGUGGGAGGUGAUAUGGGCUACGGAUCUUCUAGGAAAAGUCAAGAUUUUUAUUUGGAGGGCUGCUCAAAAUCUUCUCCCUACAGUUGGAAAUCUAUGGAGGAGGAGGGUGGUGAAGGAUUAUUUUUGCCAAAGAUGUAAUUGCAGAGGAGAGGAUGUCUUCCAUGCUUUAAUAGAGUGCAGGGCAGCUAAAAGGGUUUGGAAGUUGACUGAAUUUUAUGAGGAUGUAAAGCAAUUAGCUCGGCAAGACAUGUUGAGUGUGCUGCAGGAUUUAGCUGUGAAGAGAAAAAAGAAUGAGCUGGAGCUUGUUGUUGCGGUGUGCUGGGCCAUUUGGUACUCUAGGAAUCGUUUGGUGUUUGAAGGAAAGGAAGAAGAUCCAAAAACUUCAGUGGCCAGAGCAAUUGCUAUGGUGGAAUCAUACAGGCGAAUAAAAGUUCCAAAUGAACAAAAUUCUCCAGGCCAUAGCAGAAUCAGUCAACUAGAAUGGGCAAAUCCUCCAAAGGGGUGUUAUAAAGUCAACGUUGAUGCUGCAAUUAAUGUUUCAAACCAAAAGGCAGGGUUGGGUGUAGUGUUUAAGAGUGACUAACUAUCCCAAUCAACUCAAAACACUUCCCAAGAUCACACCCAAACAAACAAGAUGUACCAAGAAUCAAUCCAGUAGAAUACACACAGAUUAUUAGAACUGAAAGAAUUAAAGAAAAGGACAAGAAUUAACGUGGUUCAGCUAGCUUCAGUCUAGCUUACAUCCACGGGAGAAACAGAACCCAAUUGUAUUGAUUGUUUAAAGGAGUUACAGAGAGUUCAUCAAGCUUGUUACAGAGUCUCUCAAGAAGCCUUUUGUUAUUAAUCUUCUCAACUCACAAUAGCUCUCUCUUCUUUUUUCUCAGUUGCCAGAAUCAGCUGUAUAUAACAGCUUGUUAACGAAUCAGCAACCAACCCAGAAACCCACGUGACAGUCAUGUGAGUUAACUGAUUCUAACGAACCAAGAACGCAACUUAUCCAUGCACGUGAAACUCUCGUGCAUCACUUAACCAAAACGACCUUCAUACAUGUCGUUCCAGGAGAUACGAGUUUGACUUUCCAAAACGCAGCAUCAGCUGACGUUUUCACAAACAGAUUUCGUUCACAUCACAACAUUGGGGGUAGUCAUUAGAAACUCUGUGGGUAAGGUUGUUGCUGCAGCAGUCCAAGGAGCUCCAUAUAGGGGAGAUGUGGCGUGUAUGGAGGUUGAAGCUGUUCUGUUUGGUAUUCAGAGUGCCCAACAAGCAGCUGUUUUCCCAAUAAUUAUUGAGUCGGAUUCAAAGGAAGUGGUGGAUCUAUCCUUAAAGAAAAAGAUCAGCAAGACUGAAAUUGAGUGGAAAAUUGCAGAAAUCCAAGCAAAUCUGGAAAAUCAGAAUGUGUCCUCGCUGUCAUAUGUCCCUAGAAGCUGUAACUCUAUUGCUCAUUCUAUUGCAAAGAUAGCUCUAGGUUUUGAAAGUCAAGUCUUUUGGCUGGAAAACUUUCCAGAACAUAUCAGGUGUACUCUUGCUAAGUUCAUCAAUUGAAAAGCUUUACUUUGCUCAUCAAAAAAAAAAAAAAAAAAAAAACUCCAGUGGCUGCAUCCACUGGAAAAAGUGGAUGAGAACCAUUUUUUUUUCAUAAAGGUAACUACUCACAUAAUUGAUGGUGCUUAAAUCAAUUUUUUUUUUAAUUUAAAGAAUUUUGCUUUAAAAAAUAAUUAAUAUCAAAAUGCCUUCAAUGUUGUUACCCUCACAAGCCCAGUUAGAGGACUCAUUAAAAAUUUUAGAAUUUUCAGGCCUGGAAAGCGUAGUAUUAAACAUCAGAAAGCAAAGGUUUUUAUGUCGAAGAAUUGAUGUCGACAAAAUUUUAUUUUAGUUUUUGGGAAAAAAAAUAUUUUGUUGACAAGCAAGAAAAUAUUUUUUAUACUUUACAAUCUGCUAUACAUAUUUUAUCAUAUUAAAGUAAUUUUAAUAAUAUAUGGAAACAUAAUAUUUUAAUAAAUAAAUUAAAAUUACUUUGAAUUAUUGAAUAUUACAAAAAGAUAAUUUUAAUAUUAUUAAUAGGAAAACAUUUUUUAAUUGUAAAAUCUUUUUAAUACAAAAAUUCAUUUAAAAUCUUUAUAAUAAAUACAAAUAUAAAAUUAAAAAAUAUUAUAAUUUAAAAUUUUUAAUAGUAUUUAAAUAUUAAAAAUACUUUAAUAUUAUUAAUCUACUACAUCAAAUAUAUUAUUUAUAUUAUAUUCGUAUUGAUUAAAACGUUUUAAAGUCAAAUUUUUAAUUAGUGUAUUCAAAGGUACAAAAGAUUUUAGUAUUAUUUUUUAAAAAUUUCAGGAUAUGAAUGUUAAUUUUUUUCAAAUUUUAAAGAUGUAAAAAUCUUUUUUUCUGAUAAUUUAUUUCACUUUUGAGAGAAUCCGAAAACGUUAAUUUAACAUUCUUUACCUUUGUGAAAAAAGUGAAAAUCAAGAACUAUUCAAUUUUGUUUUUAUUUGUAAUUCAAAAACUUUAUUCAUUUUGGAUGCUUUUCAAAAGAGAUUCCUUUAAAUCCUUUUGGUGUCUGCAGCUCCUGCUAUUCUCAUAAGUCUCCAUCCCACAUCUACACUAUCAAACAAGUUGAUGGAAAUUCUUAUAAAAAAAAAAAAAAAGUCGAUGGAAAUUGAUCAAUUGCUUUUUGAAAUGGACCCAUUGAGUCAUGUUCAUUUCUGGUCAUUGUCUACUCUUUCUAUCAGCCAUUAAUUUUGACCAUUUGCGAUCUUAUCUGGACCAACUCCAAUUAUUUAUGUAACGAACUCCAAAGGUUGCAUCUACAGUUGAAUGUAAGAUAGCGAAGGCUCUUCUUUGAGAAAAUAGAGGAACCUUUCUCUGUUUCUCCGUUGCAACGUGCUCAUAUAAAUUUCUUUACCUUACAGUUUAUACGGUCUUGCUGUUAAUGAAUUCGCUGAGGCAUUAUUGAUCCAAUCUGAGUGAAGUAAUUGUGGCUGAAAAAUAAAUAAAGGAUAUGAGAACGUAGCUGAAGUGCUGAAGGGGCUAUUAAAGAAGAGUGUCACUUGAUCACAAUCACAUUGAUGCACAACUCACUCGUGGCAAAUUUCGACUAUACGUACUGCAAAUUCAGCCAAACCAUACAUGCAUGAACAAAACAUCUUCUCUAAACUAAAAAGCCCACAUCUCUAAAAUCAAUCUACAUAAUGUUGGAGAUGAGGGGUGAAUUGUUAACUCAGUAAAAAAAAAAAACUCAUGCAUAAGAUUACUAAUAAUAUAAAUUAUAUAUUAAUCAUUAUAAAGAAUCAUAAAUUAGAAAAAUUAAUCAUUUUAUAAUUUAUUACACAAGUAUGAUAAAUCUUAUAAUAAGUUAUAACAUAAAAAAACGUUAUCAAUAAAUAAUCAUUUAAGAAGUCAUUUAACAAUAAAAUCGUUCUUUGAUCAGUUGGUCAUGUCACAUAGUAUCAUCUAUAUUUAUGGUGAUAAUAUUAUUACUUAGUAUUAUCAAAAAACAUGAUUUAACAUUUAGAGGAAAUUCUUGCCUUUUAAAAAAAACAUGUAUGCAACAGCUACCCAUGCUUUAUCUUACCAUGACAAAUAUUUUCUCAAUGAAAGAAUUUUUUUUUAAAAUUGAUUUAAUGCACAAAUAUGAUGAUUUUUGCCAAAAAUUAAUUUUGGAAAACAUAGUGAGAGAAAAUAGUGACGAUUAUUGUUUAGAUGUAUAAAUAGCCUAAACAUAAUCCUUAAUACCAGUAUCCAUGUGCAUCUUAGCAUCUUUUAUGAUAUUCUUUCAUUUAUGUCCAUUGGUUCAAGAUUUGAAUUUGAUCAUUAAAUCAUAUUCAAUAAUAUUAGAGAUUCCAAAAAUUGAGUACCAACUUAAAUCCCAAUGUUAUGUUUCAUUGACCAAUGUCGUGUCAUUUUCUUAUUAACUAGGUGAUGAAUUUCUAGUUGAUAAAAUCACUUAAAAAUAUCUUAAAAAUCAGACAAUAGUUUGCUUAAUUUUUCCAAGUUAACUGCUCAAGAUGCUCUAUUAUAAAUGAUAACCUAAUUAUAUUCAUAAAAAAUGAUAUAUUUUUUGUGGUGUUGAUAAUGAGAUUAUCAUUCAACAUUUUAAAAUGUGAAAACAUAUGGAAGAUGGUUGUAAAUUGAUUGAAUGAAAAUAUUUCAGUGAAGUCUCAAAAAUUUGGUACUUGUUGUCUUAUCGAAAGUUUUCUAAAUUAUAUUCGUGGCACAGCCACUAUCCAAACCAUACAAGUCCAAAGCUAUCCAAACCAUACCUGCAAGUCCGGGGCUUAAAUGGAGUACUUCUAAGCAAAAAAACAUUGACUAAAAUAGAAUAUAUACAUACAGACACACAUACAUACCAGCAUAUUCAAAAUAGCAAAAGGAGUGCAAAGUUCAAGUUUGUAGACAACAUUGCAACCAUAGCAUGUUUAUAGCAAAUCCUCAAAAUCUGCUAAAUAAAACAAUGCCCUGUCUCAUGAAUCAAUGCUGAAUUAAAAUUGAAACUGAAAGUCUGGAUGGUGUUGUUUGUUGAGAAUGUCAAAUAAAACGGCAUUGAAGGAAGUUUUCAAAGGCAGAAUCCGCACUUGUCAAAGGGAUGAUCUGCACUUGUCAAAGACACGAUCCGCGCUGAACGGAUCGACACAUUUCCUUCCGUAUUCACAUAUGUAAUCUUUGAAAAAAUAUAGCUUCUGCAUCUAUAAAUAACGCUCAAUGUAUAAUGUUUUAUUCAAGAAAUAAAAACAAGUUUCUACAUGGUAUCAGAGCCAUGAAUGCGCUCAAGUUUCUUCAAGUUUCGUUGCUCUGUUUGUCACAAAAACAGAGGAAACCAAAUUCGUCCCACAACCAUUUUUUCCACCAUUUUCUUCCUUAAAAUCAUUCCUAACAUUACAGAAAUCCAUGCCGAUCAAAAAACAUGAAAGACAAAUUACACAUGUGCAGUAACCAAUGAUCAUAUUUCGUUACUGUCAAACACAAUGCAUCUGAGCAAAACAUUGGAAGCCAACACCAGAAUACAUAUGAAUAAACAAUUAAAGAUAGAGAAAAAAGGCUUAAACCUUGGGGGAAAAAAGUGAAAAAACAUGAAAGACAAAUUACACAUGUGCAGUAACCAUCGAACUUAUCAGUGACAGCUGCAUCUAUUACAUUGCUCCAACAACACAAUGGCAAACCACCAGUUUCAAAUUGAGGAUAGCUAUCGAGAAUGAGAAAGUGUCCAAAACGUCAUAAAUAGACAUGUUCCUAUUGUGCAUAAUUUACAUUAUAGGCAAAUAUUCUUAUACCAUCAAUGGCAAAACAUGACACUAACAAUUGAUCCCCCCAACACCCCCCCCCCCCACCAACCAAAAAAAAAAAGGAAAUAACAAUACAGAAAAGAUUGAAACAGAUAAGGCUACACUGAGCACAGGAUGCCAUGAAACAUAAUCCAGGAACCAAAUUAAUAAAAAAGGAAGCCAAACCAUUAUUUAACAAUCUGUUUUGUAUUUGGGAAAGUCUGAUAAAAUCUACUUAGGGAUAAUUAGAGAACUUCAACUAUUAAUCACACCUCAUAAAUGAACUAACAUUAACCAUCUACCAUCCCCACGUCACACAAACAUUCUCUAUACUUCUGAACCUAAUACUUCCAUCUUCAAUUGGGGGGUUUUUUUCUUUUUUCUUUUUUUUGGGGGGGGGGGGGGGGGGGGGGGGAAGCUAUCAAUUUUCUAAGCUUGCUUAGCUUCUGUGUGGGAUUGAAAUGCUGAUUUCGAAUCACUAACAGUAAAAUUGGAAGCUCAUGAGAAAAUAGAGAAAGACCUAAUGUUGAGUCCUUUGGCGCAUGUCUCUUCAUAGGUCCGAACCAUUUCUUCGGGCGUGGGUUACGGCCGAGAUUGGAUAAUGAUGGAGGAGGAGAAAAUAGAUAAUGAUUGCACUAAUUUUCUAGAUGAAUUUUUUCCUACAUGCUUGUUCCCGAAUGACCCAAAAUCCUGCUACAUCAGUUGUAUUAGAAAUUAAUCAACUGGGUUACAAUUAUGCAUCCCCACCAAUAUUUAAGCAAUUUACAGAAACAUUUCUUGAGGAAAAAAACUCAUAUCGCCACUAGGCUUUUAAUGAGGCUCAUUUUUAUGAAUUUGGAUGGCAUUAGAUAUCUCUCCAAAUAUUGGUGGGAGUAGAUCGCAGAUCUCUGGGCUAUACUACAAAGUGUAUGUACGUUGACUCUCAAUAAAUACAAACGAUUCUCUGAUAUGAUUCAAAACAUCAGUACAUGCAUCAUUUUAAUGAGAAAGAAUAUUCUAAGAACGAAAUUGAAGGUGCAAUCAGCAGCUAAAAUGAAGCCAGAAAUGUACACGCAUGAGGAACUUUUCCUAGAAGAUUGAUAUUUCUUUGACUAGCAAACCACACACGUCAAAGCUAGCCAAACCAUACCUGCAUGUCGGGGGUUUAAAUGGAGUACUUCUAAGCAUAAAACAUUGAUUAAAACAGAAUACACACAUACAUACCAGCAAAUUCAAAAUAGCAAAAGGAGUGCAAAAGUUCAAGUUUGUAGACAACAUUGCAACCAUGGCAUGUUUAUAGCAAAUCCUCGAAAUCUGCUAAAUAAAACAAUGCCAUGUCUCAUGAAUCAAUGCUGAAUUAAAAUUGAAACUGAAAGUCUGGCUAGCGAUGUUUCCCUCUCCAAUUUUGCCUACAUAAGUGAAAAUAAGAAUAAUAAAUGAAAAUCUGCUUUGACAGUUCUUAUUAGAUAGAUAUAAAAAGAUCUUUCUUUGUUUCUCUGCAGCAAUCUGUGGCUAUCCCACUCUGUUUUGCCAGUCAAGCUGCGGCCUCAAUUAGUUUGGCACUUUUAUGACCUCCUUGAAGGUUUUACGAUAAACAUAAAUCUACUGACAAAGUGGGCAAAAAGAAAAUGUAUAUAAAAGUAUGAGUUAUCAGAUAAGAUUAAAACUCACCCAAUUCAAUCCAUCAGAUUCCGUAAGGAUAUAACUGGAUGUCAUACCGCCACUCUAUAUUCUUGAAAGUCCGUAGUGUUUGUCUCAACUGUGUCUGGGGCCAGUGUAAGUCCAAUUUGCGCAAGCUCUCUAUGCACCACAGCUCUUCUGGAAGCUUUCUCAAGUAAGCACAUGGGUUGACAAUUAAGCUUUCAAGUUUCGGCAUUGCUCCAGCCCCCAUCGUCCACUCAUCUAGCCAAUACAUUGAUUUCAGGUGCAAAACCUUAAGUUCGGGAAAGCUACUCAAGCCAACACAAGCAAGCUUUCUUCCUAAAUACGAGUUCUGCUUCAGUUUCAGCACUCGAAGGAGUGGAAGAUUUUCCAGAAUUGGCAUGGGAUCCUCCAUUAGCUCAGUAUUUGAUAAGCUCAGUUGGAUCAGACUUGGGGGAAAUUGGUAUUCAGACAGGACCAUCCGUGAGGGCUUGCUCUCAUUCACCAGCUUCAAGCAUUCAAGUUUGUGGAGUUCGCAAAGGCUUUUGGAAACCCCAGAUUGAUAGUAACUCAAAUCUCCAGAUAUCCGAAGAGUCUGAACACUAGGUAGUCUGCCCAAUAUAUCAGGAGUACAACUACUAGGGUUUAAAGCUGAUAUGAAAAUGAGAUUUUUCAGAGAGCUAGAAUAAUUUUUUGGAGGUGCGGGCAGAGUGAUAGAACCAAAGUUUAGAUGCAUGAGUUUUUGCAUCAUCCAAAUAUCCUCUGGUGACUGAUCUAUGUAGCUAGAUGGCAUUUCUAGUGUUUCAAGGUUUAAAAGGGUGCAUAGCAGUGAAGGAAGGCAUUUGGGCGAAGGGAUAUUCAAUUUCAAAUACUUCAAAAGGAAUGAAUUUUCUAAUCCGGGUGGAUAUUGGUCCAGGACUGCAGAACCCAUGUUCAAUACCCGAAGGUAUUUGAACCUUUUAAAAAAAUUCUCGCAAUCUUUCGAAUUAAGAUGAUUGCUUUUUGAACUGUGAUUCAGAAAAGAAGUUUCUGCAGAACCCAUGUUAGAAUGUUUCAAAGAAAAGAAGUCAAUCUGAUUACCCAAAAUGAUGUACCGUUUAACAUUUUCCGGUGGUUCAUCUUCCAUGUCAAGCAUCCAGACAAAUCCCGUCUUCUCUGCCACCAAUAACAAUGAAUAAUAUACAAUACUUGGAACAUAACACGCUUUAAUCGUGCCUCCGGCGCUUCUCUUACUCACUUGAAUGAAGCCGCGAUGGAUUAGUUCUUUCAAGUAAUGUUCGGCCGUCUCCUCACUGUUGUAUGGUAUGAAACCUUCAGCUACCCAUAACUGAUAUAAUUGCCUCGUGGAUAUCUCAAUACUUGGAGGGAAGACACACAAAUAGAUGCAGCAGACUUUCAAGUGAAAAGGUAACUCCAUCACAGAGAAAGUUUGUCUCCAUACUGUCGGAAUCGCUUCGCCUUGAAGAUAAUUUCCUAAUGGCAUACUUCCAUAGUGUAGGACGAAAAAUUGCCAGGCUUCAAGCUUUAAUCUGAUCAAUGGUCCUCCAAUGAGCACCGAAUCAAGCCGAAUCUUCUCUCCGUUUUCCAUUUUCAGCGACGUAAGGAGUUCUGGUUCAGUGACCAAUAUCAAUACUCUGCUUCCAUUCUCAUUAUCAGGGAGAACUUCUUCGAGAUCACUCCAUAUCUCACUGUAAUCGAAGACGUCAUCAAGCACAAUAAAGUACUUCUUGUUGGUUAGGUAAUCUCGAAGAACAGAUUUCUUCAAUUGAUAAUGUUCACCGAUAAUUACACUAACCCGAGAUGGAGGCAUCACAGACUUGAUUAUGUCAUCCAAUAUCCAUACUUUAUCGUAGGCUAUAGAAACCCUUACCCAAGCAUGACAGUCAAAAUAGAACUUGACACGGUUAUUAUUGUAAGUAUCUGCAGCAAAAGCAGUCUUAUCGAAGCCACUGCUGUCGAGAAUUGCAACCACUGAAAGCCCAGAUGGUCCCUCAAUCAAUAGAUCAAAAAACUUCUCUCUGCCCCUUUCAAAUUCACUGAUAUCGAGCCGAGGUUGUCCCUCACUCAAUAGGCGUAUGAUUUCGUUCCUUUUUUCACUGAUAUCAAAACCAUUGUCGCCGGGUGGAAGUUGUUGCAUCCGAUUUCUAAUAUCAAUGAUUUUAGUGUGGAGUCCAACAAGAAGAGCCAUAUCAGUACUGCUUUCACUUUCGUUUUCACUGUUUUGCUGCUGCAUGAUUUUGAUGAAGAAUGUGUCAAUGGCUUCCUCAGAUUCAUGGACAAAGUCAUUGAUGUCCUCCAGAAUUUCAAAAAUAUCUGCUGUUUCAACGUCUUCUUCAUCGCUUUCUUCUAAGUCCAACAGUUGCAAAAAAGGCAAUGAUAUUUUGGAGUCAUCUAAUUCUUCUCUAAGGAGUUGAAACAAAUGCCGAGCCAUGUCAGCUUCAUAGUUUCCCAGCAGAGUAGUAGCAAUAAUUUCGGACUCCGUAAGAAGGUUUUGAAAACGUGGAGUUAAAUUUGUUGAAUCUGGCAAAGUUAACGUGCCUUCUUCACCUGCUAACACCCUUUUCAACCUCUCACAAAACAGUCGGAGGUGGAAUUCCAGCAUAUCUCCUUCUCUCCGUAGCACUCAGAGGUAUAGCUGAAAGAUUAAACACCAUGGAAGAAUUUGAAAGGAAAAUGCCAAGAAAUUGUGUAAGUGGCUAAAUUCCACAAAUAUGACAUUAUUGCUCAUUUUUUAACUCAAAAAAAGGGUACGCGUUCAUUUAGAGAAAAGUCCAAGACGCGUGCUUUUUGAAAAGAACAGGUAUCCCAAUCGGUAUCCAACCUUUAUCUUAUUUAAUUACUACCAUGACAUAAUUGAUGGUGCUUAAAUCAAUUGUUUCUUUUUUAAUUUAAAGAAUUUUUCAUUAAAAAAAUAUUUUAAUAUCAAAUUGCCUUCAGUGGCGUAACAACUGCCUGAAGCCCAGUAACAGGACUAAUUAAAAAUUUUACAAUUUUUGGGCAUGGAAAUAGUAGUAUUAAACAUUAGAAAGGUGAGGUUGUUCUGUUAAAGAAUUGAUAUUGACAUAAUUUUAUUUUGGUUUUCGUGGAAAACAAAAAUAUUUGUUGACAAGCAAGAAAAUAUUUUUAUUUUUUAAAAUUUAUUAUGCAUAUUUUAUCAUAUUGAAGUAAUUUUAAUAAUAAAUAGAAACAUAAUAUUACAAUAAAUAAAUUAAAAUUUAACUUAUUUUGAAUAUUAUAAAAAAUAAUUUUAAUAUUAUUAAUAGGAAGACAUUGUAUUAAUUUUAAAAUUUUUUAACCCAAAGGUUUAUUUAAAAUCUUUAUUAUAAAUACAAAUAUAAAAUUAAAUAUCAUAAUUUAAAAUUUUUAAUAUUAUUUUAAGUAUUAAAAAUAUUUUAAUGUUAUUAGUCUACUACAUAGAUCAUAUUACUUAUAUAAUAUUUGUAUUAUUAAAAAUUUUUAAAAUCAAAUUUUUAGUUAGUAUAUUCAUGAGGUAUUAUGGUUACAAAAAAAAGACCUUAUUAUUACUUUUUAAAAAAUUGAGGGUCUGCGAUGAUAAUUUUUUCAAAAAGAAAAUACAUGGUAUGUAGGAGGGGUAGAGAAACAGGACUUCCAAAAUCUCUCACCCUUCUUUAAUUAAAAAAAAAAUUAAAAUAUUAAUAAAAAAUAAUAAAGAAAAUAGAAUUUUAUCUGCUCCUUACUCCAUUUUUGCAACUCUCUCAACAUCUCUGUCGAGCAGCCUUCUCUCUCAUUGUCUCUCACUAUUUCACGAUCUCUCUCUCACUCACACAGGCAAUGACCAUCUCAUCAUCGGCGGUCGUGUCGUCAGUGUCACUGGUCUUGCUCGACCGAGACAGUGAGAGAGAGGUUUCUUAGAUGGAGUGAUGAUAAAGGAUUCUAUUUUUUUUAUUAAUAUUUUAAUUUUUAAAAUUAAAAUGUGCUGCCGUUUCUCUUGUCUUUUUAGCUGUUUAGCAGCACUCUUUUCAAAAUUUAAGAAUGUAGGUGUCCUAUAAGAGAUCGAUAAAAGAACGUCAAUUAAAUUUAUAAAAAUAUGAUAAAAGAACGUCAAUUACUUGUCUUUUAGGGAAUCCAAUGAGAAAUAUGAUAAAAGAACGUCAAUUACUUGUCAUUUUCAAUUUUUUUCUGUAAGCUAUUUAUUUUGAGCAUUAGUGAUCUUGUCUGGACUACUCCAAUUAUUGACGUAACUCCAGUGGCUGCAAUUAAUGAUAUAAAGCUGAGACUUUUGACCAAGUUAUCUAGUUGGGAAAGCAAAUUUUUUUCCAGUGGGGGUAAAGAAGUGUUGAUUAAAGCUGUUGCUCAGGCUGUGCCAGCCUAUGCAAUGAGUGUUUUUAAGAUCCCUCAUAGCUUUUGUGAUGACAUUGAGAAGGCUAUUACUCGUUUCUGGUGGGGUUCCUCUGAAACAAAAAGAAGCAUUCACUGGACAAGGUGGGAACAGUUGUGCCACGCCAAGAUAAGGGGGGGAUUGGGUUUUAGAGAUUUCUCUAGUUUUAACCAAGCCUUAAUUGCUAAGCAGGGGUGGAGAAUUCUGCAGCACCCUGACUCUUUAAUGGCAAAGAUUCUGAAAGCAAAAUAUUUUAAGCAUACUGGUUUUAUGGAUGCGAAAUUGGGUUCACACCCCUCUUUUGUUUGGAGAAGUAUAUUAUGGGGUAGGCAAGUGCUCCAUAACGGCCUAAGAUGGAGAAUCGGCAGUGGGAGUCAAGUUUUAAUUUCCAGUAGCAAUUGGAUAAAAAACCAUAAGCUUCCCAGUUUGGUUCCAUAUUCAGAUCUACCUCCUGAAACUGUAGUUGCUGACCUUAUUGAUGAAAGUCACCAAUGGAAAGAAGAUAUGGUUUUCCAAUAUUUUCCAAUGGAUGUUGCAAAGAGGAUCACCAGAACCCCUCUCCCAAAAACUCCCCAGCAGGAUCUUCUCAUUUGGAAAUAUGAUAAGCACGGAAUUUACUCGGUGAAGAGUGGGUAUCAAUUGGCUGUUAAGCAAAAAUUCCAAAAUUAUCCAAGUUGUUCAGAUGUUACCAAGUCAAGGUGGGAGGUGAUAUGGGCUACGGAUCUUCUAGGAAAAGUCAAGAUUUUUAUUUGGAGGGCUGCUCAAAAUCUUCUCCCUGACUUUUCUUGCAGCCCUCUAGUAUUCAGGGCAGCCUUAACUUCAUCCAAUGAUAAAGUCUGUCUCCCAUACAUGAGUGCAUCCACAAAGUUUGAAUAUGAGGAUGGAAGUGAACUAACCAGAAGCAAUGCUUUACCUUCAUCAUCUAAACCUUCAUCAAUUAUUUCCAAUGUAUCACAGACCUGAUUGAAUUCAUCAAUGUGGUCUUCGAGAGAUGACCCUUCAGCCAUCUUUAGUGUGAACAUUCUUUUCUUGAUGUAAAGUCUGUUGGCUAAUGAUUUAGUCAUAUACACCCUUUCAAGCUUUGCCCACAGAUCAGCCACUGUUCUUUCUCUUGCAACUUCCCUGAUCACCGAGUCUCCAAGACUCAAGAUUAUGGUACUCCUUGCCUUUUUGUCAAUCUCAGCAGCUUGUUGUGGUGUUAGUGAUGAUGAAGAUGUGGAGGCUUCUAAUCCUUCUUUCUUGAUGAUAGGUUCUAAGGCAUCACCUAGCCCUUGAGUGAUCAGUAAUGCCUCCAUUUUAACCUUCCACAUGUUGAAGUCAUUCUUCCCUGUAAACUUCUCUAGAUCGAUCUUUGAACCAACCAUACUUGUGUCUGAUUUGUAAUCCAAGCUCUGAUACCAAUUGUAGUGUUUAAGAGUGACUAACUAUCCCAAUCAACUCAAAACACUUCCCAAGAUCACACCCAAACAAACAAGAUGUACCAAGAAUCAAUCCAGUAGAAUACACACAGAUUAUUAGAACUGAAAGAAUUAAAGAAAAGGACAAGAAUUAACGUGGUUCAGCUAGCUUCAGUCUAGCUUACAUCCACGGGAGAAACAGAACCCAAUUGUAUUGAUUGUUUAAAGGAGUUACAGAGAGUUCAUCAAGCUUGUUACAGAGUCUCUCAAGAAGCCUUUUGUUAUUAAUCUUCUCAACUCACAAUAGCUCUCUCUUCUUUUUUCUCUGUUGCCAGAAUCAGCUGUAUAUAACAGCUUGUUAACGAAUCAGCAACCAACCCAGGAACCCACGUGACAGUCAUGUGAGUUAACUGAUUCUAACGAACCAAGAACGCAACUUAUCCAUGCACGUGAAACUCUCGUGCAUCACUUAACCAAAACGACCUUCAUACAUGUCGUUCCAGGAGAUACGAGUUUGACUUUCCAAAACGCAGCAUCAGCUGACGUUUUCACAAACAGAUUUGCUUCACAUCACAACAUUGGGGGUAGUCAUUAGAAACUCUGUGGGUAAGGUUGUUGCUGCAGCAGUCCAAGGAGCUCCAUAUAGGGGAGAUGUGGCGUGUAUGGAGGUUGAAGCUGUUCUGUUUGGUAUUCAGAGUGCCCAACAAGCAGCUGUUUUCCCAAUAAUUAUUGAGUCGGAUUCAAAGGAAGUGGUGGAUCUAUCCUUAAAGAAAAAGAUCAGCAAGACUGAAAUUGAGUGGAAAAUUGCAGAAAUCCAAGCAAAUCUGGAAAAUCAGAAUGUGUCCUCGCUGUCAUAUGUCCCUAGAAGCUGUAACUCUAUUGCUCAUUCUAUUGCAAAGAUAGCUCUAGGUUUUGAAAGUCAAGUCUUUUGGCUGGAAAACUUUCCAGAACAUAUCAGGUGUACUCUUGCUAAGUUCAUCAAUUGAAAAGCUUUACUUUGCUCAUCAAAAAAAAAAAAAAAAAAAAAACUCCAGUGGCUGCAUCCACUGGAAAAAGUGGAUGAGAACCAUUUUUUUUUCAUAAAGGUAACUACUCACAUAAUUGAUGGUGCUUAAAUCAAUUUUUUCUUUCUUUUUUUUUUAAUUUAAAGAAUUUUGCUUUAAAAAAUAAUUAAUAUCAAAAUGCCUUCAAUGUUGUUACCCUCACAAGCCCAGUUAGAGGACUCAUUAAAAAUUUUAGAAUUUUUAGGCCUGGAAAGCGUAGUAUUAAACAUCAGAAAGCAAAGGUUUUUAUGUCGAAGAAUUGAUGUCGACAAAAUUUUAUUUUAGUUUUCGGGAAAAAAAAUAAUUUGUUGACAAGCAAGAAAAUAUUUUUUAUACUUUACAAUCUGCUAUACAUAUUUUAUCAUAUUAAAGUAAUUUUAAUAAUAUAUGGAAACAUAAUAUUAUAAUAAAUAAAUUAAAAUUACUUUGAAUUAUUAAAUAUUACAAAAAGAUAAUUUUAAUAUUAUUAAUAGGAAAACAUUUUUUAAUUGUAAAAUCUUUUUAAUACAAAAAAUCAUUUAAAAUCUUUAUAAUAAAUACAAAUAUAAAAUUAAAAAAUAUCAUAAUUAAAAUUUUUAAUAAUAUUUAAAUAUUAAAAAUACUUUAAUAUUAUUAAUCUACUACAUAAAAUAUAUUAUUUGUAUUAUACUCGUAUUGAUUAAAACGUUUUAAAGUCAAAUUUUUAAUUAGUGUAUUCAAAGGUAUAAAAGAUUUUAGUAUUAUUUUUUAAAAAUUUCAGGAUAUGAAUGAUAAUUUUUUCAAAUUUUAAAGAUGUAAGAAUCUUUUUUUCUGAUAAUUUAUUUCACUUUUAAGAGAAUCCGAAAACGUUAAUUUAACAUUCUUUACCUUUGUAUAAAAAGUGAAAAUCAAGAACUAUUCAAUUUUGUUUUUAUUUGUAAUUCAAAAACGUUAUUCAUUUUCGAUGCUUUUCAAAAGAGAUUCCUUUAAAUCCUUUUGGUGGCUGCAGCUCCUGCAAUUUUCAUAAAUCUCCAUCCCACAUCAACACUAUCAAACAAGUUGAUGGAAAUUCUUAUCAAAAUUCCACAAAUAUGACGUUAUUGCUCAUUUUUCUCUCAAGACGCGUGCCUCCUGAAAAGAGAUACAUUGAAUAAGUCAAUUGAUUACAUUGUGGGUAAUUAAUUUAGAAGUGAAGCAGAGAAUAAAGUCCUAGAUGCCUUUAGAAAUUAGAAAUACAUUUUAUAUGCUUUAAUUAAUGAAUUCACUGAGGCAUUAUUGAUCCAAUCCCAGUGAAGUAAUUGUGGGUGAAAAAAAAAAAUAAAGUGCUGAAUUGGCUAUUAAAAAAGAGUGUCACUUGAUCACAAUCACAUUGAUCCACAACUCACUCGAGGCAAAUUUCAUCUAUGUGUACUGCAAAUUUAGCCAAACCAUGCAUGCAUGAACAAAAUUAGGCCGUAGUCCUCAUCACAACAUUAAUUGAAGCCACAAAAGCCAGCAAAUCCAAACGAAAACUUAAAAGGAAGUCUUUUAACUAUUGGAAACAUUAAUCAUUUUACAAUCUAUUACAUAAUAAAGAUAAAUUUUAUAAUAAGUUAAGUUAGAACUAGGGAAGGCAAAUUUUCCCGAUGGGAUGGGAUCCUGCGGGAUCCCAUCCCAUUUGGGACGGGAUUGAGACAUAUUUUUGUCCCAUAAAAAAAUUUAGGACGGAAUUGGGAUUUUUUUUAUCCCAAUUACAUAUGCGGGACAUGAGUGGGAUUGACAAAUUCCGUCCCAUCCCAUCUCAUUACCGAUUAAUAAUGGAAAUUUUUCCAAUUGGGAUGGGAUCCCGCGGGAUCCCAUCUCUUUUAGGACGGGAUUGGGACAUAUUUUUGUCCCAAAAAAAUAUAAGGACGGGAUUAUGACAUUUUUUCAUCCCAUUUGCAUAUACGGGAUGGGACUGGGAUUGGUAAAUCCCAUCCCAUCCCAUCCCAUUGCCAACCCUAGUUAAAACAUAUCAAAUAUUUUCAACAUAUAUAAUUAUUUAAGAAGUCUUUUAACAAUAUUUUUUUUUCUUUUUCAGUUAAUCAUGUCAUAUACCGUUAUCUAAAACGCUGGCGAUAUUAUUAUUCCUCACUUUUCUCAAAAAAAAAAAAGAAAAAAAAAAGAAACAUGAUUAACGUUUAGAGAAAAGUCAUGCCUUUUAAAAAGAAUAUGUAUACAAUAGCAAUCCAUACUUUAUAAAAUUGAUGGCGAUUACAAAGAAAAAUUGUUUAAAAUAGAUUUGAUGCACAAAUAUGAUGACUUUUGGCAAAAAUUAGUUUCGGAAAUGUUGAGAUGAAAACCAUAUUAAUUGAGAAUUAAAAUUAUUUAACUACCAUCUAAUAGAUGAAAACCAUAUCAAUUGGGACUUAAAUUAAAAUUUAAAUAUUGAAAUAUCUAGCAUUACUCACAAUAACCAAUUCAAAUUAUGACUAUCAUGUAGAAGCAAAUGUUUAUGCGUGGGUUUUUUACUUCUUGAAUUUGAUUGGAAAAAUUUCUAAGAUAGAGAAGUGUUUUGGAUAAGCUUUUCGGGAUUGAAACCACAAAUUGGUAGAGGAAAUUAAUUUUGGACAAAUUUUUCUUAUAUUGUAGGACCUUCUAGUUGGAGUAGUGAUGGCUUUGUCUUCAUUUUUGGUUCCUUUUGUGUCGGCAGCCCCUUACUAUUCUCUUGACCCUGAGUUUGAGAUAGAAAUUUAUCAACCUCCAACCCCACAUCCACAAACAAGUUGAUUGAAACAAUUGCUCUUUUAAUUAAGAGGACCCAAAUGAUUUAGGUUUCAGUUCUUAUCAUUUGUCUAUUAUUUCUUUGAAACAUUUAUUUUGAGCGUUACUGAUCUUAAUUAUCUGUAUUUCUCCAAUUAUUGAAGAAUUUCAAGUGGCCACUUUUUCUCCUUUUUAUAUAUGUUUAUUUUUUGGAGUGAUCAAACGGGUGCAAAAUCAAGUAUUCGCUGGUCCGUAGUUUAGCCAACUAUGGCUGAUCCACACAGUUGAUUAUAUGAUACUAUUAGCUCUCAAAAUCUUUCUUAUUUGAGAACAUAAAUUGCCCAUUAAAGUUAAACUAUGUUACCCAGCUCCAUGCACAUACAUUAAAUGUUUAGGUAGUUUUACAAAAUGAUAACAGCAUGCCAAAACUUGAUGUUGUCAUAUUCGACAUUUCAAAUUGAAAAAUACGCAAGCAAUCUUCAGUGAACAUUACGUGUUUAUUGAAUAAUUUAAAUGGCCAGUAAAUCAACAGUCCGUGAGUUUUAAAUCUAUUAUGACUUAAUGUAUCUUUCUGUAUUUGUACACAUAUUAUAUUAUCAUAGUUUAAAAUUUUAAUAUUAUUUUAAAUGUUAAAAAUACUUUAAUGCUAUUAGUCUACUACACAGGUUAUAUUAUUUAUAUUAUAUUUGUAUUAAUUAAAACUUUUAAUGUCAAUUUUCUAAUUACUAUAUUAAUAAAGUAUUAUGGUUAAGAAAAAGUUUUGGCAUUUCUUCUUGAAAAUUUGAGGGUCUGCAUGACAAUUUUUCCAUAUUCUAAGGGUAUAAGUUUGAAAAUUUAACAUUCUCUAAAUUGAUGAAACAAAAAGGGGAAACCAAGAACUAUUCAAUUUUGUAUUUUUUGUUUGUAAUUCAAAAAAUGCAUCCACCAAACAAGUUUUACGCAUUAAUGCUGUCAUAAAACGAAAAACAAUUUGCCAAAAAAGGGUACCAAACAUAUCCUUAAUGUCUCACAUGAUUUCUUAGUAAGCCCGUAUUAGAUAUAUUUAUACAUUUUAGGUAUUUUAGUUAUAAAAGAAGUUGGCCCUCCCUUGUUUAUAAAAAAUAACUUUAUUCAUGCACAUAUGCCAAAAGAAUAAAUAGACAGAAAGUAAAUUUACAGUCCUCACUUCCUCACAAUUGUUAACGUGAAGAUGCAUUACAACUGUGAACUGUCACUACUUUAGCCUUUUUUUUUAAAAAAAAAAAUUAUAGUGUGAUGGAGACAUUAAGGAUGAGCAUAACAGUUAAAGAUGACUCAUUUUCUUUUUAAAGUGCUCUGCUGAAAGCCGAACUUCCUUUGGCUAAUUAAUUUAGAAGUAAAGCAGAGAAUAAAGUCCUAGACGCCUUCUGAAAUAAGAAAUACAUUUUAUAUGCUUUAAUUAUGAUUAUUUGGUAGACUAAAGACCUAAAAGAUAUGUCAAAAGUAUAAAACAGAGCGAUUAAAGAAAAAAGAAAAAAAACAGAGUAUUUGUGACGUAGAAUAACAAUUGGUAAAUAAAUCCUAAAUAUUUGAGUUGUUAAAAGCAAAUAUAACAGAGACGGUAAGAGAGAUGCAGAAACAGAAAACUAUUAGCUUAUCUUGAUUUUUCCACUAUAUUCAUUUUCAAUGCUUUUCAAACGAGAUUCUUUUAAUUCUUCUGGUGUCUGCAGCCCCGGCUAUUCUUAUAAAUCUCCAUCCCACAUCUGCACUACGAACAAGUUGACUGAAAUUAAAUAAUGUUGGAGAUGAAGGGUGAGCCGUCAACUUGUUAAAAAAAAACUCAUGUAUAAUAUUAUCAAUAAUAUAAAAUAUAUAAUAAUUAUUACAAAGAAUCAUAAAUUAGAAAAAUUAAUUAUUUUACAAUCUAUUUCUUAAGUAAGGUGGCGUUUGUUUUUUCAUCUGAAAUCUGAAUAGACCUGAAUUAAUCUGAAUUCUGAAUAGAUCUGAAUGUCUGAAUCUGAAUAAUAUGUUUGUUUUUUUGUUUGAAUCUUGGAAAAUAAGUAUUAAGUUGUUUGUUUUUUUCAACUUAAAAAGCUGAAAAUAUGUACUUUUACAUUUAUAUCCUUAUUAAAUUUGAAUGUCAAAUAAAUAAUAAAUUAAAUACCACAAUAUUUUAACAUUUAUAAGUAAAACUAUAUUCAAGUGAAUACAUAAUUAUUUUGGAAUUUUAAUAGAUAAAAUACUAAAAAUUUUAAAUUUUAUCGUAUAUAAUAUAAGAAAGAAAAAAUAGGAAAAUUUUCAUGUGGGGUAAAUGUUUAUGGGUGAGUUUUGGGAUAGACAUGAAAAAUAAAUUAUAAAGCAGGGAUAUUUUUGAUAUUAGCAAGUAAUUGACUUAAUUCAGAUUUCUCCAUUAAGUAAAAAGCCAAAAGAAUUGGCUUAUUUUAUUAAGUCAAAAUUAUCUAAAAAGUCUCAUUAAGUUAUAAAAACAAACACCUCUAAUUAACUUAAUUAAUUAAGUUAAGUCACUUUAAGUCAUUAAGUUAAAAAACAAACGCCACCUAAGAUAAAUCUUGUAAUAAGUUAAGUUAUAACGUAAAAAAUAUUUUCAAUUUAUAAUCAUUUAAGAAGUCAUUUAAUAAUAAAAUCUUUUUUUUUUAUCAGUAGGCCAUGCUACAGAGUAUCAUCUAUAUUCGUGGUGAUAUUAUUAUUACUCAGUAUCCUCAAAAAACACGAUUUAACAUUUAGAGAAAAUUCCUGCCUUUUAAAAAGAACAUGUAUGCAAUAGCUAGCCAUACUUUAUUUUACCACGACAAAAUUGAUGGUGAUUAAAUCAAUUUUCUCAAUUAAAGCAAAAUUUUUUAAAAUUGAUUUAAUGCACAAAUAUGAUGAUUUUUUGUAAAAAUUAGUUUUGGAAAAUAUAGUGAGAGAAAAUGGUGACGAUUAUUUUUCAAAUGUGCAAAUAGCCUAAACAUAAUCUCUAAUACCAAUAUCCAUGUGCAUCUUAACACCUUUCAUGAUAUUCUUUCAUUCAUGGCCAUUUGUUCAAGAUUUGAAUUUGAUUAUUAAAUUAUGUUCAAUAAUGUUAGAGAUCCCAACAAUUGAGUACCAACUUAAAUCCCAAUGCUAUGUGUCAUUAACAAAUGUUGUGUCAUUUAUAAUUAUUGAAUGAAUAAUUCGUUAAUUUAUUGAUAAAUGAAAAUUUAUUAAUUUAAAGAGAGAUAUUUUUUUUUGGUUUUAAGAAGAGUUUUGUUGGUACAUGUACAUACUUAUAAAGAAAUAAACUUGUAAUUAUACUAUAUCUUUCUUUCUUUGUUCAGUUUGGUGGGAUAUUGUGAUAAAUCAUUGGAUUAAAAUGCAUUUCUAAAUUGAAACUUGUUAAAAUCUAAUUUAUUUGGGAAACACAUGUUAUUUGUCAGUCGUACUUCUCAACUUAGCAAGUUAUUUCUAACUUGUCAGUCUCUAUUGGUUCUCUUAAAGUUAAUAGUCUCGAAUCUCCCGCAUUUGAUAUCUUGCCAUUACUCUUGGCAUUAACAUGUUACCUGAGAUUGGGAUUCAUUAAAAUCCUCAAUGUAAUCGGUGGAACGAAUGGAUUUCUUCUGUUCACCAAUCCACCAAAAUUUCUGUAAUUAAAUUCAAAAGUCAAGAUCUAUGCUUAUAAUCUAUUCAACAGUUAAUAUUCUAUUUUAUAUUUACUUAAAUAUGAAGAGCUAUGCUUGUCAUUAACUUCAAAUGUGAUCGAAGCAGCCUUACAUCUGUAUAUUACUUAUUCCCAACCUUUUUUUUGACUUCAUAUACUUUCUUUUCAUGUUAUUUACUCUUUUUUCCCCCCUCUCUAAUGGGGUCAAACUUGAAAGUAUCUUAAAAUCAGACAAUAAUUUUUUUUUUAUGAUAGAUGCUAAUAUGCUCUAUUAGGCAAUGAUAAGUAAUAACCUAGUUGUUUGCAUUAGAAAUGAUAUUUUUUGUGGUGCUGAUAAAGUGGUUGAGUAUGAUUCAACAAUUUAAAAUAUGAAAACAUGUGGAAGACGGCUGCAAAUAAAUUGAUUGUAUGAAAAUAUUUCAAUGAAAUUUUAAAAAUUUAAUACUUGUUAUCUUAUCGAGAGUUCCCAAAUAAUUGGGCUAGUUUAAUUACCGGCCUAAUUAUUGUAGCCACUAUUGUAUGUUCCCAAAUGAUCCCCGGGUUAGCUCAUUUAAUUGACUGCACCACUACUGGACUAAUAAGUAAGAUAACUAGCUAUUUGGGUCAAAAGCCUAAAUAUAUCAUUUAGUGGGAGGCUCCAUUUAAUUAGCUUUUGUAUAAGGGGCCUUAUGUUAUUUUACAAGGUGGGUCCCCUAUUGAAAAAGAAAAUAACGUGAGUUUUAUUUAGGGCAUUAUUUGGAGCCUAGGGUUUUCACUAAAGGGAGAUAUAUAAGGCUUAUUUUCUCUAAAGAAAAAAGAAAAGCCACUUUAUACAGAUCAGAGAAUAAGAUUUUUCUCUCCAUUGUUGAGAGAAAAAUUUUCUCGUGCUAGUUGCUUUGGUAGUGAUAAAGGCGCCCACACGUCAAGUGCAGAUCGAACCUGAGUCAUAACCUGGAAGAUCAUUGGUGACAGUUCAUGAUCUAACAAGCGUGGUGGUGACGGUUCGUGAUCUAACAAGCGUGGUGGUGACGGAUCGUGAUAUAACAAGAGUGGUGGUGGCGGAUCGUGAUCUAGGAGCCUAAAUCACUUCAGCGGAAAAAGCCAACUCGGAUUUUCAAGGUACGAUUUCUAGAAUACGAAUUCUUAUAUAUUAUAUGAGAGCGAUCUUCAAAAGGUUUUAUAAAAAUUUAAAAGCAGCAUGUGCUGCUGGCAGCUCGCUGCUGCGUAUGUAGCAACUGCAGCGCGCGAGCAGCAGCUGCAGUGCCCAAGCAGCAGCGUGAACGUGGGCUGGAGGCGCAGAGCGUUCUGGUUGGCGUCUUUCCGGCGUCGAUGACGGCUGUCCGGUGUGGAAACAGUAAACAACGGCUGGGUUUUUGUGCUGGUGGCGGCUGGGGAAGAAGAGGAAAAGAAAAAUGUGAUUUUAGGGUUCCAUGGUUUUUAUCGUGGAGGUCCCUAUAGCUUCAUAUUUUUCAGUUGGGCAGAAACGUUUUUUAAUUUUUUGCAUUUAAGUCCAAAAACCGUUUUGGGCUUAAAGAAUCCUAGUUUUAGGCCCAAUUUCAAUUGGGCUUAAUGGAUUAAAAAAAUGCAUAGACAAAAUUAAAUACAUUAAAUUUAUUUUUGGUCCAAAAGUUUUAUUUUAAUAAAAAAAAUUAAUUAUUUAUUUAUUUCCUUUCAAAAUUAAAAUUGGACCAAUUAUAAAUUUAAAAGCCCAAUUUCCCCUAGUCCAUUAACAAAAACAAGCUUAUGGAAGAUGGACAUUGACAAGAAGCCCAAUGAAGAUUAGGCAUAGGGUUAAUGUAUUUUUCAUUAUUAGGAAAGGCAUGAAUUAAGAUUAUUUAAUUGUUUUUCUAUAUGUUAUGUUUUGGAUGAUAACAUGCCAUGAUAACAUGUAAUAUAGAAUAGGUAGUGCCACUCUAUGCAUAAUGAUACAUGUCAUUCAUUAAUUAUGAAUUUCAUUAUAUUGUUUGAAAUUUGCGCAUGCUUAAUAAUAUUUGAUAUCAUCUAGAUAAUAUUAUAGGAAGCAUGCAAUUAACAAUAUGUAUGUUUUAAAAAGGAAAAACCAAUUUUAAAAUAUUGAGUGGGAGAGGGAAAAUUCAAGAUAAUUUUCCCACGGGCUCCAUUGUUAGUUCAAUAAUAAAAUUAUAUAUAUACCUCGACUUCAUGAUACAGUGAUGCUCAUUACGGAGGGUAUAUAUAUUAGAUAGUUUAUUUGAUGAACUUCUUCAAAGAUAAAAUUGAAAUAUUUUUCAAUCGAUUGUUCACCCCAACGGUGACUAUUGAUAUGAAAAAUACGUAGAUUGAAACAAUGGUUAUACACUCAACUAAAGUUUGUUAUUAAUCUUCCCAACGAAGCUCUGUUAACAAAUUUAGGCCCAAAAAGAUAACGAUAAUUAUUUAUCAUGUCUCUACAUGAAAGUAAAUAAUCCAAUGGGUAAUUGGGUCUAGUAAGUAUAGACAUGACUUCCCCACCGGAUAGCUUGUCAAAGCAGUACUAGAUUAUCGUUACAAUAAAUUAAAAUGCAUUUAUGGUUUUUUGCAUUUUUUUCAUUUAUUGUGAAUAUUGAUUCAAAUUAUUUAUGCAUGGAUGUUUUUAUUUUUCAGAAAAUGUCUUCCCUGAGCCCACUUACUAUUAUUCUGAGUCAAAACAAACUCACUGGAGAGAACUAUAUAGAUUGGAAAAGAAAUCUAUUCAUUGUCCUGACUGCUGAAAAUUAUAAAUAUGUCUUAACCCAGCCAUGCCCCCCAGUUCCAGCGGAUGAUGCUCAUAGAAAUCAGAGGAGGCUUUAUGAGAAAUGGCAAAAGGCCAAUGAAAUGGCAAAGUGCUACAUUUUAGCCUCGAUUUCUAAUAUUCUGCAGACCAAACAUCAGAACUUGGAGACUGCCACUGAAAUAAUGAAUAGUCUCCAACAGAUGUUCGGGCAGAGUACUCGCUCUGCGAGACAAGCAGCGCUGAAAGGAAUUAUGAACAGUAAAAUGGGGAAGGGCACAAGAGUUCGUGAUCAUGUCCUCAAAAUGAUGGACUAUUUGAAUGAGGCUGAGAUUCAGGGAGCACAAAUCGAUGAUAACUCAAAGAUUGACAUGGUGCUAGAAUCUCUGCCAGAAACAUUCAAGGAGUUUAAGGUCAAUUAUAACAUGAACAAAAGAAAUAUGACCUUAACUGAAUUGAUGAAUGAACUCCAUUCUGCUGAAGAGAUCUAUCGUGCUGAGAAAUCUCUGGGAAGCAUAAAUUUUACUGAAAAAAGUUCAUCUUCUGGGCCUAAACCGAAAGGCAAAGGUAAGAAGAAAGCUGGGAAAAAAAGACCGUCUACCAAGCAAGAUGGCAAGCCGAAAGGCAAAUGCUUCAAGUGUGGACAGAAAGGUCACUGGAAAAAGGAUUGCCCUAAGAUUGUGAAAUCAGGUAUGGGAAAUCUUUUUUGUAAUUGAGGCCUGUUUAGUUCAGAAUCCUAUUGACACUUGGGUGUUGGAUUCAGGAGCAACUAAUCAUAUUUGUAAUUCACUUUAUUGGUUUCAGGAAACCAGGAAAAUAAGUGAAAGAAGCGUCAAGCUGCAGUUAGGGACAGGACAGUUCGUGUCAGCAGUAAAGACUGGAUCUGUUUUAUUAUCUUUUAAUAAUGAGACUUUAGUUUUGAAUAAUUGUCUUUAUGUUCUAGACAUUAAGAGGAAUUUAAUUUCAGUAGCUUGUUUGUCAAAGCAAGGGUACACUGUAAAUUUUGGAUCCUCUGUUUCUAUUUUUCAUAAUAAGAGACUUAUUUGUUCUGGUACAUUGGAAGAUAAUUUAUAUCAUUUAAGUCCAAUGAUCCAUUCUAUGCAUGACACAGUGAUAAAUAAUAAUGAGCAUACACAUUUAUCUAAGAAAAGAAAUAUUUCUUCCAACCAAUGUUACCUCUGGCAUUUAUGCUUGGGUCAUAUAAACCAAAAUAGGAUACAAAGAAUGAUCAAAGAUGGGCUCUUGGGUCCAUUAGAAAAUGAAUCAUUGCCACUCUGUGAAUCCUGUUUAGAAGGGAAAAUGACCAAAAGGCCAUUCUCGGCCAAAGGAGUACGUGCAACAGUACCACUUGAAUUGGUACAUACAGAUGUAUGUGGACCAAUCAAUGUACAAGCUCGAGGAGGUUAUGAGUAUUUCAUCACUUUUACUAAUGAUUACUCAAGAUACGGUUAUGUUUAUCUGAUGCGUCAUAAGUCUGAAGCUCUUGAGAAAUUCAAAGAGUAUAGGGCUGAGACAGAAAAGCAAUUAGAUAAGAACAUAAAGAAACUUCGAUCUGAUCGAGGUGGUGAAUUUCUCUCAGGAGAUUUCAAAGAGUAUCUGGUUGAAAAUGGGAUUAUAUCUCAAUUGACUGCCUCGGGAACACCACAACAAAAUGGGGUAGCUGAAAGAAGAAAUAGAACUCUUUUGGAUAUGGUGAGAUCUAUGCUUAGUUAUUCUUCAUUACCAAUCUCUUUUUGGGGACUAGCACUGGAAACUGCAGUUUACCUUUUGAACUUAGUUCCAUCUAAGUCAGUGCCUAAAACCCCAAUAGAAUUAUGGUCAGGUCGCAAACCAAGUUUACGACAUGUCCGUAUUUGGGGAUCACCAGCACAUGUGCUGAAACCAAAGGCAGACAAAAUGGAUUCACGUUCUGAGGUUUGUAUGUUUGUGGGGUAUCCCAAAGGAACAAGGGGAGGUUUAUUUUAUAGUCCUCAAGAUAGGAAAGUGAUCGUGAGCACACAUUUCACUUCCCUUGAGGAAGACUAUAUGAAUAACUUCAAACCUAAGAGUAAGGUAAUACUUGAAGAGCUGUCAGGUGAUCAGGUUGAUGCUCAGCUUUCAACGCCUGUUACAGAACAGGAAGAACAGCAACAACCAGAUGAUCAACACAGGAUUAACCCUGAACAACCAUCACUUUUAUAACCUCGUCGUAGUGGGAGGGUAACUAGGUUACCUGCGAGAUACAUGUUUUUGGGAGAAAUCUAUACGGCUAUCUCAGAUGAACAUGUACAAGAUCCCACUAGUUACAACGAAGCUCUAAUAGAUAGAGAUGUUGAAUUUUGGAAAAAGGCCAUGAAUCAAGAAAUGGAUUCUAUGUAUUCCAAUAAAGUCUGGGAACUUGUAGAGGCACCAAAUGGGAUAAAACCUAUAGGGUGCAAGUGGAUCUACAAGAGAAAAAGAGGAGUAGACGGAAGGGUGGAAACAUUUAAAGCAAGAUUAGUAGCCAAAGGGUUUACUCAGAAAGAGGGAAUUGAUUAUGAGGAAACUUUUUCUCCGGUUGCUAUGCUUAAAUCCAUCAGGAUUCUGCUCUCCAUUGCUGUAAUGCUAGAUUAUGAAAUUUGGCAAAUGGAUGUCAAGACUGCCUUUCUUAACGGGCAUCUUGAAGAAAACAUCUACAUGCAGCAACCAGAUGGAUUUAUACAAAAAGGCCAAGAACACAUGGUAUGUAAGUUGCAGAAAUCCAUUUAUGGAUUGAAACAAGCAUCCCGGUCAUGGAACAUCAGAUUUGAUCAAGCGAUUAAAUCGUUUGGAUUCAUUCAGAACAUUGAUGAACCAUGUGUGUACAAGAAAAUUCAAGAAAAAUCUGUAGCCUUCCUAAUUUUUUAUGUAGACGAUAUUCUCCUAAUUGGAAACGAUAUAGGAGUAUUGACUACAAUAAAGAGUUGGUUAGCAAAACAAUUUGAUAUGAAAGACCUGGGAGAGGCAAGUUAUAUUCUUGGUAUCAAAUUACUACGAGACCAGAAGAAUAAAACUUUAGCCUUGUCUCAAGCGGUCUAUAUCGAUAAGAUAUUGGCUAGAUUUAGCAUGGAAAAUUCCAAGACUGGUUUAUUACCAUUCAGACAUGGAAUUACAUUCUCUAAGGAUCAAUCACCUAAAACAUCUGAAGAGAUAGAGAGAAUGAGACGAGUUCCCUAUGCAGAAGCUGUGGGAAGUCUUAUGUAUGCCAUGCUUUGCACUAGGCCAGACAUCUGUUUUGCGGUAGGGAUGGUUAGUAGAUAUCAAUCUAAUCCUGGACCUGAACACUGGACUGCGGUCAAGCAUAUAAUGAAGUAUCUGAAAAGAACUAAAAAUUAUAUGCUUGUGUAUUCUGGUGAUGAACUCAUUCCAGUGGGUUAUACUGAUUCUGACUUUAUGUCAGAUAAGGAUUCCAGAAAAUCAACUUCCGGCUAUGUGUUUACAUUGGGAAGUGGAACUAUUAGUUGGAGGAGUGUGAAACAAUCUUGUAUCGCAGACUCCACAACUGAAGCUGAAUAUGUGGCUGCAUCCGAAACUGCAAAAGAAGCUGUAUGGCUCCGCAAGUUCCUACAAGAUCUUGAGGUGGUACCUGCUGUAACUGCACCCCUUAAACUAUUUUGCGAUAAUAGUGGUGCGGUAGCUAAAUCUAAGGAACCACAAGAAACAAAAACAUAUUGAGAGGAAGUAUCAUCUUAUAAGGGAUAUAGUGCAGAGAGGUGAUGUGGAGGUUACUCAGAUUGCGUCACAGCAAAACUUGGCAGAUCCUUUUACUAAGGCCAUACCUGGGAAACCUUUUAACUUGCACUUGGAAUCCAUGGGCAUGCGUGAGAUGCCAAAUAUGCUUUGAGAGCUAGUGGGAGAUUGUUGGGAAAAUAUGCCCUUUAAAAGCAUAUGUGUUUAUUUAAUUGUAAUAAACAAUUUUUCUGAUUAAUAAAAUAAAUGAGGUAUUUUAUUCAAAUAUCUUAAUUGCAUUAAUAUUUGUAUUAAAGUCCAUUUAAUCAUAUUAUAUGUAUUUAUGUGAUCACCAUGUGGAUUCACAGAAGACAUAAAUACAAGUUAUCUUAUGAUUAAAUAAAUUUAGUUCGCAGUUGAUAAAUAAAGUUGGGCACUUUAUUUAGGUAUAGACUGUAAUAAAUUCAUUGAAUGAUUUGUCUUAAUCAUGUAUGAAUUUAUUGAUGUAGUACGACUACAUUAAACAGGAUCACAUGUGAGAUUUAAUUAACUUUGUAAUAACUGUCAGACUUAUUAAAUCUUAUAGGCAUUGAUUUUACUGUAAUCUUAAUCUUGAGUUAAUUAUGAUUUCAUGAUUGUAAUUGUUAUUCCAUUUGAGUUACCAAUGGGCACGACACAUCCUUGUGGUCAAGAUUACCCGGUAUCUUGGUGGGAGCAAUUAUGAGUAUUGGAGUUAUGGAUUAACAAUAUAGAAUUUGUACAACACAUCUCUCGAUAGGUUUUCGGCACUUGAUCAUAGAAUUCUUUGGCCAGAGUGUGUCAACAUAUUUAGUAUGUUGAAAAUGAUCAUUAGAGAAAACCAGUAAGGAUCAAGGAAUAAGAUGUUAUUAAAUUGAUUGGACAGUUGAGAUAUCAAUUUAAUUAACGAUGUGGUACAAAGGAUUGUGCAGUAAAGAAAUCAAUGUGGCUUGGGACGAAUUAUUAUUCGAGCAUACAAUUAUGGAAGUCAGUUCCAAUCUUUUAGUGGAGUAGAUUUGGAAUUAAAUAAUUGGGCUAGUUUAAUUACAGGCCUAAUUAUUGUAGCCACUAUUGUAUGUUCCCAAAUGAUCCCCGGGUUAGCUCAUUUAAUUGACUGCACCACUACUGGACUAAUAAGUAAGAUAACUAGCUAUUUGGGUCAAAAGCCUAAAUAUAUCAUUUAGUGGGAGGCUCCAUUUAAUUAGCUUUUGUAUAAGGGGCCUUAUGUUAUUUUACAAGGUGGGUCCCCUAUUGAAAAAGAAAAUAAUGUGAGUUUUAUUUAGGGCAUUAUUUGGAGCCUAGGGUUUUCACUAAAGAGAGAUAUAUAAGGCUUAUUUUCUCUAAAGAAAAAAGAAAAGCCACUUUAUACAGAUCAGAGAAUAAGAUUUUUCUCUCCAUUGUUGAGAGAAAAAUUUUCUCGUGCUAGUUGCUUUGGUAGUGAUAAAGGCACCCACACGUCAAGUGCAGAUCAAACCUGAGUCAUAACCUGGAAGAUCAUUGGUGACAGUUCAUGAUCUAACAAGCGUGGUGGUGACGGUUCGUGAUCUAACAAGCGUGGUGGUGACGGAUCGUGAUCUAACAAGAGUGGUGGUGGCGGAUCGUGAUCUAGGAGCCUAAAUCACUUCAGCGAAAAAAGCCAACUCGGAUUUUCAAGGUACGAUUUCUAGAAUACGAAUUCUUAUAUAUUAUAUGAGAGCGAUCUUCAAAACGUUUUAUAAAAAUUUAAAAACCGAAUUUUUUCACCAACACUAUGUAGCUAGAUGGCAUUUCUAGUGUUUCAAGGUUUAAAAGGGUGCAUAGCAGUGAAGGAAGGCAUUUGACCGAAGGGAUAUUCAAUUUCAAAUACUUCAAAAGAUAUAAAUUUUCUAAUCCGGGCGGAUAUUGGUCCAGGACUGCAAAACCCAAAUUCAAUACCUGAAGGUGUUUGAACUUUUUACAAAAAUUCUCGCAAUCUAUCAGAGCGAGACGAUCGCUUUCUGAACUGUGAUUCAGAAAAGAUUGGAGACGCAUGUCAGAAUAUUCUAAAGGAAAGAAGUCAAUCAGGCGUUCCACAAUGAAGCACCGUUUAACAUUUGCCACUGAUUCUUCUUCCAUUUCAGGCGUCAAGACAAAUCCCGUCUUCUUUGCCACAAAAUACAAUGAAGUAAAUUCAAGACUUGGAACAUAACACGCUUUAAUUGUGCCGCCGGCGCUUCUCUUACUCACUUGAAUGAAGCCGCGAUGGAUUAGUUCUUUCAAGUAAUGUUCGGCAGUUUCUUCAUCGUUGUAUGGUAUGAAACCUUCAGCUACCCACAACUGAUAUAAUUGCCUCGUGGACAUCUCAAUACUUGGAGGGAAGACACACAAAUAGAUGCAGCAGACUUUCAAGUGAAAAGGUAACUCCAUCACAGAAAAAAUUUAUCUCCAAACUGUCGGAAUCGCUUCGCCUUGAACAUAAUUUUCUAAUGGCAUACUUCCAUAGUGUAGGAUGAAAAAUUGCCAGGCUUCAUGCUUUAAUCUGAUCAAUGGUCCUCCAAAGAGCACUGAAUCACGCCGAAUCUUCUCUCCAUUUUCCAUUUCCAACGACGCAAGGAGGUGUGGAUCACUGACCAACAUCAAUACUCUGCUUCCAUUCUGAUUAUCAGGAAGAACUUUUUCAAGAUCACUCCAUAUCUUACUGUCAUCGAAGACAUCAUCAAGCACAAUAAAGUACUUCUUGUUUGUUAGGUAAUCUCGAAGAAUAGAUUUCUUCAAUUGAUAAUCUUCCCCGAUAAUUACACUAACCCGAGCUGGAGGCAUCACAGACUUGAUUAUGCCAUCCAAUAUCUUGCCAAAAUCGUAGGUUAUCGAAACCCUGACCCAAGCAAGACAGUCAAAAUAGAACUUGACGUGAUCAUUAUUGUAAGUAUCUGCAGCAAAAGCAGUCUUAUCGAAGCCACUGCUGUCGAGAAUUGCAACCACUGCAAGCCCAGAUGGUCCCUCAAUCAAUAGAUCAAACAACUCCUCCCUGCCCCUUUGAAAUUCAUUGAUAUCGAGCCGAGGUUGUCCCUCAUUCAAUAGGCGAAUGAUUUCGUUACUUUUCUCACUGAUAUCAAAACCAUUGUCGCCGGGUGGAAGUUGUUGCAUCCGAUUUCUAAUAUCAAUGAUUUUAGUGUGGAGUCCAACAAGAAGAGCCAUAUCAGUACUGCUUUCACUUUCGUUUUCACUGUUUUGCUGCUGCAUGAUGUUGAUGAAGAAUCUGUCAAUGGCUUCCUCAGAUUCAUGGACAAAGUCAUUGAUGUCCUCCAGAAUUUCCAAAAUAUCUGCUCUUUCAACAUCUUCUUCAUCGCUUUCUUCUAAGUCCAACAGUUCAUCGAAAUCUUCUCUAAGGAGUUGAAACAAAUGCCGAGCCAUGUCAACUUCAUAUUUUCCCAGCAGAGUAGUAGCAAUAAUUUCGGACUCCGUAAGAAGGUUUUGAAAAAGUGGAGUUAAAUUUGUUGAAUCUGGCAGCGGCAACGUGCCUUCUUCACCUGCUAACACCCUUUUCAACCUCUCACGAAAUAGUCGGAGGUGGACGUCCAGCAUAUCUCCUUCUCUCUGUAUCACCCAGAGGUAUAGUUGAAAGAUUAAACACCAUGGAAGAAUUUGAAAGGAAAAUGCCAAGAAACUGUGUAAGUGGCUAAACCAUGAAAAAUUGAUCAUUUUUUUGCAUUGUAAGUUGCGCGUUCAUUUAGAGAAAAGUCCAAGACGCGUGCCUUUUGCAAAGAACAGGUAUCCCAAUCGGUAUCCAACCUUUAUCUUAUUUAAUUACUACCAUGACAUAAUUGAUGGUGCUUAAAUCAAUUGUUUCUUUUUUAAUUUAAAGAAUUUUUCAUUAAAAAAAUAUUUUAAUAUCAAAUUGCCUUCAGUGGCGUAACAACUGCCUCAAGCCCAGUAACAGGACUAAUUAAAAAUUUUACAAUUUUGGGGCAUGGAAAUAGUAGUAUUAAACAUUAGAAAGGUAAGGUUGUUCUGUUAAAGAAUUGAUAUUGACAUAAUUUUAUUUUGGUUUUCGUGGAAAAAAAAAAUUUGUUGACAAGCAAGAAAAUAUUUUAUCAUAUAAAAGUAAUUUUAAAAAUAAAUAGAAACAUAAUAUUACAAUAAAUAAAUUAAAGUUUAAAUUAUUUGGAAUAUUAUAAAAAAUAAUGUUAAUAUUAUUAAUAGGAAGACAUUUUGUUAAUUUUAAAAUCUUUUUAAUCCAAAGGUUUAUUUAAAAUCUCUAUAAUAAAUACAAAUAUAAGAUUAAAAUAAAAAUCAUAAUUUGAAAUUUUUAAUAUUAUUUUAAAUGUUAAAUAUACUUUAAUGUUAUUAGCCUACUACGUAGAUUUUAUUAUUUAUAUUAUAUUCGUAUUGAUUAAAAUUUUUUAAAGUCAAUUUUUUAGUUAGUACAUUCAAGAGGUAUUAUAGUUAAAGAAAAGAUUUUGGUGCAACUGUUUUAAAAUUUCAGCGUCUAAAUGAUAAUUUUUUUAAAAUUUAAGGAAGUAGGUAUUAUUUUUCCAACAAUUAUUUUACUUUUGAGGGAAAUCCGAUAAGAAAUAUCAUCAAAGAACAUUAAUUUAACAUUCUUUACCUUUAUGAAAAAAGUGAAAACCAAGAACUAUUCAAUUUUGUAUUUUUUGUUUGUAAUUCAAAAAAUGCAUCCACCAAACAUGCUUAUCUUGAUUUUCCCACUUUAUUCAUUUUCGAUGCUUUUCAAAAGAGGUUCCUUUACUGGUCAUUGUCUACACUAUCAAACAAGUUGAUGGAAAUUGAACCCAUUAAGUUAUGUUCAUUACUGGUCAUUGUCUUUCUAUGAGCCACUUAUUUGGAGCAUUAGCGAUCUUAUAAGGAAUCAUGCCUUUUCAGGAUCGUUUUCUUUCAUUUCCCUAUUGUAGUAGUUAAUUAAAUAAAGAACGAACAGCUGAACUUGGUCUAUUUCGAGGAAGACCAAGGCUUCCAAUACUAGAGGAACUUUGAAGAAAAUUAAUUGGAAACCUUUAUUCAUCUUUGAAGAAAAUUACGUGCCAAUGUAACGAAGGCUUUUAUUCAUCUUCGGACUAUGAAUUUGUACAAAAACAUUAACAGAAAAUAAUAAAGACACAGCUAAAUGAUAGCAGCAAGUGCUGAUUUAGUGAACCACUUCUACAAGUAAAUAAAAACUAAAUAUUUAUUUUGACUAUAACAACAACUACCCUCUUGAAUAGGACUCUACAGCAGCCACAUGACAACUAAUUUCUCCAUAAUAUUAUUAUUAGUAGAAGUAGAUUUUCAAAAUUGUCUUGAUAUAUUUCAAAGUUGUAUUAUCAGCGUAUAUGUAUCUAGAUUGUAACUAUAUUUUAAAAAAUAUAAAAAUUUUAAUUAUUGCACAGUAAUGUAGAACAAUAUCUACAAAAUAAUAUUGUUAGGACUAAGAAAAAAUAUUAUUUUAGAUAAGUUAUUUAUUUAUUAUUGAAUGAAAAAUUUAUCAUGAUAAAUGAAUAUUUAUUAAUUUAAAGAGAGAUUUUUUUUGGUUUUAAGAAGAGUUUGUUUGGUACAUGCACACACUAAUAAAGAAACACAAAAAGUGCUUCCUCAAGUCAAUAGUAUUUGCUUUAAUUGCUAAGGUGCAUAAUAACGUAGCUUAGUUAGGAAAUUUGUAAUUAUAUUAUGGCUCCGUUUGGUAUAAUUUUUUAACUAGAACUUAUUUAAGGAGGGCUUUUAUUAGUAGAGUUUUUAUAAAUAGAGAUUUAACAAAAAAAAUUAUAGUUAUUUAGUUGUCAAUGUACAAAUUGAUGAAUUAUUGUUCUUUUUGUUAACAUGUGUUUGUUUUACUUAAUAAUAAAAGUUUAGUUUACAACAUUGAAGUUCAGCAGAGCAUUUUUGCAGCCAGUCACAUUAUACAUUAUACUAAUAGCAUCGGCAAGAGUUUUCGAUUGUUGCAACUUGCAAUGCACACGAUGCGAGAAAAUGAGAAUCUUGUUUAAUUGCAAUAUUGACAAACCUAAUCCUUUCGUAGGGAGUAAUUUAAUAAUCGUUCGUUAGUUGAAGCGUUAAUUUAAUAAGCGUUGAUUUCCCUUCGAUAACUCGAAGUCCACGACGAUUCUUCUUCUUCUCUGCUGCUCAUUACGCUUCUACCCAAACCCUAGGAUUCAAACCUUUGCUUAGGAGAGAAUCAAAGCGAUUGGUGUUGGAGGUGAUUGAGGCUCUUAGAAGCUUAGAGGUGUGUUAAUUCAAAUUCUUUUGUCGAGAUAAGUAAUUUCAUUCCUAAUAUACUGGAUAUGUAUAAGUAUUUUGAUGUUAUUAUAAGAGUUUUUAUACUUCUUAGAAGAUUAAUAGAUUUUCAUACCAAAAUUAGUUUAUGAAAAUGUUUUCAAAUCUGAAUUCUUUUGAUAAAAUAUUUUACAAAUGCGUUUUAAUAUGUAAAUUAUUUUAUGACAUGACUGCCUUUUAUGAUUUUGUCUAUGAAAUAUUUUUGCAAGCCUAAAUUGUUGCUAUAGACUUUCAUGAAUCUAAUAUGAAUGUUUUGUGCCUAUGUAUGAUUUUAAUUAUUUAUGACUGUACGGGGGCCACCUCUUGAGAUUAUAUGGGGGCCACCUCUUGAGGGCCAAAGCGCCGCAAAGUGCCACAUAGAGUGCAAAGUGCCAUGUAUAAGUCAUUAUGUUUUGGCUCAUUGUCCGUAGUUAUUCUGAUUCUAAUUCUGAUCGUAUUAUACGAUAUAUUUGUUCUGGACUAGUACUAGGUUUAUGUUCUAAGUGUGCACACGAUAUUCUGAUUCUGUUUCUGGUCAGGUCACCGAGACUAUAGGUGAUACUAUGUGACAUGAGCUAACUAUCUGCUUUCUGUGUACACUUUAUACGAUUUGCUUUCAUAAUUGAUUAUUCUUUUGAUACUCUGAAUUACCAUGAAUUUAUGUUAUAUAAUUGAAAUAUGUUGUUUUAUGAAGUUUAUGACUUAUAAUAUAUGUUUUUGAAUAAAAGAAGGCUUGCAAUAUUUUUGAUAUCGAUAGGCCUAGUGUAUUAGGAAUGAUUUUACCUACCGAGUUGACAGCCCACCCCUCGUUAUUACUUUUUGCAGAUUAAGUUCCUUUUAAGAGGUAUGCGUAGCUUUGGAGUUAGAGAUUUCGUUUCCGUUUGCUAUUUGAAUAAGAAGAGGAAUAGACUCAUGUUUCUUUUUAGUUUAUUUCUGUUAUGAGCUUGUAAUUUGGAGUUUGAGACUUUUGUUAUUGUUAUGUUUUGGAAGAGAUUAUUUAGUGUUAGACGUAUUAAUUUGCGGAUUUAUUUGAAUAAGAAUUUGAGGUAUUUGAGCUUGGAAUUUAUAAGUAAGGAUUACGAUUUGUAAGUAACCUCAUUCUUCAUGUGCUCCGCACGUGUUAGAUUUGGGGUGUUAUAUGUUUCGUAUAACUUUUCAAGUAGAGCUUAUUUAAAUAGAAUAUUCGUCAAUAAAGCUUCUAUAAAUAUAGAUUUUACUAAAAAAAAUUUAGUUGUUUGGUUGUCAAUGUCCAAAUUGACGAACUUUUGUUCCUUUGCUAACAUGUAUUUGUUUUACUUAAUAAUAGAAGUUUAGCUUACAAUUACACCGGCGUCAAAUCAACAGAGCAUUUUGGCAGCCAGUCACAUUAUACAUUAUACUAAUAGCAUCGGCAAGAGUUUUCGGUUGUUGCAACUUGCAAUGCACGCGAUGAGAGAAAAUGAGAAUCUUUUCUAAUUGCAAUAAUGACAAACCUAAUCCUUUCGUUGGGAGUAAUUUAAUAAUCGUUUGUUAUAAUUGAAUAUGUAUAAAGAAAGGAAAAUUCUAUUCAUAGAUUUCGACUUAUUUUUUGUUUAAAGUAAUUAAUCAUUCAACCAUCUUCAUUUGCCUCUGGCCAGUGCCCUUGUAGAUUAGUUGAAGCGUUAAUUAAUUCAGAUAAUUACAACGUCCUUUUCGCUAAUUAAUUAUGAUUAUAUAUGUUUCAUAUAGCAAGUGGCUUUGUAGAUCUAAACCAAGUUGCUAUUUCAAAACGUUAAUUAAGUGAUUCUCCUCAUUGUCAUCAGCGUUAUACGCUCUAGGAAAAUAGCUCAAUUGUUUCCCUGCAUUGACUUUCAUUGGUAAGUGAUUUCUUAUGAAAUUCUUUUGAGCUUUCCUUAUUAAAAAAGCUUGAGCUUUUAUCACCUAAUGCGGAUAUCAAUUAACUUGUGAAUGAUUUUGCAAUGAAACUAGGAGUUAAAUAAGAUUUUUACAUGAUGAAUUUUUAUUUUUUUAAUUUUUUGAUGUAGUCAAUUUGCUAAUUUUAUGUAUUUCAUAUUCAACGGAAUUUGGGCACGGAAAGUUUGGAUUCUAAUAUUUAUAUGUUUAGCUUUAAUCAGUUUGACUUUCGUAAUCUUUUUCCCCUCAUCAUUAAGGGAUUCAGAAUUAGAGAAACGUUAGGAAGAGGAAGAAAAUAAUUUCGGAAAUAAGUAAGAGGGAAAAAAUUAUUAAAUUAGGAAUGAUUUUUUGUAGAGUAUGUUCCGUUUACUAAACUGAAAUCGAAAUGAGCUGGAAUCAGAAUGGAUAGAAAUGCGAAUGCGCUGGAAUGAGAAUAAGUAAUGAGAAUCAGAAUAAGUUGUUUACUUGAAUUGUAAGAAUCGAAAUCGAAAUGAGCUGGAUUGCAAUUACUUUGUCCUACAAUUAGAAUCGGAAUGAGUUAGAUUGUAACAAAUUACUAAAAGGUACUUAAUGAAUUAUUGUCAUAAUAUUAUUUUAUAUUUUAAUUAUAGUGAUUAUUUAUUCUAAAAUUAUUAUUAUUAAUUAUUUUCAAUAAUAUGUUAAUAUGUUAAUUAAUUUUAAAAAUUAUUAAUUAAUUUAUUAUAAUAAUAUACUAAUUAAUUAUAAUAAUUAUUAUAAAAAUAUAUUAAUUAUUAAUAAUGAAAUUACUUAUUUAAUUAUAAUAAUAUAUUAAUUAUUGUGAUUAUUUAUUCAAAAAUUAUAAUUAUUAAUAAUUAUUGUUAAUAAUGUAUCAAUAUAUUUUAUAUUAUGAAAUUGUGAUGUAUUGUAGACAAAUAAGGAAUUUGGUACAAUAAAUUCUUAAUAUCUUAGUACAAAGUAUGGUAAAAUGGUAUUUUAACUUAUUGUAGACAGAUUAAAUUUCGACACACUUAAUCCAUGAUAAAAUUAAUGGAAAAUAAUGAUAAUUUAUACAAUUAAUCUUUUGAGCAAUAAAAAAAUAAAAGAAAAAGAAGUUACUAAAUUAUGUUUACUGCUAAGAGUGAAUCCACAAUCCUAAAUAAUUAUUUCCAUCGUUUCACUUAAAUUAAAUAGUGUGAAUUUAAAUUCUAAUUUUUUGAUAAAUUAAAAAGAAAUAAAAAAUUAAAAUUUUUCUCUAUGGAUCGACCUCGGAUUGAUCAAUUUAUUUCAUAACAACACACUUUUAUACUUGAGAGUUAUAAAUCACUUUGAAGUUGUGUUAAGUUUUUGACGCUCUUACGGGGAAAAAAUAUUUAUUUUAUUUUAUGUAUGGGUCAAACUUGAAAGUAUAUUUUAAGAUAACUGCUAAUAUGCUCUAUUAGACAAUGAUAACCUAGUUGUUUGUGGUGUUCAUAAUGAGUUUAAUUAUGAUUAAACAAUUUAAAAUAUGAAAAAAUAUGGAAGAUGGCCGUAAUUAAAUUGAUUGCAUGAAAAUAUUUCAAUGAAAUUUUAAAAAUUUGGUACUUAUUAUCUUAUCAAAAGAUUUUUAAAUUAUAUUACUACUUCAACUUAACUCCUCCUGGAUUGAUUGUAUUGAAUUUCCAGCACUGCCAUUGCUUCUACUUGAAAGCCAUUUAAGUUUGUGUAAGCUACCUAUAGUUUGAAUAACAAUUUACUCAUGAAUUGCCGUUCAUGAUAACAAUUUGAUUGAAAGUGCGGCUCCACUAAUUGUCUAGAUGAUUUUUUCCCACAUGUUUGUUCUCGUACGACCCCAGAAUGCUGUUAUAUCAGUUGUAUUGGAAAUUAAUCAACUGGUUACAACUCUACACCCCAUCAAUAUUUAAGCAGUCUACAGAACAUUAAUUGUGUUUUGAAAUUUUAAUGAGUCUCACGUGUUUUUCACGUGAUAUGCAGUAAAAACAAAAUUAAAAAAAUGUGAACAUUCAGCCCCAAAAUCCCCAACUCCUUCCAAAUUGGUUCCGCAGCCCCCAAAUCCCUUAAACCCAAAUCACUCUAAAAAGACUCUCCUCAGCCAAAAAGAAAAAGGUCACCUCACCUCUCCUCUUCUUCUUCCAUGGCGAUCAACGGCGGCACAAGCACGGGCUGAUCUCCUUCGUCGGUAACGAUCAACGGCGGUACAAGCAUGGGCAGAUCUUUUUUUGGCAAUGAUCAACAGCGGCACAAGCACAGUCGUCCUCAGGUACGGAUUUGAUGUUGGUUGUGUUGUCAAGUAGCGAUUCAUGUUUGGAAGAGAAUCCGCUCGCAAGGACCUGGAGCACUUAAUCGAAGAUCUUAAGCGAGGAAUUCGCUUCCUCCUCAUUCCUAAUCGGUGCCUGGUUCAUCAGUAUGAUUAAGGAUGAAAAUUGAGAAAGAAGGACGCAUUAGGUUUGAGACAUUGGUUGAAAAGCGCUACCCCGGUGGCCACGCUGGAAACAUAUGUUCCGUGGCUUCUUGCGUUGUCUGUGAGGAAUAUGUACUGCUGUAGAAGAUAAUUAUGAAUCAAUGGUAAUUGGCGUGUUGGUUUUGGUGCCGAUUUCCUCUUAUUUUCCAGAAAAGGCUUGUAAUUUGUUCACCUCAAGAUUCAAUUUGUUAUUGAAAAUGGAUGGCUGUAAAGACCUACUGGCCUUUCAUUAUAUUAAUGUUUUUGACAGUAAGUUUGUAAUAGUUAGUGCAGGGAACUUAUUGAUUCUUGAUUAUAUAUAACGGUGGCCCUUAUUACUUUAAAAAAAAAAAAAAAAUUGAUGAUGGGUUUCGUUUUGUAUAAGUGUUUGGAGUGUUGGAAAAUGAACAUUGUAUAUUUUAGAUAGUUGAGUUCCAUAGUAGUGAAAAGCUACGGAUUUGUUUUCUUUGUAUUGAAAUGUGUUUUGACCAUUAUAUGUUGUUUGAUUGGUGAUAGUUUUAUGUUUGUCAGUUCCAGUAGUCUCUUAAUCGCCAUCUGGCAUGGAAACUCACUGUGAAUAUGUGAAGAAUGCAGUGAUCAUAAGGAGUAAAUGAACGAUCAAACAUGCUAAAAUUAAAUACCAAAAAAUAAAAUAAAAUAAAAUAAAAUUGGAACUGGAAGAGUAAAUAGCAAAAGAUUGGGCGAAAAUUGAAUACCAUAACAAAAAAAAAAUUAAAAUAAAUUCAAACGACAAGAGCUAAUUAAGAGCAAAAAGAUGCUUGACUUACCAAGAGCAAGGACCAAGCAAAUGGUUUUACAUUCGGGCUUGAUGGUGAACUGGUUGGAGAUGGGUACGAAUGUGAUCUCGUUGAGAUUUGGAGAAGAGAACGGGGGAAUGGCCACAAUAUCUUUGUUACUUUUUUUUUUAAACUUUAUUUUACUGUUGAUCACAUGAAAAUCACGUGCAAGUCAUUAAAAUUUCUAAACACAGUUACUGCUGUCGUUUCGAUGUUCUCGGGCUAUCACAUGCUCGGUACGUCUAUCACUACUCGUCAAAAAAAAUGACACGCGUUCAUUUCCAAGACGCGUGCCUUACUACCAUGACAUGAUUGAUGGCGCUUAAAUCAAUUGGUUUUUUUUUUUAAUUUAAAGAAUUUUUCAUUAAAAAAAUAUUUUAAUAUCAAAUUGCCUUCAAUGGCAUAACUGCCACAAGCCCAGUAACAGGACUAAGGGUACGUUUGAGAUUGAGGUUGGGCAGCUGUACCUUUUAAGCUACAACACUAAAGUGCUUGGUAAACACUAGCUGCUCUAGGUUGGAAGCUAUAUUAAUAUGAUUUUUCACUUGUAUAAUAGAAAAUAUAUUAUAUCUUUAAUAAUUUUGUCAAAUUUAUAUUUACUACAUAUUAUUAAUUUUUGUUUUAUAGUCACAGCUUUUUUUCCACAGCACCUGUAGCUUAAAAGAUACAGCACCUCAAUCCCAAACGCAUCCUAAUUAAAAAUUUUAGAAUUUUUGGGCAUGGAAUUGAAAAGAGUAGUAUUAAACAUCAGAAAGCUAAGGUUGUUCUGUUAAAGAAUUGAUAUUGACAUAAUUUUAUUUUGGUUUUUGGGGAAAAAAAAUUUGUUGACAAGCAAGAAAAUAUUUUUAUAUUUUACAAUUUAUUAUACAUAUUUUAUCGUAUUAAAGUAAUUUUAAUAAUAAAUAGAAGCAUAAUAUUAAAUAAAGUUUAAAUUAUUUUGAAUAUUAUAAAAAAUAAUUUUAAUAUUAUUAAUAGGAAGAUAUUUUGUUAAUUUUAAAAUCUUUUUAACCCAAAGGUUUAUUUAAAAUGUUUAUUAUAAAUAAAAAUAUAAAAUUAAAUAUCAUAAUUUAAAAUUUUUAAUAUUAUUUUAAGUAUUAAAAAUAUUUUAAUGUUAUUAGUCUGCUACAUAGAUCAUAUUACUUAUAUUAUAUUUGUAAUGACUAAAAAUUUUUAAAAUCAAAUUUUUUAGUUACUAUAUUUACGAGAUAUUAUGGUUAAAGAAAAGACCUUGGUGUUACUUUUUACAAAUUUGAGUGUCUGCAUGAUAAUUUUAUCAAAAUUUAAGAAUGUAUGUGUCCUUUUCUCCAAUAAUUUAUUUCACUUUUGAGGGGAAUCCAAUGAGAAAUAUGAUAAGAGAAUGUCAAUUAUUUGUCAUUUUCUAUUUUUUCUGUAAGCUAUUCAUUUUGAGCAUUAGUGAUCUUGUCUGGACUACUCCAAUUAUUGAUGUAACUCCAGUGGCUGCAUCCACAGUUGAAUAUAUGAUAGUGUUAGCUCUUAUUUGAGAAUUCAGAGGGAUCUUCUAUGUUUAUCAAUUGCAAUGUGCUAGUAUAAAUUUCUUUACCUCACAGUUUAUAUAGUCUUGCUGUUAAAGAACUCACUGAGGCAUUAUUGACUCAAUUUCAGUGGAGCAAUCGCGCGUAGUGGAUAAAUAAAGGAUAACAGAACAGAGCUGAAGUGCUAAAUUGGCUAUUAAAGAAGGGUGUCACAUGAUCACAAUCACAUUGGUGCACAACUAGAGUUAGGCAAAUUUUGUCUAUAUGUACUCUAAAUUCAGACAAACCAUACAUGCAUGAACAAAAAUUAAACCGUCGUUCUAAUCACAACAGUAAUUGAAGCUACAAAAGCCAGCAAAUCUGAACAAAGACUUAAAAGAAAGAUCUUAUUCAAGUUGUCCCCAAAAGACAGCUGAAAUGAAUAAUAUUGACUAUUGAUUGGGUCAAUGCUGAAUUACAUUUCAAUAGGAAAGCUUGGCAGCAGUUACAAUGUUUCCCCCUCUGAUUUUCGUCCAAAACAAAUUCAGUUGUAAACAACAAUCGAAGUAGAAAUAAUUUAUUCAUCAAAGAAAAUACCCAAGUUUUCAACAAACAAAUCUUCUUGUCUAAACUAAAAAAACUCAUCUCUAAAAUCUAUCUGCAAAAUAUUGGAAAUGAGGAGUGAUCCGUCAACUCCAUAAAUAAACUCAUGCAUAAUGUUAACAAUAAUGAUAAAUUACAUAAUAAUUAUUAUAAAGAAUCAUAAAUUGGAAACACUAAUCAUUCUACAAUCUAUUAUAUAAGUAAGAUAAAUCUCAUAAUAAGUUAAGUUAUAAUGUAAUAAAUAUUUUCAAUAUAUAAUUAUUUAAGAAGUCAUUUAACAAUAAAAUAUUUUUUUUAUUCAAUUGAUCAUAUAGCGUUAUCUAAACUCAUGACGAAAUUAUUAUUACUCACUUUUCUAAAAAAAACAUGAUUAACUUUUAGAGAAAAGUCAUGCCUUUUAGAAAGAAUAUUACCGUGACAAAAUUGAUGGUGAUUAAUUCUAUUUUUAAAAUAGAUUUAAUGCACAAAUAUGGUGACUUUUGGCAAAAAUUAGUUUCGGAAGAUAUAGUGGUAGAAAAUAGUGAUGAUUAUUGUUUAAAUGUGUAAAUAGCCGAAGCAUAGCCCGUGAUACCAAUAUCCAUUUGCACCUUCAUUUGGAUUAUCACAUUUCAUGAUAUUCUUUCGUUCAUGACCAUUGUUCAAGAUUUGAAUUUGAAUACAAAUUAAGCUGCAAGGGAGCUUACUUCGGUUUCUAAGCUUUUCAAUUGUGAUUCCUGCAUGCCUUGCUCUGAUACUAUUUUGUUACUUGCCAAUGUAACCAACCUUGUAAUUGGUCUGUAUAAGAAAUCAAGCCCUUUCAGGAUUGUUUUCUUUUGUUUCUCUAUUGUAGUAGUCAACUAAAUAAAGAAUGAACAACUGAACUUGAUCUAUUUUGAUGAAGACCAAGACCUCCAAUACUAAAUGAACUUUGAAGAAGAUUAAUCUACUGCUUUUAUUCAUCUUUGGACUAUGAAUUUAUACAAAGACUUUAACAGAAAAUAACAAAGACAUAGCUAAAUGAUAGCAACAAGUGCUGACUUAGUGGACCACUUCUACAAGUAAAAAAAGACUAAAUAUUUAUUUUGACUAUAACAACAACUACCCUGAUGAACAGGACUCCACAUCAGCCACGUGACAACUAAUUUCUCCUUAAUAUUAUUAUUAGUAGAAGUAGAUUUUCAAACUAGUCUUGAUAUAUUUCAAAGUUGUAUUAACAAUGUAUAUGUAUCUAGAUUGUAACUAUAUUUUUAAAAAAUAAAAUAUUUUAAUUAUUGCACAGUAAAUGUAGAAGAAUAUCUGUAAAAUAAUAUUAUUAGGACUAAAAAAAUAUUAUUUUAGAUAAGUUAUUUAUUUAUUAUUGAAUUGAUAAUUUAUUAAUUUAUUUCUAAAUGAUAUUUAUUAAUUUAAAGAGAGACUUUUUUGGUUUUAUGAAGAGUUUGUUUGGUACAUGUUUACACUUAUAAAGAAACACAAAAAGUGCUUCCUCAAGUCAAUGGUAUUUGCUUUAAUGGCUACGGUUCAUAAUAAUAUAGCUUAGUAAGGAAAUUUGUAAUUAUAAUAUGACUCUUUUAGUACAACUUUUCAAGUAGAAUUUAUUUAAGUAGAGAUUUUGUUAGGAGAAGUAUUGUUAAUAGAGAUUUCACAAAAAAAAUUUUAAUUAUUUGAUUAUAAUAUCCAAAUUGAUGAACUUUUGUUCUUUUGUUAACAUCUGUUUGUUUUACUUAAUAAUAAAACUUUAGUGGGUUUGGCUACAAAUAAAAGUUUAGUGGGUUUGGCUACAAUGCCGUUGGCAUUGUUCCCGGCACCAUGCCGGGCUCUAAAAAAGAGAGCCCGGCUGUCUUUGGCUGCCAUUUGGCAGCCAAAGACUUGGUGCAGCCGGUUAACAAACCGGUUGCACCAUAUUUUUUAAAAAAUAUAUAUUAAAAAUAGAAUAUAAAAAUGAAAAAAAUUAAAUAAAAUGUCAAAAAUAAUUUUUAUAAUAUAAUUAAUAGCAAAAGAUAAAGAAAUUAAAUUAUAUAAUACAAACCCUAUAGUACAAUAUGAUAUAAUUAAAUAAAAUGGCAAAAAAUAAAGAAAUUGAAAAUGAAAAAAAUUGUAUUUCAGUUUUAACGUUAGUUAUUGCAUGUCCGACGUCCCGAUUUCAUGUUUGACAUAAGAAGUUGCAUGUUUUGGAUAAAACCAAAAUAAAGAAUAUUCUGGAAUAUUCUCGUCUGUUUCAUGUUUGACGUCAAAGUUGCGAACUUUACGUGGUAAGUUGCAUAUUUCGCGUGAAGUAUUGCGAGUUUCAUAUUUAACAUCAGUUGUUGCAUUUUUUACGGUUGGAUUUCAUGUUUGACGUACGAUGUUGCAUGUUUUGAAUAAAGCCAAAAUAAAGAAUAUUCCGGAAUAUUCUCGUCCGUUUCAUGUUUGACGUUGAAGUUGAGAACUUUACGUGGUAAGUUGCAUAUUUCGCGUGAAGUAUUGCAAGUUUCAUAUUUAACGUCAGUUGUUGCAUGUCGAACGUCACGGUUGCAUGUUUGACGUAAGCUGAUGCAUGUCUUGAAUAAAGCCAAAAUAAAGAAUAUUCUCGAAUAUUCUCGUCUGUUUCAUGUUUGACGUUGAAGUUGCGAACUUUACGUGGUAAGUUGCAUAUUUCGCGUGAAGUUUUGCAAGUUUCAUGUUUAACGUCGGUCGUUGCAUGUCGGACGUCACGGUUGCAUGUUUGACGUAAGCUGAUGCAUGUCUUGAAUAAAGCCAAAAUAAAAAAUAUUCUCGAAUAUUCUCGUCUGUUUCAUGUUUGACGUCGAAGUUGCGAACUUUACGUGGUAAGUUGCAUAUUUCGCGUGAAGUUUUGCAAGUUUCAUAUUUAAUGUCAGUUCUUGCAUGUCCGACGUCCCGAUUUCAUGUUUGACAUAUGAAGUUGCAUGUUUUGGAUAAAACCAAAAUAAAGAAUAUUCCAGAAUAUUCUCGUCCGUUUCAUGUUUGACGUCGAAGUUGCGAACUUUACGUGGUAAGUUGCAUAUUUCGCGUGAAGUUUUGCAAGUUUCAUAUUUAACGUCAGUUGUUGCAUUUUUUACGGUUGGAUUUCAUGUUUGAUGUACGAUGUUGCAUGUUUUGAAUAAAGCCAAAAUAAAGAAUAUUCUCGAAUAUUGACGUUGAAGCUGCGAACUUUACGUGGUAAGUUGCAUAUUUCGCGUGAAGUAUUGCAAGUUUCAUAUUUAACGUCAGUUGUUGCAUUUUUUACGGUUGGAUUUCAUGUUUGACGUACGAUGUUGCAUGUUUUGAAUAAAGCCAAAAUAAAGAAUAUUCCGGAAUAUUCUCGUCCGUUUCAUGUUUGACGUUGAAGUUGCGAACUUUACGUGGUAAGUUGCAUAUUUCGCGUGAAGUAUUGCAAGUUUCAUGUUUAACAUCCGUCGUUGCAUGUCGGACGUCACGGUUGCAUGUUUGACGUAAGCUGAUGCAUGUCUUGAAUAAAGCCAAAAUAAAGAAUAUUCUCGAAUAUUCUCGUCCGUUUCAUGUUUGACGUCGAAGUUGCGAACUUUACGUGGUAAGUUGCAUAUUUCGCGUGAAGUUUUGUAAGUUUCAUGUUUAACGUCCGUCGUUGCAUGUCGGACAUCACGGUUGAAUGUUUGACGUAAGCUGAUGCAUGUCUUGAAUAAAGCCAAAAUAAAGAAUAUUCUCGAAUAUUCUCGUCCGUUUCAUAUUUGACGUUGAAGUUGCAAACUUUACGUGAUAAGUUGCAUAUUUCACAUGUAGUGUUGUAGGUUGCAUGUUUAACGUUCGUUGUUGCAUGUCCGACGUCCCGAUUGCAUGUUUAACGUAAGAUGUUGCAUGUUUUGAAUAAAGCCAAAAUUAAGAAUAUUUCAGAAUAUUCUCGUCUGUUUCAUGUUUGACGUCGAAAUUGCGAACUUUACGUCAUGAGUUUUAUAUUUCGCGUAAAGCGUUGCAGGUUGUAUGUUUAACGUUAGUUAUUGCAUGUCCGACGUCCCGAUUUCAUGUUUGACGUCGAAGUUGCGAACUUUACGUGAUAAGUUGUAUAUUCUACGUGAAGUGUUAAAUGAAUUUUGUUUUAAAAAUACAGUUUAACCUCAAAACUGUAUGAAACUAUGUUAUGAUCCAAAACGUUAUAAAAAUUUUCAAAUUGGUCCAAUUUUAGAAUUUCUAAUUAUUACUUUAUUAAACUCAAAACUUUCUGAAAUUAAGAUAUGAUCCAAAAUAUAAGAAAUUAUAGAAUGACCCAAAACAUUUAAAUAUUUUGAAAUAGGUCCAAAUCCGAAAUUUAAAACAAUAAUUUAUUAAAAUCAAAGAUUAUGAAAAACAACUUAACUCCAUAAAGACAUAUUCUUAUUGUUAAAGCACAAUACAUAAAUCUUUAUUUAAUCAACACAUGUGGUUUGUUAUCGAAAUCUCAAUACAACACAUUAGUCCAAAAUUAUCCAAAGCAUACGGAAAUAACAUAUUAUCCAUGAAAUAUCAAACAAUCAAAACAAAUCCAUGUCAUUCAAAACAAAUACAUAAUCCAAAAUCAUAAUGAAAUGUAGGUGUGUCCAAAUACAAGCAUAAGAGACUACUAAGGUGGUGAGGAUGGUGGUGAUGGAGGUGGAUACGGAUAUGGAAUGCCGAAGUGCUCAAAGAGGAGGCGCUGUCCAUGAAUAAACUGCUGCUGCUGGUGGUGAAACUCAGUCUGCCACACAGAGAGUGUCCUCACCUCAUCCAUAAGCUGCUGAAGAGUAACUUCUUCAAAAGUAGGAUGCUCGGGAUGUGGUAAAGAAGGUGCAGAGGCUGUAGGAGCCGAGGGAGAUACUGAAGGAGCUCGACGUCUACGCUGACCCCGAAAUGAAAGUGCAAAAACAGGUAGCUGAUGGGCUGGAACCACAGCAUUAAGUGGUCGAUCAUCACUUGGAGCAAGAAAGGUGAACUUUUUAUCAGUGACUUUUACCCAAGUGCCAUUACGACACUCAAAACCUAAAGAACUAACAGCCUCAUCCCCAAUGCUCUUAGACGGCCUACAUGAUGGUUCUUGGAUAGUGACGCUAAAGUAUUUGAGGAUUCGGGUGAUGAAAUGACCAUUCAGAAGGGAACGAGUAAUCAACUUAGGUAUACUAAGCAUGUUUCGGACAAUGGUGUAUCCUAAGUCGACUGGACGAUGUCUAAGAAUACAAUCAAUCAAGGCAACAUCCAUAUGAGAAACCUCAUCCAAAUGGCCUGAUCUAUGAAGCACAAUACUCUGAAUAAAACGAAGUAAUAUCCGAGUUUGAAGACAAAGACAUUGGGUGCGAAAAUGGAUAGUACAAUCAUCAUCCGAAAGAUCAAUACGACGACAUAUAUUCUUAACAGCAUCAAUAUGAACAUAAUCAUCAAUAUCAGGAGGUUUCCUAGGUGAAAAAAUUUCUAGGCCAUCAUCGGAAGUUCCUAGAAUAGAGUUCAACUCCGAAUCAUCAAACUCAAUCGAAACUCCUUCAACUGUGGUGAUUACUCGAUUCUCUUUCUCCGCGGAACAAUCCAUAUUCGAGUAAAACACUUUCACCAAGUCGGGAUAUACAUUUUCCUCAAAAACAAUUGAAUUAAGCCAACCAACAUCUUCCAACAAUUGCAAUAAAGUUCUAUUACUAAUACUAAGAUUAUUCAACCAAUCCGGUAAAACAAAAAAGGUUUGGAGUACCUCACGAGUCAUGAACUGUUGGUGAAAUCGUUUGGCUAGAUGUUUGUGGUUCUGAAAGUGUCUGGCCUCAAAGUUGGAUUUAUUGGAUGUGCCCCCUGCUUGUCGUGACCGGUUGGUAUGUUGAACCGGUUCUUUGCCUUUUCUUCGAAUCGGCCGUGAGCUUGACAUGGUGAAUUUUUUUGAUUUGAAGUGAAAUAAAUCAAUGAGAAGGGAGAUAAUAAGGAUGGAAAGAGAUUUUGAGAAGCAAUUUCGAUCAAAAACGGCUUCAGAGGGGGAAAUCUAGAGAGAGAAGUUUCGGCUUAAACCAUAGAAUUGAUUUCGGAUCUAUUGAUUUUGAGGUUCAAAAAAGGUUUGAAGGAUGAUUUUGGAUACAAGAACGGAUGGGAAACAAGUUUCAUGGAUCCAUUUGCAUAAAAAACCUGUGAAAAUGAUGGAUUUUGGAGAGAAAACGAGAGAGGAAUAUUCGGUUUUAGAGAGAGAUAGCUAACCGGUUUACCGAAAGAUAAAGGAGGAGAUGAACAGUUUAUAUACUCGCGAAUCCGGCUAUCCGGAAAUUAUUAACCGGCUAACCCAUUGUAGGCAGUGACCUACCCACGCGAAUUCAGAUUUCCGGUUUGAAUAACCGGCUAUCCGGUUUCGUCUCCAAGAAAAAACAGCAAACUGCCUCACUCGGCUGAGAUAAAAAAAAACCAACUGUGAUAGGGAAUGCAUAAUUUGUUUGAAAGAUGAAGUUUCACUUGAUUUCUUGCCAUGUGCGUACCAAGUUUUGUGUGCCAGUUGCAGUGUCAAAAUUAUCAUAGUUUGUCUUAAGAAGUCUGAAAGAUUAGAAAAAGAGAUUGCUAAGUUCAAGAAAUGAAAGUGAGAUAAAAUUACUUGUGUCGCUUCUUGUGUCUUCCCAUUGUUUAAUUCUGAUAUUGUUGCUUACUAAAUUAACAAAGAAAGACCAGCACAAUGACUGCUGAUGAAUACUUUGAGAAGCAUCCAGAGCUAAGGAAAGAAGUUUGAUGAUGAAAUCCGGAAUGAUUAUUGGGGAUAUUAAUUCAGUCAUGUGCAUUCAGUUAUCGGGAACAUCUUCUUUCAUGCAGACUCUCGAGUUCAUCCCAACCACCAUGCUGUUUUGGUGCAUCAUAACAAGAAUAAGCCAAUUGUUUUACUCCAUUUUGGUUGAUUUGACUAUCACAAAAAAUUCCAUGAUAUUUGGACAUUACUCAGAAUCUAGCUAUAAUAAUUUCUCUUUUCUUAUUUGCCAAAUUUGCAUUAAGAUUUUUUUAGAAGAACUUUUAUGUUUUCACAUUCAGAAAGAGUUAAAGCAAAGCAAUUGCAGUAGCAGUGUGUAUGGAAUUUGUUGAAUGGAUCCAUUUGAAAGUCCAUUUUUUAUUCUUUAAUGUAAUAUCUAAUAUUAAAAAAAUCUUAAAACAAAAAUAUGAAUGAAUUGAAAAAUCAAAGUAGUAUUCCACAUUCCCAUGUAAAAAUAGAUUAACGACACCACUUUAAGAAAAGCUAAAAAUAAAAAUAGAUAUAUAUUAUUAAACAAAAUGAAAGUUGGAACUUACAAAGAGCUAAUAUUAUUACUUUAAUCUUCUAGUAUUUAGAGUUCAUCUUGUGGCUGAUAUUAUUGCUUGGCUACGUGAAACCAUUUUAGUCUUGUCAACACUAUCUUGUGGCUGAUAUUUUUUAUUGAAAUGCUCUUCAUCCACCAACUUGGUUCUUGUCAGUUUGCUUGGUAACUUCUUCUUGUUUGGUUUUGGUGCAUUAUUUAUCUAUUCACUCGUUAGUCAGACACUUUUUUUUUGUAUUUUUUGUUUCUACGCACAAGACUGAUAAAAUUAAAUGGGCUUAAUCUUUUGUCUUCCUAAUAGCAAUAUUCAAUAUUUAUUUAGUAAUAUUUCUAGAACUCUAAGAAAUAACUGGAUUUAAAUUUUAUGAAUUAUAUAUUGUGCUAAAAGCACAAAGACAAUCAUAUGAGUGUAUAUUAUUAUUAAAAUUAAACAAUUGGAUUUAACCUCCUCUUCAUACAAUUCAUAUACAUUGGCUCGCUCUCGCUCUCUUUUCUACAUGCAUGUGUCAUUUACAUUUAGGUAUUUGUAUGCGCGUAUAUUAUUAUAAUGUAAUCCCUCUAAAAAAUGAGACCAAUCACAGUCCAAACAAAAAAAAGAAAGAUAAAGAAAAGUUAAUACUUUAAUGGCAUUGUUAAUACGUCACAGUAAUCAUGUCCCUCGAAUCCGGAUAACUGGAUUUAACAACCGGUUAUCCGGAUGUUGACUGCAAGCAACAUGCUUGCUGUCACGCGAAUCCGGAUGACCGGAAGUCAACAACCGGUUAUCCGGAUGUUGACAGCAAGCAUGUCAAUCGAAACCGGAUAACCGGAUUUCCUAACCGGUUUUCCGGUUAUUGCAUGUCCUGUAUAAAGUUUAAAAAAAAUAAAGGUAAAAUUACCACGUUUGGUUGGUUAGGUUUGCAAUAAAUAUGAUGAAAAAAAAACUCACCUUCCCUCCAUUAAUGAGGGAUUAUCCUAAGGCUCAUGUCCAAGACUUCUUCACAAAAAACACAGUCACUCCAAAACAUAGUCCCAAAUACUAUUACUGCGGUCUCGUUCAACAUCUAUGGUGCCUAGUUUUCAACUUUUCAAAAGUUAAGUUUCUCUCCAACAAAGGUAUGUGUUGUAAUUUAAGUAGUUGAUUUGUGCUCCCAUAGAUGGUUUCAGAAAUAUUAUUAUAUUAAAUUAUUAAGAUAAAGGGUGUGAAUUAUGUUAUUAACAAAGUUUUGGUUGAACAGGGGUUAAAUAUGAGUAGCCCACAUAGUUCCAGCAACCUAGGAAUAUCCAUUGCUCCAAAUGUUGGUUUACAGGUAUCGGACGUACUUGGCAGUCAUUUCGACUCAGUAGAAGAUGCAGAACUGUGGUAUAACAAUUAUGCCCGAAUGCUUGGUUUUGGUGUUAGGAAAGAUGAUAUGCGGCGCGGAAAAAAGUCUAGACGAAUCACAAUUCGACGUUGGGUUUGUCAUUUCGAAGGGGUAAGAGAUGAAAGACAAUCUCAAAACUGCAGUAGGGUGCAGAACCACGACCUAUAACACGAACCGAGUGUCGGGCAUCAUUUCGAGUGAAUUACGAUGAUUCAGUUGGUAAAUACAUCGCCAAAGAAUUCAGGCCUGAGCACAACCAUCAUUUGGCUUCUACUAAUGGAGUUCAUCUCAUUCGUUCACAUCGAAAGGUUACUGAUGCAGAACUUGCGCAAGCAAAGGCAUUAAGGCAUGUUGGUGUGAAGACUUGCCAAUUCAUGGAUUACAUGGCUGAUCAGGUAGAGGGGCCUCAAAACCUAAGGUUCACACGCAAAGACAUGCAAAACACGCUAGAUGCUUCCACUCGUGCCGAGGUUGGAGAUUCUGACUCAGACACAACUAUAGCAUACUUUGCGGCAAAAUCUGAACAUGACCCUGGGCUUUGCUUUGAGUACACACUAGAUGAUGAAAAUAGACUACGAAAUUUGUUUUGGGCUGAUUGUGUAGCUCGUUAUGACUAUCAGUGUUUUGGUGAUGUGUUGGCAUUCGAUGCAACGUAUAAGACUAAUGUAUAUCAUAAACCCCUCGUUACACUUGUCGGAACAAACCAUCACUUCAGAACAACGGUCUUCGGUUUUGCUUUGCUCGCAGAUGAGACAAUUGACUCAUACACGUGGCUGCUACAAACUUUUCUAUCCACUAUGGGCAACCGAAUGCCCGUGUCUGUAAUUACUGAUGGUGACAAGGCAAUGUCGAAGGCAAUAAAGACAGUGUUUACCGGGUGCAUCCAUCGUCUUUGUUGUUGGCAUCUUGAGCGCAAUGCGCAGGCUAAUUUGAAGAACGAAGACUUUACGAGAAAAUUUCGUGAUUUGAUGUUGACACCUAUGACGGUAACUGAAUUUGAAACCCAAUGGUCAGCUGUAGUGGCUGAAUUCGCACUUGAACAUCAUGCAUGGGUACAGAAAAUGUAUUCAAAGCGGUGCAAGUGGGCGGAAGCUUAUCUUAGAGGAACAUUCUUUGCUGGUAUGCGAAGCACUCAACGAUGUGAAAGUAUGAAUGCAUAUCUUAGCCGAUUUGUCCAACAUAAACUAAAAUUGUAUGAGUUUGUGCGACAAAUCGAUCGUGCUCUCCGCAAUAUUCGUACCACAGAAACAUCCGAUGAGUUCAAAACCAAAUACAGUACUCCUGUCUUAAGAACUCACUUACAGAGCCUCGAGAAACAUGCUGCACAAUUGUUCCCGUUAAGAGUUUUUUCGAAGGUUAGAGAUGAGAUGCUGCGAGAAAGAGCGGUCAUCGAAGUAAAAACUGUCAAAGCUGUCGAUGUUGCAUUGUACACAGUGACUGAAUUUAGGACACCUACAACAUGUUGGAAUGUCAUCCACAAUCUACAAGAAAACCACAUACAGUGUUCGUGUCAAAUGAUGGAGUUUGUUGGGCUUCCUUGUAGGCAUAUGUUUCAUGUCUUGAAAGUGGAACAAAUUGAAAAGAUUCAUGACAAUAUGGUUUUUCGUAGAUGGACAAAAAAAGCCAAGGAGCACAAUACUUGCAGGACCACAAAACCAGAAGUUGACACUGAUGUUUCAGAGAUGGCUAGAUUUAGUGCAUUGUCUGCAGCCUGCAAUAAAAUGUGCUACAAUGCAGCAAAAAACGUUGAAGCCUAUGAAAAUGCAUUGGUAGAAAUCAAUCGGCUAACAUUAACUUAUGAACAACAAUCUGAACGAGACGGUCUCCCAAAUAAAAAAUUGCGGAUGGGAACAAAACUUCGUAAUCCUGCAGUUGUAAAAACCAAGGGCGCUAUGUCUAAAACAAAAUGUGUAGCAGAAAGCUCUAGAAAGUGUGGAAAAUGUCGUCAGGUUGGGCAUACAACACGAACUUGUUCUAUUCAAGGGAAUGAUAGCACCCAGCUAAGGUAUGUCCCAAGUUCUUUAUCAUGUGUUUAAUUAUUGCAUUGUUGGAUAUUUCAUUGCAAAUAACUUUCAUGGUAUUGAUUUAGUGUCGAUGGAAACUGUUUUGCCGCAUUCGAUUCAUCAAGCACCCAGAAUCUUGGAGCCUCUACUGGUGUCAAUCCAACAUUGUUAGGUCAUGCAAGCAACCAAUUUUCAAAUGUUUUUUAUUGGUGGCCUCAUUAAACAAUGCCAUUAAAAUGACUCAAUAUGUAUUACCAUUUGAAUUCCACUAUCAUGUACUAACAUGACAACCAGUUUAAUAUCAAAUGAUGAGAUGUGAACACUGUUAACAUGCAUAUGUUCAUUAUAGUUAAAUUAUGUCUCGGCCAAGAAUACAUAACCAUGUCAUAAAUUUAAAGAUAAUUCUCCAUUACAAUUGAUUUUACAACCAUCGUAAGCAAGAAGACAAAAAAAUUCACGGUAUUACCUCCCAACAUGUUUCAAACAUCUUACAACAAAAAAUAGUAUGCAAUCACUUGCAUAAUCAUUCCCUACUAUAGUUCGAUAUCUAAGCGCGUGUUCUCGUGUUAACUUUCUUCUUCUUACGAAUGUUGCCGCUUUGUUGGUGAAAUGACUUUUGCACUUGAGAGGAUACAGGGUUCACCAUUACAGCAUGAAUCGCAAACUGUGCAUUGCUUAGUUCCAGCAAUUUAUCUCGAUUUUGAUUCAAUGCAGAAUUAAUUAGUUGAAUGGCUAGCCUACCUCGUGUAUCCUCAGAUGUGAACUAGUCAAUUUGAAAGGAAACCAAUAUUACUUUCAUAUAAUAAGUAGCUUUUAUAUAAUUAUGAAGUUAACAAAAUUCUGAGUUCAACAAUUAAACAAGUUUGGCAUAGUCGUACCAAAGUGGACGAUUUCUUCGGAAUAAAUUCUGGGCUGUCCAUAUAGUUUAUCACAUAAACCCCACAGUCAUAUCCAUUCCUUUGCUUUGGAACUCCAAUGCCCCGGUUGAUUGGAAAGUCUUGAAACUUCAUGUGUUGCAUAUUGCUUGGCAAUUGGGGCUGCAUAAUCCAAUCCAAGGAAUGUAGCUGUCGGCAAUGUUGAAAACCAGACAAUAUUAUAGAUAUGAAUAUAACACAAUAUACAUAACUGAUAAUGUUAAAUAGAUAACAAAAAUAAAGAACAUGAUUAAGAUACAAUGCGCAUGGCUUGAUCGUGCCGUCUUCUAUUACUGCGGGGAUCUGGAAGAGGAUCCCAUAUUUCUGCACUUGUAUUUCUGACAUUCACGAUCAGUAGGUACCAAUGAGAUGAUUCAUCAUUUAUUGGCACAUAAAUCUAACAUUUCAAUUGUCAAUGUCAUACACCAAGCACACUAGUAGAAACUGAAAUAAGUUAAAGGUUAACAAACUAACCUUUUGACACUUAUGCACCUGUUGCAUAAAAUUCUUUCCACAUCUAGCUGCCCUUGCAAAACAAUCCACCUCAUCUCCGACCAUUAAAACUGCUUGCUACACAUAAUAAAGACAACGUUGAAUAAGGAAGUUGUCAAUAAAGAAACCAAAGCACAAUGCAACAAGUACCGGCGAGACUCACAGAAUAUCUUGUUGGUAAAUACCAGUUCAUUGGCACAUCUUUCUCCACCACCUACUGAAUGAGGGUGAGGUGAUGCGCUUUCAUAGAAAUCACCUAAAAGUGAUCAUAUUUAUUGAGAUAUAUAAUAACAUGUAAUAAACGAUAAACAUAUAUUGUGACAUCACCAAAUGUUGAAACCUAAUACCUCGCCACAUAGAUAAGCCCCCGGCAAAAGAGUCAAUAAAGAAUGCCGAUUAAGAAUUUCGCCGCAACUAGAAACAAUGAUUUCACUAAAGAUAAAACACGGUAAUUUUUUAGUCGUAUAGCAUAACAACUAUAUACAGAAAACUAAUUUCAGUCUUCUGAAUUUAACCUUCCCUCUGCGUCCUUGUUAAAAGCAUAUUGAAUAAGCUUCAAUUCUUCCAGCGUAACUGGAUCAUUGACUUGAAACGGACCAGCUUUAUACUUGGGAUUUGCUCCCCUGGACACUUGAUCGUACGGUGAAAGUUGAUAUCGGCCUGGCCUACGAUUCCUACUUGGUCGCGUUGGCAGGACACUGAGACUAGUAGAUGUUUGAGGUUCUUGCUUAAGUUGAACUGGUUCAUCUAUAUCCUUUAUAAAAAAUAAAUUUAUAUGUAAGUUACUUCAUAAGUGAGUUAUCAUUGAAAUCAUUUUAAGAAAACGACGUUAUAAAACUGUACCUCAUCUCGGAGAUUAGGUGGUGGAAUAGGGACAAAGUGGGUAGGAUCUUUGCGAAAUUCACCGAUUCCUUCUCUUGUCCCCAUCCAGCCCAUUAAUUUAUCGAGGCUCAGGUUCAAUCUGCGAUCCACAGAGUCCUCGUCGCUAUCCAUUACCAUUUUGUUUUUUUCCAUCAGUAGUUGGCUCGGUUUUUCUGACUGGACAUGUUGGUUCUACUAUUUUCAAGCUCGGAGAUUGCGGGCAUGGAUCAGAUGGUUGUUUUGAUAGUGCACCAACCGGAGACUUGGAUCUCAAUUCCUCCAAAGACUUCUCAACCAUUUCCAUUCUCACAUUGAAUGAAUCCAUUUUGUGUUCAAUUCUGUGGACACACUGUGUUAGUACCCUAAAAGCUUCCUCCAUAUUAACAGUGCUCGGCCCAACAUCUUCGGUUUGUUCAAAAUGAGCGAAAUUUCUUUCGAGCUGCAGAAAAUUUGAUUCACGCAUUGGAACCUAAAAUAAAUAUGCACAACAAUCAUACAUAAUGACAAUCAAAAUAUAUUCAAUUAACCGUAAACAAAAUUAAAUACAUGUGUGAACAAGACAAAAAAUAAAACAAACCUCAGUACUGGUCAUGUCCCCAAACUUUUUCCGCCAAUUCAAUAAGCGCCGAAUCUCUUCCUUGGUCCAUACACUAACAGGGCAAACUGUUCUGUCCAUGGAACACCGAUCAUAUAAAACAGCACUAAAGUAGAACAACUGUACAUUCAAAAAACAAUUACUACGUCAUUUUAUUUUUCGUAUUUGGAAAAUUAAUUAUGGCAUCUAAGAUUUCUUAAAUAUACCUCUAAAAACACAACACAACCACUAACUGACUUCACUUGAUUAUCUUUAUACUUCGCUAUGCCCUCCCACAGAAAGUUGAAACACCAUGUAGCCCAAUUCUUUUUCCUAAUUAAUUGCACAUCUUUUAGGGAAUGCAGAUACAUCGGAUUGAUGUAGCUGGCACUUGUGGGACACAAUACAGUUCCUAGAAGAAACAAACAAAACAUGAUCUUAAAGUCAUCAUCACUACUCUCACUAGCUAUUAUUCUUUCACUAACUGCGGCUAUUUCAAUUCCUCUUCCACUUGUUCUAUACUUGGCACGCAGUUCAAUUAUAUCACCCGCUUCUUCUCGGAUGUAUACUGGUUCCCCUCCAUCUUUGAUCCCCAUUACGAUGCUGAAGGUUGUAGGGUUUAAACAAAACUCUCUCUCGUGCAAAACUAUACAGUGCCUCUUUGUAUCACAUUGUUGGACAAGUGUUUCACAGAAGUCUUGUCUCAGGCGACCACAUCGUAAUUCUAGCAUGCUUCCGAAGCUAAUUUCUCUAAUUGCAGCUUGUUGGUCGGCCGAUAGUGUGGAAAUGACCUUAGUGAGUGCACUGACACGACAACGAGAUAAAUUACAUUGGCUAUGCUUAUCCCCAAUUUUUUGUUCUUCAUCUUGUUUUUCAAUACUCCUUUCACCAACAUUUGAACUUGGGUCCUCAUGCAUCGUACCAAAUCGGCACUUCUCCUCAUUCGUUAAUUUCUUCCAUUUUUCAACAAUUGUCGCCCUACAAACUUUUUUGAUCCCUUCUUGCCUGACCUUUUCUGCUUCAUGCUUACUGUACACAACAUUUUAGUUCAACUAAUUACGUCAACAAAAUUGUUAUAAUAAGAACCUUAUUCAAAGCAAUAAUUUUAUACUUACAAAAAGUGUAUCCACGCUCUCUGACCAGGUCCUCCCCUUCUGCCUUAUGUGGACUCCAUUUUAUAACUGUAUGCUAUAUUUUAAAUCCUGAAAUAGACCACACAUAAAUGUAGUAUCAAGGCCGGACCCAUAACAAUGGCUAAGUUCUUGGCAAAUUAUUGAGCGCUCAUCUUUAGUAUUCCUACCAAAGACUGUAGAGCUCAAAACAAGCAAACAACACCUAAAACCAAACAAGAAAAAUUUAGGGUUCCCAUAGAAAAAUAACACUUAAAAACCAAAUCUCAAAAAAUCAACCACAAAAUAGAAAUAAAUUAAAAAAUGCCAUUGAAUUUUUACCAACUAAUGCCAUUGAAACCACGCAAAACCAUGGGAACAUUGCAUCCCCUUCUAAAUAUCUUUCUUCAAUUUAAUGCUUGAAUUACAGUACAUCAAUCAUAUCAGGAUUGAGGAUUUUCUUGCCAAUUUCAUGCUUCCAAGCCAUUAAUCAUCUCUUCAACAUCAAUUUUUCAUCAUCUAAAUAUCUUUUUUCACUCUAAAUUACCAAACUUCUAAUUGUUUCAAAUCUCUAAUUAUUUCACACAAAAUUUAUAGUACAUCACAAAAACCACAAAGGUCAAAAUUACCUCAUCACCUUCUCGUUAACUCACAAAAUGAAAAGGAAAGAGAGGAACUUGUGUUCAUCUUCAACACCUCAGGAUGACAGCGACCGCUUCAUGGAUUCCACUUCUUAUUUGCUUUGAACGAGAUGGUGCCUUUGAUCUUCUAUGAUUACUAAACAAAUAGAAGAGAGAAAUUUGAGAGAAAUUUGUGAUUUCAAAGUGAGAUGUGAGAGAUUGGGAAUGGCCUGGGUGAAACCCUCAAAAAGCAAAAUUUUGUUUUGCAAGCUUUGGGAACCGGUUUAAUAAGUUAACAAUUUUUUCCUCUUUUUUAUUUCUUUUCAAUCUCAGCCGUUGGAUUCAUUUUACUUGAAUCCAACGGCUGCGUUUACAAGCCGGCACAAUGCCGGGCCUCAAUGCCCGGCAUUGUAGCUUUAGCCAAGUUUAGUUUACAAUUACACCGGUGUCAAAUCAGCAGAGCAUCGGCAAGAGUUUUCGAUUGUUGCAAUUUGCAAUGCAUGUGGUACAUGCACGCACUAAUAAAGAAACACAAAAAGUGCAUUCUCAAGCCAAUAGUAUUUGUUUUUAAUCGCUACUUUGCAUAAUAAUGUAGCUUAGUUAGGAAAUUUGUAAUUAUAUUAUGCGUCCGUUUGGUAUAACUUUUUAAUUAGAACUUAUUUAAGGAGAACUAUUGUUUGUAGAGUUUUUAUAAAUAGAAAUUUUAAUUAAAAAAAAUUAUAAUUAUUUAGUUGUCAAUGUCCAAAUUGAUGAACUAUUGUUCUUUUUGUUAACAUGUGUUUGUUUUACUUAAUAAUAAAACUUUAGUUUACAAUUACACCGGUGUCAAUUAUACUAAUAGCAUCGGCAAGAGUUUUCGAUUGUUGCAAUUUGCAAUGCACGCGGUGAGAGAAAAUGAGAAUCUUGUUUAAUCCUUUCAUUAGGAGUAAUUUAAUAAUCGUUUGUUAUAAUAGAAUAUGUAUAAAGAAAGGAAAAUUAUAUUCAUAGAUUUGGCUUAUUUUUUGUUUAAAGUAAUUCAGAUCAUUACAACGUCCUUUUCGCUAAUUAAUUACAACGUCCUUUUCGCUAAUUAAUUAUGAUUAUAUACAUUUUCAUAUGGCAAGUGGCAUUGUAGAUCUAAACGACGUUGCUAUUUCAAUACGUUAAUUAAGUGAUUCUCCUGAUUGUCAUCAGCGCUAUACCCUCUAGGAAAAUAGCUCAAUUGUUUUCCUGCAUUGAUUUUCAUUGGUAUGUGAUUUCUUAUGAAAUUCUUUUGAGCUUUCCUUAGUUAAAAAGCUUGAGCUUUUAUCACCUAAUACUGAUAUCAAUUAACUUGUGAACGAUUUUAUACCCUCUCUUUUUUUUCUUUUUUUUUAAGUACUCUGUUGAAAGCCAAAGUUCCUUUGGCCAGUUAAUUUAGAAGUGAAGGAAAGAAUAAAGUUAGGCCUCGACGUCUUUUGAGAUUAGAAAUACAUUUUGAAUGCUUUAAUAGAUGCAGAGCAAACUGGCUCGAUAUCUAACUAUUUUAAGAGCUAAAAUCAUUUAUUAGAAGUUGUAGCAUUAAAAAAAAUGGGCUUGAUAUCCAAUUUUGUUAUUGAAUAUGUCUCACGUGUUACUGGCAGAUGGCUAUGCUAGGUUUUAUUGCUCCUUGAAUUUGAUUGAAAAAUUAUUGAGGCGGACAAGUUUGGACCAUUGUUGGACACUGAAACUACACAUCAGUCUUAGAAAAUUGUAAUUUUGUUGGCUUAUCAUGAUUUUGAUCGCCUCACAUUGAUUUUCCUAUGACGUCUCUGUAGAGUGGCUAUGCUUACAUUUUUAGGUAUUUAAUUCUAAAAAUUAACUUAUUAGAUGGAAGGACCAAUUCUACCUGUAAAUACAAGUGGCUUCCCUUUACCAACUCAUACAAGACACAACAAUAAUCUUCUUCAGAAAAAACCACCGUCGGAGGGCUAUUUUCGUUCAACAUAAAUGAGUUGUUCCGCCACCAUAUUUUAAGGGUUUGCUUCUAAUACAACUUGGGGGAGCUAGGGCUAAGAUUUCUAAGAAUCAACAUAAAAACCUUGCCUAUUGGAUGGAAGGACCAAUCCCACUUAUGAGUCUAAAUGACUAAUUUUUGAGGACACAACUCAACAGACCAAUAUAAACUUUUGACGUCCCAUUUUAUUACUUUCCUGUGUUUUUACUUUUGAUGCUGUCUAUAGCCCUACUAUUCUAUUAAGCAGAAAAUAUUUCAAGGCACUCUCGGUCCAGUAGAUAACUUUGGUAUUUAUUAUCUAUUUUCUUUCCAUUUUAUGUAAACCCCGAUCUUUACCUCUGAUUGGUUGUAGAUUCUUUUGUUGCUUUGGGGUUAGGGGAUGGUUUUCAUAACUAUUAAGUUGAUCAAUGCAGAAAAUCACCAUCAAGAAAUGAUAAAGGAUUGUUAGUUCUAUCUGACAAACAACAUUAAUAUGAAGGAUGAUGAUUGUUCUGUUCAAGAGUUUAUAAUGACAUAAUUCUACUUUGGUCUUUUAAAAAAAGUAAUUUAGAAACGAGUAUGUGAGUGAUGACUUUUACAAAAUAAAUUACAUGCGCAGUGAUGAUUUUGACACAUGAAAAUGAAAAAAGAAAUAUAACUUGUGAAUAAUAAUUGAAGUACCUGCUAUUGUUAUAUUGGGUAUUGAUAAAUGGAUGGUUUUGGAAGAAUUGAAAAUGAUGGCAUAAGUAAACCGAAGUUAAGAGAAAAGAGAAAGAGCAUUUGAACUUUACUAGUAAGUAAAGGCAAAUUUCUUGGUUCAAGAAAAGAUAAGAGAUAUCAAACUAGCAAUAGGAAAAAGGAGGAAGGUUAAGACAGCAUCUUAACAAAAGCUAAAGAAAAGAAAAACUUAGUUCAAGCAAAGAACAAUGUGCUAAUGUCGUGUAAUCUUGUUUAAUUUCUUUUUCUUCUCACAUUUUCCAGGGCUUAAAUAAUACAAUAUACAUUUUCAAGCAAAGAACAAUAUGCAAUUGCAGUACUUCUGAGCACACAACAACAAAUAAAUAGUACAAUAUACAUACCCACUAAAUUAAAAAAAAAAUAUUAUUCAAGUUUGUGGACAAUACUGUAGCCAUGCCGUCGUCGAAAUCUACUGACAGCUGAAACAAAGAAAGAAUGGAUGAAUGCUGGAUCACAGUUGAAAUUGAAGGUCUGGUAGGUGAUGUUUCCCUCUCUGAUUUUACCUAAACAAAUACAAAAAAAUAAGAAUCACAAAUGAAAAUCUGCUAUUACACUGUUCUUACUUAUUAAAAUACAGAGGUUUCUUUGUUUCUCUGCAGCAAUGUCCAUGGCUAUUAGAAACAAGAACAAUUAGACCAGCAUUUGCAAGAAUCCUUUAAGGUAUUACUGCAGAUAUAAAUCCACUGAGGAAAUGGAAAAAGUGAAUACCAAAUUAGGCAAGUUAAAUGAAGAUUGAGUUAUCAUAGAAGAAUAAAACUCAUCCAAUUCAAUCCAUCAAAUUCCAUAAGGAUACAACUGGAUGUCAUACUGCUGCUCCAUAUCCUCAAGAGCCCGUAGAUUUUGCCUCAACUCUGGCUGAGGCCAAUGUAAGUCCAAUUUGCAAAAGCUCUUUAUGCACCAUAGCUCUUCAGGAAGCUUUCUCAAGUAAGCACAAGGGUUGACAAUUAUGCUCCCAAGUUUUGGCAUUGCUCCAGCCCCUAUCGUCCACUCCUCUAGCCAACAAAUUGAUUUCAGGUGCAAUACUUUGAGCUCCGGGAAACCACAAGAGCAAACACAAGCCAGUUUUCUUCCUGAAUAUGAGUUCUGCUUCAAUUUCAGCACUUGAAGGUGUGGAAGCUUGUCUAGUGUUAGCAUGGUAUCCGCCAAUAACUCAGUAUUUGAUAAGCUUAGUUGGAUCAGACUUGGAGAAGCUGGUAUUUAGACAGGGCCAUCCGAGAGAGCUACCACCUCUUGGUUUCGUUCACCAGCUUCAAGCAUUCAAGUUUGUGUAGUUCGCAUAGGCUUUUGGAAACCCCAGAACGAUAAUAACUCAAACCUCCAGAUACUAAGAGUUUGAAAAUGAGGUAGUCUGCCUGUUAAAGUAGCUCACUAUGCUGAACGAAAGAAGGAGAAAGCUAAGCUGAAGAAAAUACAGGGCAAGAGUAUUAGCUGUGCCAGCUCAACUGACAGCUCAGCAAAAUCAGUUAAAUUUUGUUACAAGCCCCCUGUGCAUUGUGCUGAAGAUUAGUUAGUUUAAUAAUGAUUAGUUUUAGAUUAGUUAAAAUGUAAUCAUGAUUAAGAUAUAUAUAUAUAUAUAUAUAUAUAUAUAUAGAUAUAGAUAUAUAUAUAGCUGCUGUACUGAUAGGGCAUCUCAAAAGUUCUGAAAUAAUACCUCAAUUCUAUGGCAAAAAUAAAUAAUCUCAAACAAGAACCAAUAAUCAUAUUUUGUUACUGUCAAACACAAUGCAUAUGAGCAAAACAUUGGAAGCCAACACCAGAAUACAUAUGAAUAAACAAUUAAAGAUAGAGAAAAAAGGCUUAAACCUUGGGGGAAAAAAGUGAAAAAACAUGAAAGACAAAUUACACAUGUGCAGUAACCAUCGAACUUAUCAGUGACAGCUGCAUCCAUUACAUUGCUCCAACAACACAAUGGCAAACCACCAGUUUCAAAUUGAGGAUAGCUAUCGAGAAUGAGAAAGUGUCCAAAACAUCAUAAAUAGACAUGUUCCUAUUGUGCAUAAUUUACAUUAUAGGCAAAUAUUCUUAUACCAUCAAAGGCAAAACAUGACACUAACAAUUGAUCCCCCCCCCCCCCCCCCCCCCCCCCCCCCCAACAAAAAAAAAGGAAAAAACAAUACAGAAAAGAUUGAAACAGAUAAGGCUACACUGAGCACAGGAUGCCAUGAAACAUAAUCCAGGAACCAAAUUAAUAAAGAAGGAAGGCAAACCAUUAUUUAACAAUCUGUUUUGUAUUUGGGAAAGUCCGAUAAAAUCUACUUAGGGAUAAUUAGAGAACCUCAACUAUUAAUCACACCUCAUAAAUGAACUAACAUUAACCAUGUACCAUCCCCACAUCAGACAAACAUUCUCUAUACUUCUGAACCUAAUACUUCCAUCUUCAAUUGGGGUUUUUUUUUGUGGGGGGGGGGGGGGAUAAGCUAUCGUGUUUCUAAGCUUGCUUACCUUCUGUGUGGGACUGAAAUACUGAUUUCGAAUCAUUAACAGUAAAAUUGGAAGCUCAUGAAAAAACAAUUUUAUCUUUUAACAAAAGUUAAAAUUACAUCUCCAUAUAAAUUCUCUUUUCAUUUCCUUCAAUUUUCUAAUUAAGCUUAAAAAAAUGUACCUUCAACCACAAAGGGGUUUAAAAUUUAAAAUAUAUAAAAAAAUAAAUUCAGAUAACAAUAAUUAAUUUAAUUAAAAAUAUAAAUAGAGAUUACAGAGAAAGAGAAAAUAGAGAAAGACCUAAUGUUGAGUCCUUUGGUUCUCUUCAUAGGUCCGAACCAUUUCUUCGGGCGUGGGUUUCGGGUCUUUAGGAAACUCCAUCGUCAUAAGCCAGUGAUUGUAAUCGCAACCCUCCAACAGAAUCGUGUCGGGUGUGAUCUCGUCGCCGUCCUUACACAAGUGGUAAGUCUUGUUACCCGACGGCGCAGACGAGAGGGAGAUCGUCGGGGACGAUCUGAACGGCCGAGAAUGGAUGAUGAUGGAGGAGGAGGAGGAGAUUAGCGAUGACGACGCCGAUGAAAUGGAAGGGUUUACCAGAGGAGUGGAUGCCGAAAGUGCAGGGACGGCCGCCAGGAGAGAGCGGUGGAGAGCAGCGACGGCCGGCAGUGACCGGCGGAAGAUGGCGGGAGAUGGCAGCGUGGGCCAUUGCUUGCGCGUCAGUGAGUGUCUCGAGUGAGAGAGUGAAGGUAGGGAUGGCAAUGGGGAGGGAGGGAGGGUCCAAUCUCUCCGUACCCAUCCCCCAAUUUGUCCCCGUCCCUCCCCGUCCCCAUUUGCUUAGAAUCUCCAUCUCUGCUCGAAUAAUAACAGGAAAUCCUCGAGGUUCUAAAUAACUAAUAAUUUUUUUUAUUUUUUAUUUUUUUAUUUUUAGUUAAUUAUAUUAAAAUAAAAAAUAAAAAAUAAAAAUAAAAUUUAAAAUAUAUCUUAUAUUAAUAUUGAUCCAUUAUAAAAAUUACAUGUAAAAUAUAAAUUAUCAAAAUAAUUAUCUUUAUCAAUCUUCAUAAUCAUAUAAUAAAAAGAAAAAAAUUUACUUUUAUAUUGAUAAUAAAAUAAAUAUAGAUAAUUAAUUAAUAUUUUUAAUAAAACAAAAUUUUUGGGCUAAUAGAAUCUACCCUGCUUUUUUAAUAUCUUAAAUAAAAAUUUAAGACUUUAAUUAGUUAAUUAGGCCUAAAAAUUUAAUAAUAUAAAUAUUUUGAUAUUUUUUAUUUUACCAAUAUUUAUAAUUUUAUAAUAUAUUCAAUUUUUAUUAUUUAUUUACUAGUAAUUUUAAAAAAUAAAAAUAAAAUUAAAAAAUAAAAUGGGGGAAAUGGGGAGGGGAUGGGGAUUCCACCUCAUCCUUGUCCCUUCCUCGAAUAAGAAAUUGAUUAAAAAAAAUUUCCCGUCACUUUCUCGAAUAAGAAAUCGGGUAUAAAAUUAUCCUCGUACCCUCCUCGAAUGAGAAAAAUCUCCGAGGAUACCCAUACCCGUGGGGAUUUUUGCCAUCCCUAAGUGAAGGAUUUUGUUUAGGGUUUUGGGAAUUGAAAAAUGUAAAUGUUUGAUUUUGUUGCUAGAAACUUCUUCUGCCGCUGCUUUUUAUUUUCGCUAUAAAAGUAAUAAUUUGUUAAUCAAAUAUUUUCUUAAAAAAGAUAAAUUUCUAGAACAAAAUUUAUAUUAAAUCAAAUUGUAAAAAUGUGGAAUAGGGCUAAUUUCUCCUUAAUAUUAUUGUUAGUAGAAGUAGAUUUUCGAACUAGUCUUGAUAUAUUUUAGAGUUGUAUUAUAGAUGUAUAUGUAUCUAGAUUGUAAUUAUAUUUUAAAAAAUAUAAUUUUUUUAAUUAUUGCACAAUAAGUGUAGAAAAUAUCUAUAAAAUAAUAUUAUUAGAACUAUGAAAAGAAUUUAUUUUAGAGAAGUUGUUUUUUUAUUAUUGAAUUUGUUAAUUUAUUAAUUUAUUGACAAAUGAAUAUUUAUUAAUUUAAAGAGGGAUUUUUUUUUAUUUGCUUUUAAGAAGAGUUUUGUUGGUACAUGUACAUACUUAUAAAGAAAUACAAAAAGUGCUUCCUCUGUUCCUCAAAUCAAUAGUAUUUACUUUAAUUCAUAAUAAUAUAGCUUAUUUAGGAAACUUGUAAUUAUACCAUGUCUUUGUUUCUUUGUUCAUUUUGGUGGGACAAUGUGAUAAAUGAUUGGAUUAAAAUGCAUUAAUAAAUAAAAACUUAUUAAAACCUAAUUUAUUUGGGAACCACAUAUUAUUUGUCAGUAGUAUUUAUCAACUUAACAAGUUAUUUCUAAUUUGUCCCUCUCUAUUAAUGGUUCUCUUAAAGCCAAUAGGGUCGCAUUUGAUAUCUUGCCAUUACCGUUGGCAGUAGCGUGUUACCUAAGAUUUGGAUUCAUUGAAAUCCUCAAUGUAAUCGGUGGAACGAAUGGAUUUCUUCUAUUCAUAAUUUGAUGCUUUGGAUUCAUUGAAAUCCUCAACGCAUUUGAUAUCUUUUUCGUUGAAUUCGUGCAGUUAAAUAAUCUCUACCAACAUAUGUAUGUAUGUAUGAAAUUGGAGUAACCAGACCUUUUCAAGAGUUAAAUAAUCUCUACCAACAUUGUAGAUUGCCCGAUAAAGUUAACUGUGUUACCCAGCUCUAUGCAUAUACAUUAAAUGCAUGUUUGGGUAGUUUUAUAAAAUGAUAACAGCAUGUCAAAACUUGAUAUGAGUUAUAUUGUCAUAUUCGACAUUUUUAAAUUGAAAAAUAAGCAAGCAAUCUUCAGUGAACAUUACAAUUUUGUUCGCUCUACACCCCAUCAAUAUUUAAGCAAUCUACAUAUCAUUACUUGAGGAAAGAAACUCAUUGCGCCACUAGGCUUUUAACGAGGCUCAUUUCUAUGAAUCUGGAUAGCAUUAGAUAUCUCUCCGAAUACUGUUGGGAGUAGAUUGCAGUUCUCUGGGCUAUACUACAAAGUGUAUGUACGUUGAUUCUCUGAUAUGAUUCAAAACAUCAGUACAUGCAUCAUUUAAUGAGAAAGAAUAUUCUGAGAUUAUUUAUGCAUCACCAUUUGUAGUUGUACUGACUCUAAUGAAAUUAAAGGUGCAAUCAGCAACUAAAAUGAAGCCAGAAAGACACGCAUGAGGCAGUUUUCCUAGAAGAUUUGAUAUUUCUUUGACUAGCAAACCAUACGACAUUAAUCAAAACACAAUACGCACAAACAGACCCCUACAUACAUACCAGCAAAUUCAAAAUAGAAAAAGGAGUGCAACUAUUCAAGUUUGUAGACAAUAUUGCAGCCAUGGCAUAUCAAAGCAAAUCCUUGAAAUGUGCUAAACAGAACAAUGCCCUGUCUGAUGAAUCGACGCUCAAUUACAAUUGAAAUUGAAAGUCCGGCUGGUGUUGUUUCCCUCUCCAGUUUUGCCUACAUAAGUAAAGGGAAAUGAGAAUCAUAAAAGAAAAUCUGCUUUUAUGGUUCUUAUUAGAUAGAUAAAAAGGGAUCUUUCUUUGUUUCUCUGCUGCAAUGUGUGGCUAUCCCACUCUGUUUUGCCAGUCAAGCUGAGUCUAUGUUGAGACAUAAUUUUGACAUCAGAAGCGGCCUCAAUUAGUUUGGCACUUUUGCGAUAAACAUAAAUCUACUAAGAAAGUGCAAAAAAAAAAAAGAAAAUGAAUAUAAAAGUAUGAUUUAUCAGAUAAGAUUAAAACUCACCCAAUUAAAUCCGUCAGAUUCCAUAAGGAUAUAACUGGAUGUCAUACCGCCACUCCAUAUCCUCGAAAGUCCGUAGUCUUUGUCUCAGCUCUGUCUGAGGCCAAUGUAAAUCCAAUUUGCGCAAGCUCUUUAUGCACCACAGCUCUUCUGGAAGCUUUCUCAGGUAAGCACAUGGGUUGACAAUUAAGCUUUCAAGUUUUGGCAUUGUUCCUCCCCCCAUCGUCCACUCAUCUAGCCAAUACAUUGAUUUCAGGUGCAAAACCUUAAGCUCCGGAAAGCCACCAGAGCCGACACAGGCCAGCUUUCUUCCUAAAUACGAGUUCUGCUUCAGUUUCAGCACUCGAAGGCGUGGAAGAUUUUCCAGAAUUGGCAUGGGAUCCUCCAUUAGCUCAGUAUUUGAUAAGCUCAGUUGGAUCAGACUUGGGGGAAAUUGGUAUUCAGACAGGACCAUCCGUGAGGGCUUGCUCUCAUUCACCAGCUUCAAGCAUUCAAGUUUGUGGAGUUCGCAAAGGCUUUUGGAAACCCCAGAUUGAUAGUAACUCAAAUCUCCAGAUAUCCGAAGAGUCCGAACACUGGGUAGUCUGCCCAAUAUAUCAGGAGUACAACUACUAGGGUUUAAAGCUGAUAUGAAAAUGAGAUUUUUCAGAGAGCUAGUAUAAUUUUUUGGAGGUGCGGGCAGAGUGAUAGAACCAAAGUUUAGAUGCGUGAGUUUUUGCAUCAUCCAAAUAUCCUCUGGCGACUGAUCUAUGUAGCUAGAUGGCAUUUCUAGUGUUUGAAGGUUUAAAAGGGUGCAUAGCAGCAAAGGAAGGCAUUUGAGCGAAGGGAUAUUCAAUUUCAAGUACUUCAAAAAAUAUAAAUUUUCUAAUCCGGGUGGAAAUUGGUCGAGAACUGCGGAACCCAAGUUCAGUACCCGAAGGUAUUUGAACUUUUUACAAAAAUUCUCGCAAUCUAUCAGAGCGAGAUGAUCGCUUCGUGAACUGUGAUUCAGAAAAGAUUGGAUAUACAUGUCAGAAUAUUCUGGAGGAAAGAACUUAAUCAGACGAUCCAAAAUGAGAUACCGUUUAACAUUUGCCAGUGGUUCCUCUUUCAUAUCAGACAUCCGGACAAAUUCCGUCUUGUCCGCCACCAAAUAUAUUGAAAUAAAUUCAAAACUUGGAACAUAACACGCUUUGAUUGUGCCGUUGGCUCUUCUCUUACUCACUUGAAUGAAGCCGCGGUGGAUUAGUUCUUUUAAGUAAAAUUCGGCAGUUUCCUCACUGUUGUAUGGAAUUAAACCUUCAGCUAUCCACAACUGACAUAAUUGCGCGGUAGAUAUCUCAAUGCCGGGGCGGAAGACACACAAAUAGAUGCAGCAGACUUUCAAGUAAAAAGGUAACUCCCACACAGAACAAGUUCGACUGAAAACUGUCAAAUUUAUUUUUUCAUUCAUAUAAUUUUCUGAUGGCGCACUUCCAUAGUGUAAGAUAAAAAAUUGCCAGGCCUCAUGCUUUAAUCUGAUCAAUGGUCCUUCAAUGAGCACUGAAUCAAGCCGAAUCUCCUCUCCGUUUUCCAUUUCCAACGACGUAAGGAGUUCUGGAUCAGUGACCAAUAUCAAUACUCUGCUUCCAUUCUGAUUAUCAGGAAGAACUUCUUCAAGAUCAUCCCAUAUCUCAAUGUUAUCGCAGACAUCAUCAAGCACAAUAAAGUACUUCUUCUUUGCUAGGAAAUCUCGAAGAAUAGUUUUCUUCAAUUGAUAAUCUUCACCGAUAAUUACACUAACCCCAGAUGGAGGCAUCACAGACUUGAUUAUGUCAUCCAAUAUCAUGCGAAAAUCGUAGGCCACAGAAACCCUGACCCAAGCAAGACAGUCAAAAUAGAACUUGACAUGAUUAUUAUUGUAAGUAUCUGCAGCAAAAGCAGUCUUAUCGAAGCCAUUGCUGUCGAGUAUUGCAACCACUGCCAGCCCAGAUGGUCCAUCUAUUGAUUGAGGGACCAUCUGGGCUGGCAGUGGUUGCAAUACUCGACAGCAAUGGCUUCGAUAAGACUGCUUUUGCUUAUUUUGUUACUUUGUUCACUGAUAUCAAAACCAUUGUCGCCGGGUGGAAGUUGUUGAAUCCGAUUUCUAAUAUCAAUGAUUUUACUGUGGAGUCCAACAAGAAAAGCCAUCUUAGUACUACUUUCACUUUCGUUUUCACCGUUUUGCUGCUGCAUGAUUUUGAUGAAGAAUGUGUCAAUGGCUUCCUCAGAUUCAUGGACAAAGUCAUUGAUGUCGUUCAGAAUUUCCAGAACGUCUGCUCUUUUAACGUCUUCUUCAUCGCUUUCUUCUGCCUGCAACAGUUGCGAAAAAGGCAAAGAUAAUUUGUAUUCAUCGAAUCGUUCUUUAACGAGUUGAAACAAAAGCCGAGCCAUGUCAGAUUCAUAGUUUCCCAGCAGAGUGGUAGCAAUAAUUUCGGACUCCGUAAGAAGGUUUUUAAAAAGGGGAGUUAAAUUUGUUGAAUCAGGCAAAGUCAACGCGCCUUCUUCACCUGCUAACACCCUUUUUAACCUCUCACAAAAUAGUCGGAGGUGGACGUCCAGCAUAUCUCCUUCUCUCUGUAGCGGCCAGAGGUAUUGUUAUUUGCUACAAGAAAUGUUAAAAGGAUUGGUCCUAUCUCAAAGUCGUUAGUGGUGUCAAAUUAAACGCCAUGGGAGAAUUUGAAAGGAAGAUGCCAAGAAACUGGCUAAGUGGCUAAAUUCCACAAAUACGGCAUUAUUGCUCAUUUUUAACUCAAAAAAUUGAUACGCGUUCAUUUAGCGAAAAGUCCAAGACGCGUGCCUUUUGAGAAGAACCGGUAUCCAAUAGGUAUUCAACUUUAUCUUAUUUAAGGCAAAGCUUACGUUACAAAUAAUGUAACAAACAACCAAUAAAUAUAGAUCAUUUAAUUAUUAGCAUGACAUGAUUGAUGGUGCUUAAAUCAAAUGUUUUUCUUUUUUAAUUUAAAGAAUUUUUCAUGAAACAAAUUAUUUUAAUAUCAAAUUGCCUUCAAUGGCAUAACUGCCGCAAGCCAGUGACAGAAUUAAUUAAAAAUUUUAGAAUUCUUGGGCAUGGAAAUGGUAGUAAACAUCAUAAAGCUAAGGUUGUUCUGUAAAAGAACUGAUAUUGACAUAAUUUUAUUUUGGUUUUCGGGGAAAACAAUAUUUGUUGACAAGCAAGAAAAUAUUUUUAUAUUUUACAAUUUAUUAUACAUAUUUUAUCAUAUUAAAGUAAUUUUAAUAAUAAAUAGAAACAUAAUAUUACAAUAAAUAAAUUAAAGUUUAAAUUAUUUUGAAUAUUAUAAAAAGUAAUUUUAAUAUUAUUAAUAGGAAGACUUUUGUUAAUUGUAAAAUCUUUUUAAUCCAAAGAUUUAUUUAAAAUUCUUAUAAUAAAUACAAAUAUAAAAUUAAAUAUCAAAAUUUAAAAUUUUUAAUAUUAUUUAAAUUUUAAAAAUACUUUAAUGUUAUUAGUCUUCUACAUAAAUUAUAUUAUUUAUAUUAUAUUUGUAUUGAUUAAAAUCUUUUAAAGUCGAUCUUCUAGUUAUUAUAUGCAAAAGGUAUUAUAUCAUAUUACAAUUUUUUUAAAUUUUAGGGAUGUAGGUUACGAUGAUUUAUUUCACUUUUGACGAAAUCCAAUGAGAAAUAUGAUAAGAGAAAGUCAAUUUAACGUUCUCUACCUUUAUGAAAAAAAAAAUAAAAACUAAGAAUUAUUUAAUUUUAUAUUUUUUGCAUCCACCAAAUAAGUUUUGCACAUUUAUGUUAUCAUAAAACGAAAAAAAGGGUUUACCAAAAAAUGGUACCAAGCAUACCUUUAAUGUCCCACGUGAUUUCUUAUUAAGCCCAAUAUUAGAUAUAUUUAUAGAUUUUACUGCAUAAGUAUUUUAAUUAUAAAAGAAGUUGGUCCUUCCUCUAGUUACAAAAGAUAACUUUAUUUCAAGACUACCACUAAAUUCUUACGGAGAAUUAGUGCAAGGCCAAGAGAGAGUAACACAAUUUUACUUUUCCAUUACCAUUUUGAAAAUAGAAAGAUAUGGAUCCGUGUAUUUAAGAGUUAUUGUAAAAAUCAUACAAUUCAAUUUCCUGACGUGUAUUAUGUAUAUUUAGGCACAUUUGCCAAAAGCGUAAAUAGAUAGAAAGUAAAUUUACAAUCCACCCUUACUCACAAUUAUUGAAGUGAAGAUGCAUUACAACUGUCACUGCUUUAACUACAUUUAUUUAUUUAUUUGUUUUAAAUAAAAGUGUGAGAGAGACGGUGAACAUCAUGGACGAUAACAAAGGUUAAAGCCUAAAGGUGACCCAUUUUCUUUUUUAAAGUGCUCUGCUGAAAGCCAAACUUCCUUUGGAUCCGCCUAAGUUACUGCUGACGCAACUUACAGCUGCUUUGUAAAAUUUUAUAAAGCCCCUUAUACUCUAUAUUAUUACGUUAUAACUUAACUUACUAUGAGAUUUAUCUUACUUAUUUAUAAUUUGUUCAUAAAUAUUAUAAAACUUUCUGCAUUAUAUAAUUUUAUUGAGCCCCUUAUACUAUAUUUUAUUUCAUUGAAACCCUUAGAGUACUAAUUCGCCCUCUAUAAUUUUAAAUUCCUAAAAUAUCCUCCAUUUAAUUAAAAAUAUAAUAAUUAUUAAAUGGAUUAUAAUUAUAAUUAUUAUUUUAUUAUAAUUAUUAUUAAAUGGAUUAUAAUUAUCUGGAGUACAAAUUCAGUAAUAAACAAUAACUGAAGUAUUAACAAUUUAUUCAUCAAAUAAAAUACUCGAGAUUUCAGCUGACAAAUCCUCUUGUCUAAACUAAAAAACUCAUAUCCCUAAAAUCUAUUUGUGAAAUGUUAGAGAUGAGUGGUGAUUUGUCAACUGGGUAAAUAUAUUUAUGCAUAAUAUUUCCGGUAUUGAUAAAUUACAUAAUAAUUAUUACAAAGAAAUCAUAAAUUGGAAACAUUAAUCAUUUUACAAUAUGUUACAUAAGUAAGAUAAAUCUCAUAGUAAGUUAAGUUAUAACGUAAUAAAUAUUUUCAACAUAUAAUUAUUUAAGAAGUCAUUUAACAAUAAUAUUUUUUAUAUUUCAGUUGAUCAUGUCAUAUAGCGUUAUCUAAACUCUUGGCCAUAUUAUUAUUACUCAAUUUUUCUCCCAAAAAAAAAAACAAAAAUGAUUAACGAUUAGAGAAAAGUCAUGCCUUUUAGAAAGAAUACGUAUACAGCCUAUCCCAUACUUUUAUCUUUACCAUGAUGGGGGAUUAAAUUUAUUUUUUAAAUUAAAUUUAAUGCACAAUUAUGAUGACUUUUUGCAAAAAUUAGUUUCGGAAGAUAUAGUGGUAGAAAAUAGUGAUGAUUAUUGUUUAAAUGUGUAAAUAGUUUAAGCAUAGCCCGUAAUACCAAUAUUCAUUUGCACCUUCAUUUGGAUUAUCAUAUUUUAUGAUGUUCUUUCAUUCAUAACCAUUGUUCAAAAUUUGGAUUUGAUCAUAAAACAAAGCUAAAAAAUAUUAGAGAUACUAACAAUUGAGUCCCAUUUUAAGUCCCAAUACAAUGUGUCAUUUCCCAAUGCUGUAUCAUUUUAGGUGAUGAAUUUCAGAAUUAAUAAUUAGUUCAGACUUAAAUUAAGAUUUAGUUAUUAAGAUAUCUAGCAUCACUCAAUCACAAUAAACAAUAACCAAUUCAAAUUGGAACGGAAUAUUGUAUUUUCUUUUAAUUAAUUAUGAUGCAUAAGCAAGUAUUUGUGCUUGGGUUUUUUACUUCUUGAUUUUGUUUGGAAAAAUUUAUGAGACAAAGAAGUGUUUUGGAUAAUUUUUUCGGGAUUGAAAAUUUGAAACCACAACUUGGUAGAAGAAAUUAGUUGUGAACAAUUUUUUCUUAUAUUGUAGGACCUUCUAGUUGGAGUAGUGAUGGCUUUGUCUUCAUUUUUGGUUCCAUUUGUGUCGGCAGCCCCUUACUAUUCUCUUGACCCUGAGUUUGAGAUGAAAAUUUAUCAACCUCCAACCCCACAUCCAAAAACAAGUUGAUUGAAACAAUUGCUCUUUAAAUUAAGCGGACCCAAAUGAGUUAGGUUUCAGUUCUUAUCAUUUGUCUAUUAUUUCUUUGAAACAUGUAUUUUGAGCAUUACUGAUCUUAAUUAUCUGUAUUUCUCCAAUUAUUGAAGAAUUUCAUGUGGCCACUUUUUCUCCUUUUAAAAUAUGUUUAUUUUUUGGAGUGAUCAAACGGGUGUAGAAUCAAGUAAUCGCUGGUCUGUAGUUUAGCCAAUGAUGGCUCAUCCACACAGUUGAAUAUAUGAUACAAUUAGCUCUCAAAAUCUUUCUUAUUUGAGAACAUAAAUUGCCCAUUAAAGUUAAACUAUGUUACCCAGCUCCAUGCACAUACAUUAAAUGUGUAGGUAGUUUUACAAAAUGAUAACAGCAUGCCAAAACUCGUUGUUGUCAUAUUCGACAUUUCAAAUUGAAAAAUAUGCAAGCAAUCUUCAGUGAACAUUACAUGUUUAUUCAAUAAUUUAAAUGGCCAGUAAAUCAACAGUCCAUGAGUUUUAAAUCUAUUAUGACUUAAUGUAUCUUUCUGUAUUCGUACACAGGUUAUAUUAUCAUAGUUUAAAAUUUUAAUAUUAUUUUAAAUGUUAAAAAUACUUUAAUGCUAUUAGUUUACUACACAGGUUAUAUUAUUUAUAAUAUAUUUGUAUUAAUUAAAACUUUUAAUGUCAAUUUUUCCAAAUUCUAAGGGUAUAGGUUUGAAAAUUUAACGUUCUCUAAAUUAAUGAAACAAAAGGGGGGAAACCAAAAACUAUUCAAUUUUGUAUUUUUUGUUUGUAAUUCAAAAAAUACAUCCACCAAACAAGUUUUACGCAUUAAUGCUGUCAUAAAACGAAAAACAGUUUGCCAAAAAAUGGUACCAAACAUAUCCUUAAUGUCUCACAUGAUUUCUUAGUAAGUCCAUAUUAGAUAUAUUUAUACAUUUUAGGUAUUUUAGUUAUAAAAGAAGUUGGUCCUCCCCCUGUUUAUAAAAAAAUAACUUUAUUUCGAGAUUGCCACUAAACUCUUAUAUAGAAUUAGUGUAAUGUUAAGAGAGAGUAACACAGUUUUCCAUUACCAUCUUUGAAAAUAGAGAGAUAUGGAUAUGCAUGCAUUUAAGAGUUAUCGUGAAAAUCAUACAAUUCAAUUUCCUGACAUAUAUUUAUGAGCAUAUGCCAAAAGAAUAAAUAGACAGAAAGUAAAUUUACAGUCCUCACUUCCUCACAAUUGUUAACGUGAAGAUGCAUUACAACUGUGAACUGUCACUGCUUUAGCCUUUUUUUUUUAAUUAUAGUGUGAUGGAGACAUUAAGGCUGAGCAUAAAAGUUAAAGCUGACCCAUUUUCUUUUUAAAGUGCUCUGCUGAAAGCCAAACUUCCUUUGGCUAAUUAAUUUAGAAGUAAAGCAGAGAUUAAAGUCCUAGACGCCUUCUGAAAUUAGAAAUACAUUUUAUAUGCUUUAAUUAUGAUUAUUUGGUAGACCAUAGACCUAGAAGACAUGUCAAAAGUAUAAAACAGAGCGAUUAAAGAAAAAAGAAAAAAAAAAGAGUAUUUGUGACGUAGAAUAACAAAUGGUAACUAAAAUCCUAAAUAUUUGAGUUGUUAAAAGUAAAUAUAACAGAGACGGUAAGAGAGAUGCAGAAACAGAAAACUAUUAGCUUAUCUUGAUUUUCCCACUAUAUUCAUUUUCGAUGCUUUUCGAACGAGAUUCUUUUAAUCCUUCUGGUGUAUGCAGCCCCGGCUCUUCUUAUAAAUCUCCAUCCCACAUCUGCACUACGAACAAGUUGAUUGAAAUUAAAUAAUGUUGGAGAUGAGAGGUGAGUCGUCAACUCGGUAAAAACAAUCAUGUAUAAUAUUAUUAAUAAUAUAAAAUAUAUAAUAAUCAUUACAAAGAAUCAUAAAUUAGAAAAAUUAAUUAUUUUACAAUCUAUUUCUUAAGUAAGAUAAAUCUCGUAAUAAGUUAAGUUAAUAACGUAAAAAAAAAUUCAAUUUAUAAUCAUUUAAGAAGUCAUUUAACAAUAAAAUCUUUCUUUUGAUCAGUAGGCCAUGUCACAAAGUAUCAUAUAUAUUCGUGGUGAUAUUAUUACUACUCCGUAUUCUCAAAAAACAUGAUUUAACAUUUAGAGAAAAUUCCUACCUUUUAAAAAGAACAUGUGUGCAACAACUACCCAUACUUGAUCUUACCAUGACAAAACUAAUGGAGACUAAAUCAAUUUUCUCGAUUAAAGCAAAAUUUCUUAAUAUUGAUUUAAUCCAAAAAUAUGAUGACUUUUUGCAAAAAUUAGUUUUGGAAAAUAUAGUGAGAGAAAAUAGUGACGAUUAUUGUUUAGAUGUGUAAAUAGCCUAAACAUAAUCCCUAAUACCAAUAUUCAUGUGCAUCUUAACACCUUUCGUGUUAUUCUUUCAUUCAUGGUCACUGGUUCGAGAUUUGAAUUUGAUCAUUAAAUCAUGUUCAAUGAUAUUAGAGAUCCCAACAAUUGAGUACAAACUUAAAUCCUAAUGCUAUGUGUCAUUGAGCAAUGUUGUGUCAUUUUUUGUUAACUGGGUGAUGAAUUUCUAGUUGAUAAAAUUACUUAAAAAUAUCUUUAAAAUCAGACAAUAGUUUGCUUAAUUUUUUGAAGCUAACUGCUCAAGAUGCUCUAUUAGAAAUGAUAACCUAAUUAUAUUCAUCAAAAAUGAUUUUUUUUUUUUUUUGCGGUGUUGAUAGUGAGAUUAUCAUUCAACAUGUUAAAAUAUGAAAACAUAUGGAGGAAGGUUGUAAAUUGAUUGAAUGAAAAUAUUUCAGUGAAGUCUAAAAAAUUUGGUACUUGUUAUCUUAUCGAAAGUUUUCUAAAUUACAUUCGUGGCACUGCCACUGCUUUUAUGUGCAGGUCAUUAAAAUUUGUGUUAGUUACCUAUAUGUUGAAUAACAAUUUUAUUCAUGAAUUGUUGCUCAAUAUAGCAAUUUGAUUGAAAGUGCGGCUGCACUAAUUUUCUAGAUGAAUUUUCCUACAUGUUUGUCCUCAUAUGACCUAGAAUGUUGUUAUAUCAAUUGUAUUGGAAAUUAUUAAAGUGGGUUAGUGUUGUACAUCCCCACCAAAAUUUAAGCAAUAUGUUAUAACUCCUUAUAGCUAUAUAAGAUACUUCAGGAAAUGCUUUGAUGAAUUGGAUUUGAAAGAGCAGAACAAGUUAAUCCAACAAGAAAGAAAUCACAAGAAUUAGACACAGAGCACAAUUCUAAGUACACAACUUGAUGAAGGAAAAAACUGCUCUUUUAUUGAUCUCAACAAUCGAAAUAUAGGUUGAUUACAAAGAAGGAAUUACAAGGAUCACAAAGAACCAAAUUGCAAGCAAAAUGAAGAAAAUAUCGAUAUGAUAUUAGAGGCUAGUCACAAGUGCCUUUUAUUAUGAUCUUUCUAGAAAACGUCAUAACGAACUCUCAACGAAUUCUGCCACAUCAGCAUAAGUUUUUCAACAAGACCCCUCCAAUUGAAGUCGAUCUGCACAUUGCCCUAAGAAUUCUCCAAAUUUUGCAUUUAAACCUAACAUACCAGCAACUUAUUUCCUCACACUUUCCACCUUGCAGACUCAAUUCAGUUGAUCAUUUCAAUUAUGUAGCGUAAAAAAACCUUCAAAACACACAGUUUCGGAACUAAAGCUACUGCCAACACCAAUUAAGUUUACACAGAACUUAAAUUUGGUUGUUCGUAGUGCUUUUGUUAACAUAUCAACAGGAUUGAUAUUUGUAUGUAUUUUAGUUACUACAACUGCCCUUUUGCAACCUUAUCCUUGAAAAAGUGCAACUUUACUUCAAUGUGUUUGGUUCUCUCAUGAUAAACCUAGUUUUUGAUGAGCUGAAUGGCACUCUGAUUGUCACAAAAAAUCUACAUUGUCCUUUGCUUCAACCAGAGCUCAUUUAGUAACCCUCUCAACCACAUUGAUUCUUUUACUGCCUCUGUUGCAGCAACAAAUUCUGCCUCAGUAGAUGACAAAGCUACUAUGUGCUGUAGAGUAGCUUUCCAUCCAACAUGAAUAGAUAUCCAGAGAUAGAUUUUCUUCUGUCCAAGUCACCUGCAAAAUCAGAGUCAAUAUAGCCUCUAACUUCACAGACCUCCUACUUGAAUUUUCCAUACAUAAGUCCAUGAUCUAAAGUGCCUUUCAAGUACCUCAUAACCUAUUUCAUAGCAUCCCAAUGAAGCUUACCAGGAUUACUCAUAAACCUGCUCACAACACUUACUGCAUAAGCUAUGUCUGUUCUGGUGCAAACCAUUGCAUACAUCAAGCUUCCUACAACUUGUGAAUAUGGUAUUUCAGCCAUUUGUAACUUCUCAGCAUCUGAUGUUGGAGACAUGUCAUCAGAGAGUCUAAAUUGAGCUCCUAAAGGUGUCAUUACUGGUUUUGAAUCCAUCAUCCCAAACCUUUCCAGCACCUUGCUGACAUAUCUUGAUUGGCUUAGAAAUAAGGUACCAACAGCUAUAUCUUUGAAAAUAUCUAUACCAAGGAUCCUCUUGGCACUGUCGAGAUCCUUUAUUUCAAAUUCCCCCUCAAGCAGAUUCUUAAGCUUUUUAAUAUAGAUCACUAAGAUUUUUACCAGCAAUAAGUAUGUCAUCAACAUACAAUAAAAGAUACAUAGCUCCACUUGAGUUUAUAAUCUCAUGAUAGAAACAACUAUCAUAUUUGCUCAUGUGAUAGCCAUUUGAGAUCAUAAACUGGUCAAAUCUCCUAUACCAUUGCCUAAGAGACUAUCUCAAGCCAUAUAGAGAUUUAUGUAGAAGGCACACAUAAUCCUCAUAUCCCUUUGCUUUAAAACCUUCAGGCUAUGACAUUAGUAUCUUUUCUUCAAGAUUACCAUGUAGGAAGGUAGUCUUCACAUCCAUUUGUUCAAGCUCUAGAUCAAAUAAAGCCACCAUAACAAGUAAGAUUCUGAUUGAGCUGUGCUUUAUAACUGGUGAGAAGAUUUUAUUGAAAUAAAUCCCCUCCUUUUGUGUGAACCCCCUUGCCACCAGUCUUCCCUUAUAUCUUGAGUUUUCAACACCUGGGAUGCCCUCCUUUUUCUUGAAUAUCCAUUUGCAACUGACAACUUUCCUAAUCCCUGGAUUAGGAACCAAGGUCCAAGUCUGAUUUCUUACUAGAGAAUCCAUUUAUUCCCUCAUGGCUUUAAUCAGUUACUGUUGUUCUUGCUAUCUAUUGCUUCUCUAUAGUUGUUAGGCUCUUCAAUUGCAACAUCUUCUGCACUCAUUAAUGCAUAUGCCACCAUGUCUGCAUAUGCAUAUCUUGCUGGGGGUCUGAUAUGUCUUUUUUUCUCUGUCCCUAGCUAAUUGAUAUUGUUACAAAUCAGUUGCUUGUGGUGCUUCAUUUUCUGUUACUACUGUAUCUUGAGAAUCAGGUUUAAUAACUUCUGGUUGUAUUUCAUCUUUAUAGGUAUUAGACAACUCCACCUCAAUCUUUUCACUUUGAUCAAUGGCCUCAAUGGCUUGUGUCUUAUUUGCACUAAUGUUAGUAUCAGAGGUGACUUGAUCAGGAUUAUUGAUCAUAGCAACUUUAUUAAACUGAACAUCUCUGCUAAUUAGACAUUUACUAGCCUCUCCACACCAGACCCUAUAGCCUUUAACCCCAUCUGGAUAACCAACAAACACUCUUUUUAUAGCUCUUGCUUCAAGCUUCCCUUGUCUAACAUGGAAAUAAGUAGGGCGCCUAAAUACAUUUACAUGUUCAUAACUUCCAAGCUUUCCAUACCAGAGCUCUUUAGGAGUUUUGAAGCCAAUUGCAGCAGAUGGACUUUUGUUUACAAGAUAACUUGCUGUAGAAACAACUUUUGCCCAAAAACUUCUAGGGAGCUUAGAGUUUAUCAACAAACACCUUCUUUUUUAUCAACAAUUGUUCUAUUCAUCCUCUCAGUCAAACCAUUUUGUUGAGGGGUGAAUCUCACUAUUUUAUGCCUCAUGAUUCCGUAUUCUUGGCAGUAUUGCUAAAAUUUUUUGUUAUAGAAUUCAAGUCCAUUGUCUGUUCUUAAACAUUUAACCUUGAAACCAGAUUGAGUCUCCACCAAAGUCUUCCAAAUAUUGAACUUUUCCAAGGCUUGGUCUUUGGUUUUCAGUAUGUAGAUCUAUACUUUCCUGGAAUAGUCAUCUAUAACUGACAUGAAAUAUCUUCCCCCACUCAAAGAUGGCACCUGGGCAGCCCCCAUAGAUGAACAUGCCCAUAGUCCAGAGGUUGUUUAGACAUAUGCAUGCCCUUUGGAAAUUUGGACCUGUGUGCUUUGCCAAAAAUAUAGUUUUCACAGAAGUCUAACUCAUUUAUUUUAUCACCACACAACAAUCCUUGCUUACUCAACUCUUACAUUCCCCUAAUACUCAUAUGGCCAAGUCUAAGAUGCUGUAAUAUGGUUCUAUUAAAAUAAAAAACAGCAGACAUUGCAGCUGAAACAGGCACUGAUGAUCCUUCUAACACAUAAAGGACAUUUUUCUUAACUCCUUUCAUUAUCAUUUGAGUCCCUUUCAUAAUCUUUAAACCACCAUUUUCAAAUUUGAAGCAAUAUCCCAUACUAUCCAGCAUGCCUAAAGAGAUCAAGUUCCUCUUUAGCCUAAGUGCAUGCCUCACAUCAUAUAGAGUUUUAACAGUCUCCUCAAACAUCUCUAUUUUGACAGACUCCAUACCAAUAACCUUACACACAUUGUUGUUACCCAUCAAUACUCUACCACCAUCCACAGAUUCAUAUGUAUGGAAAAGGCUUCUAUCAUGACACAAAUGAAAAGAACAACCUGAAUCAAGAACCCACAGACCUUUAAUAUUGUUGUUCGAAGCCACCAAAAAUUCAGCACUAUGAUACCCAUCAUCAGAGGAGUCAUCUGAGGCCACUGCUGCAUCCCUUGUUCUUUCUUUUUCAUCCUUCUUUUUCUCAUCACAAUCCCUGAUGUAGUGGCCUUGCUUUUUGCAGUAAAAACACUUUCUUUUCUUCAUUUUUUCCUUUGCAGAUGCAUCAUCCGUUUUGGCUUGAUUCUUGUUCUUGUUCUUCUUGUUUUUCUUAUCUGUUCUGGCAAUUAAACCUUCACCAUUACUUACUUCAUGCCCAUUACUCUUCUGAAUCUCCUUAGAGCUCAAAGAGGCUUUCACGUCCUCUGGGGUUAGAGUGGUUAUUCCAUACAGCACGGUGUCCACAAAACCUUCAUAGGUUUUAGGCAAUGAACUCAGUAAAAAGAAAACUUUAUCUUCAUCAGUAAUUUUCACAUUUUCAACCCCUUCAAGAUCAAGAAUGAUCUUGUUGAAGUUGUCAAUGUGUUGUUGAAUAGAUACCCCUUCUUUCAUAGAGAAGGUAUAUAAUCUUUUCUUCAAGAAAAGUCAAUGUACUAAGGAUUUCUUCACACACAGAGCCUCCACCUUGUUCCAGAUACCAAGGACUGUCUUCUCUUCAUAAAUUUCCCUUAGGAUUGAGUUAUUGAGACUCAAGAUCAAGCAAAAUGAACAAGAAAUGAAGAAGAUAUCGGUCUAAUAUCAGAGGCUAGUCACAAGUGCCUUUUUUUCUGAUAUUUUUGGAAAACAUCAUAACGAACUCUCAACGAAUUCUGCCACAUCAGCAUAAGUUUUUCAACAAGUCCCCUCCAUCUCAAGUCGAUCUGCUCACUGCCCCAAGAAUACUCCAAAUCUUGCAUUUAAAGCCAACAUACCAGCAACUUAUUUCCUCACACAAUCUACAGAACAUUUCUUGUGGAAAGAAACUUAUUUCGCUACUAGACUUUUAAUGAGGCCCUUUUCCCAGAAUCUGGAUAAGAGUUAGAUGCCUCCCGGAAUAUUGGUAGGAGUAUAUUUCUAAGUUAUUGCUCGGUAGAUCUCUGAUAUGACUGAAAACAUCAAUACAUGCAUGAUUUUAUAAUAAAGAAUACUCUAAAAUUAUUUGUAUAUCACCAUUUGCAGUUGUGCCCUCUCGAAUGAAGGAGCAAUCAGCAACUAAAAUGAAGCCCGAAAUGUACACGCAUGAGGCAAUUUUUCCAGAAGAUUGAUAUUUCUCUAACUCGCAAACCAUACAAACCCAAAGCUAGCCAAACCAUACCGGCAAGUUCGAGGCUUAAAUGGAGUACUUUUAAGCAUAAAACAUUGAUUAAAACAGAAUACACACACACAUACCAGCAAAUUCAAAAUAGAACAGAAAUACAACUGUUCAAGUUUGUAAACAAUAUUACAAUCAUUGCUUAUUUAUAGCAAAUCCUUGAAAUCUGCUAAAUGAAACAAUGCCUUGCCUCAUGAAUCAAAGUUGAAUUAAAAUUGAAAUUGAAAGUCCGGCUGGUGUUGUUUCCCUCUCUUGUUUUGCCUACAUAAGUAAAGGGAAAUGAGAAUAAAAAAUUAAAAUCUGCUUUUACAAUUCUUAUUAGAUAGAUAUAAAGGGGUCUUUCUUUGUUUCUCUGCUGCAAUGUGUGGCUAUCCCACUCUGUUUUGCCACUCAAGCUGAGUUUACGUUGAGUUAUAAUUUUGACAUCAGAAGGACCUCAAUUAGUUUGGCAUUUUUAUGACCUCCUUGUACGUUUUACGAUAAACAUAAAUCUACUGAGAAAGUGGGAAAAAAAGAAAAGGCAUAUAAAAGUAUUAGUUUGGCAUUAAAACUCACCUAAUUCAAUCCAUCAGAUGCAGUAAGGAUAAAAUUGGAUGUCAUACGGCCAUUCCAUUUCCUCGAAAGUCCUUAGUUUUUGUCUCAACUCUGUCUGAGGCCAAUGUAAAUCCAAUUUGCGCAAGCUCUUUAUGCACCACAGCUCUUCUGGAAGCUUCCUCAAGUAAGCACAUGGGUUGCAAUUAAGCUUUCAAGUUUUGGUAUUGCUCCUGUCCCCAUUGUCCACUCGUCUAGCCAAUACAUUGAUUUUAGCCUUUUAGGUGCAAAACCUUAAGUUUCGGAAAGCCACCAGAGCCAGCACAAUCCAGCCUUCUUCCUAAAUACGGGUGCUGCUUCAAUUUCAGCACUUGAAGGUGUGGAAGUUUCUCUAGCAUUGGCAUGGGAUCCUCCUUUAGCUCAAUAUUUGAUAAGCUCAGUUGGGUCAGACUUGGAGGAAAUUGGUAUUCGGACAGGACCAUUCGUGAGAGCUUGCUUUCAUUCACCAGCUUCAAGCAUUCCAGUUUGUGGAGUUCGCAUAGGCUUUUGGAAACCCCAGAAUGAUAGCAGCUCAAAUCUCCAGACACUCUUAAGAGUUUGAAGAUUAGGCAGUCUGCCCAAUAUAUCUGGAGUGCCACUACUAGGGUGUAAGGCUGAUAUGAAAAUGAGAUUUUUCGGAGAGCUGCAAUAAUUAUUGGGAGGUGCAGGCAGAGUGAUGGAACCGAAGUUCAGAUGCAUGAGCUUUUGCAUCAGAUUCCGUUUGGAUAUAACUGGAUGUCAUAACGCCACUCCAUAUCCUCAAAAGUCCGUAGCCUUUGUCUCAACUCUAUCUGGGGCCAGUGUAAGUCCAAUUUGUGCAAGCUUUUAUGCACGAUAGCUCUUCUGGAAGCUUCCUCAAGUAAGCACAUGGGUUGACAAUUAAGGUUUCAAGUUUUGGCAUUGCUCCAGCCCCCAUCGUCCACUCAUCUAGCCAAUACAUUGAUUUCAGGUGCAAAACCUUAAGUUCCGGAAAGCUACACGAGCCAACACAAGCCAGCUUUCUUCCUAAAUACGAGUUCUGCUUCAGUUUCAACACUUGAAGGUGUGGAAGCUUUUCCAGCAUUGGCAUGGGAUCCUCCAUUAGCUCAGUAUUUGAUAAGCUCAGAUGGCUCAGACUUAAAGGAAAUUGGUAUUCAGACAGGACAAUCCGUGAGAGCUUGCUCUCAUUCACCAGCUUCAAGCGUUCAAGUUUGUGGAGUUCGCAUAGGCUUUUGGAAACCCCAGGGUGAUAGCAACUCAAAUCUCCAGAUAUUCGAAGAGUUUGAACAUUAGGCAGUCUGCCCAAUAUAUCCGGAGUACAACUACUAGGGUGUAAGGCUGAUAUGAAAUUGAGAUUUUUCAGAGAGAUGCAAUAAUUUUUUGGAGGUGCAGGCAGAGUGAUGGAACCGAAGUUUAGAUGCAUGAGUUUUUGCAUCAUCCAAAUAUCCUCUGGUGACUGAUCUAUGUAGCUUGAUGGCAUUUCUAGUGUUUGAAGGUUUAAAAGGGUGCAUAGCAGUGAAGGAAGGCAUUUGAGCGAAGGGAUAUUCAAUUUCAAAUACUUCAAAUAGAAUAAAUUUUCUAAUCCAGGUGGAAAGUGGUCGAGAAUUGCAGAACCCAAGCCCAAUACCCGAAGGUGUUUGAACUUUUUACAAAAAUUGUCGCAAUCUAUCAGAGCGAGAUGAUCGCUUUCUGAACUGUGAUUCAGAAAAGAUUGGAGAUAGAUGUCAGAAUGUUCUAAAGAAAAGAACUCAAUCAGAUCUUUCAUAAUGUAGCACCAUUUAACAUUUACCGGUGGUUCCUCGUCCACGUCAAGGUUCCAGGACAAUCCCGUGUUCACUGCCACAGAUAACAAUGAAUAAUAUACAAAACUUGGAACAUAACACACUUUAAUCGUGCCUCCGGCUCUUCUCUUACUCACUUGAAUGAGGCCGCGAUGGAUUAGUUCUUUCAAGUAAUGUUCGGCCGUCUCCUCACUGUUGUAUGGUAUGAAACCUUCAGCUACCCACAACUGAUAUAAUUGCCUCGUCGAUAUGUCAAUACUUGGACGGAAGACACACAAAUAGAUGCAGCAGACUUUCAAGUGAAAAGGUAACUCCAUCACAGCAUAAAUUUGUCUCCAAAUUGUCGGAAUCGCUUCGCCUUGAACGUAAUUUUCUAAUGGCAUACUUCCAUAGUGUAGGAUGAAAAAUUGCCAGGAUUCAUGCUUUAAUCUGAUCAUCUGUCCUCCAAUGAGCACUGAAUUAGGCCGAAUCUUCUCUCCGUUUUCCAUUUCCAAAGACUCAAGGAGGUCUAGAUCAGUGACCGUUAUCAAUACUCUGCUUCCAUUCUGAUUGUCAGGAAGAACUUGUUCAAGAUCAUCCCAUAUGUCACUGUCGUCGAAGACAUCAUCAAGCACAAUAAAGUACUUCUAGUUUGUUAGGUAAUCACGAAGAAUGGUUUUCUUCAAUUUAUAAUCUUCACCGAUAAUUACACUAACCCGAGAUGGAGGCAUCACAGACUUGAUUAUGUCAUCCAAUAUCUUGCCAGAAUCGUAGGCUAUAGAAACCCUGACCCAAGCAAGACAGUCAAAAUAGAACUUGACAUGAUUGUUAUUGUAAGUAUCUGCAGCAAAAGCAGUCUUAUCGAAGCCCCUGCUGUCGAGAAUUGCAACCACUGAAAGCCUAGAUGGUCCCUCAAUCAAUAGAUCAAACAACUCCUCUCUGCCCCUUUCAAAUUCACUGAUAUCAAGCCGAGGUUGUCCCUCACUCAAUAGGCGAAUGAUUUUCUUACCUUGUUCACUGAUAUCAGAACCAUUGUCGCCGGGUGGAAGUUUUUGCAUUCGAUUUCUAAUAUCAAUGAUUUUACUGUGGAGUCCAACAAGAAGAGCCAUAUUUUUAGAAUUAAUAGGUUGUUUGGCAAGUGAGAAAGUGAAAGAAAAUUAACAAAGAAACUUUAACUGAAUUGAUUUAUUAUUGAUUAAAACUCAAGCUUAACACUGAAAACGUGUUAGCAAGUAUUUAUAGUUAUAUUAAGCUAAAAACUAAAACAGAGCUAAUCGUUUGCUGUAUUAACAAACUAAUCCAACUUCCAAUCAUAACAAGCCAGCUGGAUAAUCUGUUACAGCUUUAGCAACUGCCCAAUCCAGCUCAGCAUCUUCAGUUUAUACACAUCACUAGCCAGCCAGCUCAGCAGCUUCAUCUGCAGCUUAUACACGUCACCAGCUAAGCUAGUACAGCAGCUUCAGCUAUACUCUUAACACAUAUUAGUACUGCUUUCACUUUCGUUUUCACGGCUUUGCUGCUGCAUGAUGUUGAUGAAGAAUGCGUCAAUGGCUACCUCAGAUUCAUGGACAAAGUGAUUGAUGUCCUCCAGAAUUCCCAAAAUAUCUCCUCUUUUAACGUCUUCAUCGCUUUCUUCCAAGUCCAACAGUUGCAAAAAUGGCAAAGCUACUUCGAAUUCAUCGAAUUUUUGUCUGAUAAGUUGAAACAAAAGCCGAGCCACGUCAGCUUCAUAGUUCCUCAGGAGAGUAGUAGCAAUAAUUUCGGACUCCGUAAGAAGGUUUUGAAAAAGUGGAGUCACAUUUGUUGAAUCAGACAACGUUAACGCGCCUUCUUCAUCUGCUAACACCCUUUUCAACCUCUCACAAAAUAGUCGGAGAUGGACGUCCAGCAUAUCUUCUCCUUCUCACUGUAGCAGCCAGAGGUAUUGUUAUUUGCUCCAAGAAAUGUUAAAAGGAUUGGUUCUAUCUCAAAGUGGUUAGUGGUGUAAAAUUAAACACCAUGGAAGAAUUUGCAAGGAAGAUGCCAAGAAACUGGCGAAGCCGCUAAAUUCCACAAAUACGCGUGCCUUCUGAAAAGAACGGGUAUCCAACCUUCAUCUUGAUUUCUGCCAUGACAUAAUUGAUGGUGCUUGAAUCAAUUUUUUUUUUUUUUAAUUUAAAAAAUUUUGCUUAAAAAAAAAAAUCAAAAUGCCUUCAAAUUUUACAAAUUUCAGAAUCUGAAUGAUAAUUUUUUCAAAUUUGAAAGAUGUAAGUAUUUUUUUUUUCUGAUAAUUUAUUUCACUUUUGAGGAAAUCCGAAAACGCUAAAUACGUUCUUUACCUUAAUGAAAAAAAGUGAAAAUCAAGAACUAUUCAAUUUUGUUUUUAUUUGUAAUUCAAAAACUUUAUUUAUUUUCGAUGCUUUUCAAAAGAGAUUCCUCUGAUCCAUCUGGCAUCUGCAACCCAGUUUCUUGACAACGUUACAAAUCUCCACCCCACAUCUACACUAUGAAACAAGUUGAUGGAAAUCGAACAAUUGCUUUUUGAAGUGGACCCAUUGGUCAUCAUUGUCUAUUCUUCCUAUGAGCCAUUUAUUUUGACCAUUUGCGAUCUUAUCUGGACCACUCCAAUUAUUGUUGUAACUCCAAAGGUUGCAUCUACAGUUGAAUGUAAGAUAGUGAAAGCUCUUCUCUCAGAAAAUAGAGGGACCUUUCUCUGUUUCUCCGUUGCAACGUGCUAGUAUAAAUUUCUUUACCUUACAGUUUGUACGGUCUUGCUGUUAAUGAAUUCGCUGAGGCAUUAUUGAUCCAAUCUGAGUGAAGUAAUUGUGGGUGAAAAAUAAAUAAAGGAUAGGAGAAGGUGAAAAAUAAAGUGCUGAAGUGGCUAUUAAAGAAGAGUGUCACUUGAUCACAAUCACAUUGAUGCACAACUCACUCGUGACAAAUUUCGACUAUACGUACUGCAAAUUCAGCCAAACUGUAAUUAAAGCUACAAAAGGCAGUAUAUCCAAAAACUUAAGGGGAAGAUUUUAUUCAAGUGCAGCUGAAAUGAAAAAUAUUGACUAUUGAAUGGACCAAUGCUGAAUUACAUUUGAAAUGGGAAGCAUGACUGCAGUCACGAUGUUUCCCCCUCUGAUUUUCCUCCAAAACAAAUUCAGUUCUAAACAAUAACGGAAAUAGCAAUAAUUUAUUCAUCAAAGAAAAUCCCUAAAUUUUUUCAACUAACAAAUCCUCGUCUAAAAUAAAAAAACUUAUUUCUCUAAAAUCUAUCUGUAAAAUGUUGAAAAUGAGGGGUGAUCUGUUAACUCAGUAAAUAAACUCGUGCAUAAUGUUAACAAAUAAUGAUAAAUUACAUAAUAAUUAUUAUAAAGAAUCAUAAAUUAGAAAAAAUAAUCAUUUCCCAAUAAAUCUCAGAAUAAGUUAAGUUAUAAUGUAAUAAAUAUUUUCAAUAUUAUAAUGUUAUAAUCAGUUAAAGAUAGGAUUGGUCCUAUUUCAAAGUAGUUAGUGGUGUAAAAUUAAUUAAUUAAACACCAUGGAAGAAUUUGCAAGGAUAAGCUAAGAAACUGGCUAAGUGGCUAAAUUCCACAAAUACGAUAUUAUUCCUUAUUUUUUUUCUUUCUUUUUUUAAUUUAAAGAAAUUUUCAUUAAAAAAAUUUUUAAUAUCAAAAUGCCUUCAAUGGCAUUUUAUUUAAAAAGUUUAGAAUUUUUGGGUAUGGAAAGAGUAGUAUUAAACAUCAGAAAGCUAAGGUUGUUCUGUUAAAGAAUUGAUAUUGACAUAAUUUUAUUUUGGUUUUCAAGGAAAAAAAACAUAUUUGUUGACAAGCAAGAAUUUUUUUUUUGUAUUUUACAAUAUGUUAUUACAUAUUUUAUGAUAUAAGAGUAAUUUUAAUAAUAAAUAGAAACAUAAUAUUGCAAUGAAUAAAUUAAAGUUUAAAUUUUUUGAAUAUUAUAACAAAAUUUAAUAUUAUUAAUAGGCAGAUAUUUUGUUAAUUGUAAAAUCGUUUUACCCCAAAGGUUUUUUUUUUCAAAUUUUUAUAAUAAGCACAAGUAUAAAAUUAAAUAUCAUAAUUUAAAAAUUUUAAUACUAUUUUAAAGAGUAAAAAUAUUUUAAUGUUAUUAGUCUACUACAUAGAUUAUAUUACUUAUAUUAUAUUUUGUAUUGAUUAAAAAUUUUUAAAAUCAAUUUUCUAAUUACUAUAAUACUCAUGUAUUAUGGUUAAAAGAAAAUAUCUUAGUGUUACUUUUGAAAAUUUGAGGGCUUGCAUGAUAAUUUUGCCAAAUUUUAAGGAUGUAAGUGUACUUUUUUUCCGAUAAUUUAUUUCACUUUUGAGGAAAUCCAAUGAGAAUAUGGUAAGUGAACGUCAAUUACUAGUCAGUUUUUAUUUUUUCUAUGAGCCAUUUAUUUUGAGCAUUCGUGAUCUCAUCUGGACCAGUCCAAUUAUUGAUGUUACUCCAAUGGCUGCAUCCACAGGUGAAUAUAUGAUAGUGUUAGCUCUUAUUUGAGAAUUUAGAGGGAUCUUUCUUUAUUUUUCAGUUGCAAUGUGCUAGUAUAAAUUUCUUUACCUUACAGUUUAUAUAGUCUUGCUGUUAAAGAAUUCACAGAGGCAUUAUUGAUUCAAUUUCAGUGAAGCAAUUGUGGGUGAAAAAUAAAUAAAGGAUAAGAGAACAGAGCUGAAGUGCUGAAUUGGCUAUUAAAGAAGGGCGUCAGUGUUGGAGUAAACCAGUUUUUAAAAUUUUAUAAAAAACUUUUAGGAUCGCUCUCAUACAAUAUAUAAGAAUUUAUAAUCUAGAAUUGUACCUUGAAAAUUCAAUUUGCCUUUUUCCGUUGAAGUGAUUUAGGCUCCCAGAUCACGAUCCGUCACCACCACUCCUGUUAGAUCACGAUCCGUCACCACAACUCUUAUUAGAUCACGAUCCGUCACCAUAACUCUUGUUAGAUCACGAUCCGUCACCAUAACUCUUGUUAGAUCACGAUCCGCCACCAAAUAAUCUUCCAGGCUAUGACUCAAGUUUGAUUUGCACUUGACGUGUUGGCGCCUUUAUCACCACUAAAGCAACUAGUACGAGAAUAUUUUUCUCUCAACAAUAGAGAGAAAAAUCUUUUUCUCUGAUAUGUAUAAAGCGGCUACUCUAUUUCUUUUGGGAGAAAAUAAACCAUUUUAUAUUUCUAUCUAGUGGAAACCCUAGGCUCCAAUUUUUAUAUUAUUUAAUUCUAUUAAAUCAAGUUUGAUUUAAAUUAAAAUAAUAAACCAAAAGUAACAAUACUUCUUUUGUGUCAUAAGAUAAUUUAUUUAUGUCUUCUGCAAACUUAAUUUAUUUAAUCAUAAGAUAACUUGUAUUUAUGUCUUCUGUGAAUCCAUAUGAUGAUUACAUAAAUACAUAUAAUAUGAUUAAAUUGACCUUAUUCAAAAUAUUUAUGCAAUUGAAAAUAUCUCCAAUAUUUUAUUAAUCAGAAAAUAAAUUAAUAUACUUUAAAAGAACAUAUAAUCCCAACAAUCUCUCACUAGCUCUUAAAGCAUAUCUGGUAUAUUGCACAUGCUCUAGGGCUCUAAGUGAGGUUAUAAAGGUUUCCGACUAAUGGCCAUUGUAAUAAUAUAUGCCAUAUAGCAUCUAAUGCCAUUUGGGGUAUUGUCAUAUAACAUUUUUAUACUAUUUCCUUAUAAGAUGUUACUUCCUCUCAAUAUGUUUUGUUUCUUGUGGUUUCUUAGUUCCUUAGAUUUAGCUACCGCACUACUGUUGAUGUUAGAAAAUGUAUAUUUACAAAAGAGAAAAUCGUCAUUUUACAUUUCAAGCCUUACUAACACUCUUACUUUUAUGUAUUUAAGUUUCUUAUGAUUUAAUUACGUGUGUUUUAUUUUAAUUAAGUAUUUUAUAUAUUUUAGGGGCAUUAUGGUCAUUUCACAAUGAACGAGAGAUCAGAUGGCAAAACAGACAUCACUUUUGAACUCAAGACGGCCGAAAACCUUAGGAGGAGCAUAAAAGGAAAAAUGGCAUUGUUCACAUGUACGGUACUAUUCACAUGUAUAGUACUGUUUAUAUUACUGUUCACGACACUGUUCACAUAGACGGAUCGAUGAUGUGGCAUUGACUGAUGAGGUGUCACGAUCCUGUUGGACUAAAAUUCUUAUACACUAUUGAUUAGUGAUGUGAUAGCAUGUUAGUGGACCAAAAAUUGCGCGUACGGUACAUGCAUAUACACAGAAUUAUUUUCAACCAAACCACAUUACUGUUCAAGCCAGGUCAAACCGUGUCACUGUUCAAACCGCAUGGUCAAACCGCGUACUGUUGACUGAUGACGUGGCGCAAUCCUGAGCGUCCAAACUGUUUUUAAUCUAAUGGCCAUGAUUUACUGAAUGUAUCUAUAAAAAUGAGGCCUCCCCCCUAAUUUGGCAUCUCUAAAUCCAUUUUUUGGCUCUAUUUUCUGUAAUUCCUUCUCCAUCUUGUCUUUUCUACGUAUUUUAAUAAAUUUCCAUUUUGCCCCUAUUUCUAUUAUAAGUAGCUAAUUUUCUUUCAAGCUUGGGUUGAAUGUGAAGUCUCAACAUGUGUCAUGGGCUUUAUUUGGUAAAUUUAUUUUCUCUUCUCCUCUAGUUUUUGUGGAUGUUUUGACUUCUCGUAGACAAAUAAUAAUAAUCUUGUCUAGAUGCUGCCCUGGUUUCACCGGCUCCCUAGUACAAGAUUAUUAUUAUUUGGCACGAUAAGCCCUUAGCAGCAUAUUGAUUAGAGUGUGGUUCAUGAGGUGUGGAUUCCCCCUCAUGAUUUAAUUGGCAUUAAUAAGGAAUAUUUAGCCCAUGGUGCAUUUUGAUAUGGAUCCAGAUACCCAAGUACGUCAUUUCAAUAGAUUUCUCUUCAAUUUAUUCUCGCCAUUUCAAUUCAAAUUUUAGGAUAAUCUAAGUCACUUUCACCACAAAUCCAACCACCCAAUUCAAAAAUUAAUUCUACACACAAUUAAAAUCCACCUCCUCGUGGGAUCGACACUCGUUACCAUUAAUCUAUUCCACAAUAGAUUUGUACACUUGCGAGUUCAAUAAAAUUUUCACAACAACUACCAUAAUCACAAAAUAGUUUAAGGGAUGCAGUUACAACAGGUACCACCUCAAGAUUUUGUAGGAACUUGCGGAGCCAUAUAGCUUAUUUUGCAGCUUUAGAUGUAGGCACAUAUUCAGCUUCAGUUGUGGAGUCUGUGAUAUAAGACUUUCACACUCCUCGAACUAAUAGCUCCACUUCCUAAUGUAAACACAUUAUUGGAGGUUGAUUUUCUGGAAUCUUUAUCUUACAUAAAGUCAAAAUCAGUAUAACCCACUGGAAUAAGUUCAUCACCAGAAUACACAAGCAUACAAUUUUUAGUUCUUUUCAGAUACUUUAUAAUAUGCUUGACUGCAAUCCAGUGUUCAGGUUCAAGAUUAGAUUGAUAUCUGCUAACCAUCCCUACCGCAAAACAGAUGUCUGGUCUAGUGCAAAGCAUGGCAUACAUGAGACUUCCCACAACUUCUGCAUAGGGAACUCGUCUCAUUUUCUCUAUCUCUUCAAAUGUUUUAGGUGAUUGAUCCUCAGACAAUACAAUUCCAUGUCGAAUGGUAAUAAACCAGACUUGGAAUUUUCCAUGCUAAAUCUAGCCAAUAUCUUGUCGAUAUAGACCGCUUGAGACAAGGCUAAAGUUUUAUUCUUCCGGUCUCGUAGUAAUUUGAUACCAAGAAUAUAACUUGCCUCUCCCAGGUCUUUCAUAUCAAAGUUUUUUGCUAACCAACUCUUUAUUGUAGUAAAUACUCAUAUAUCGUUUCCAAUUAGGAGAAUAUCGUCUACAUAAAGAAUUAGGAAGGCUACAGAUUUUUCUUGAAUUUUCUUGUACACACAUGGUUCAUCAAUGUUCUGAAUGAAUCCAAACGAUUUAAUUGCUUGAUCAAAUUUGAUGUUCCAUGACCGGGAUGCUUGCUUCAAUCCAUAAAUGGAUCUCUGCAACUUACAUACCAUGUGUUCUUGGCCUUUUUGUAUGAUUCCAUCUGGUUGUUGCAUGUAGAUGUCUUCUUCAAGACGCCCAUUAAGAAAGGCAGUCUUGACAUCUAUUUGUCAAAUUUCAUAAUUUAGCGCUGCAGUAAUGGAGAGCGGAAUCCUGAUGGAUUUAAGCAUAGUAACCGAAGAAAAGGUUUCCUCAUAAUUGAUUCUCUCUUUCUGAGUAAACCCUUUGGCUACUAAUCUUGCUUUAAAUAUUUCCAUCCUUCCGUCUACUCCUCUUUUUCUCUUGUAGAUUCACUUGAACCUUAUAGGUUUUACCCCAUUUGGUGCCUCUAUAAGAAUACAUAGAUUUCAUUUCUUGAUUCAUGACCUCUUUCCAAAAUUCAACAUCUCUGUCUAUAAGAGCUUCAUUUAGCUCGUGGGAUCUUAUACAUGUUCAUCUGAGAUCGCCGUAUAGGUUUCUCCCAAUAACAUGUAUCUCGCUAGUGACCUAGUUACCCUCCCACUACGACGAGGUUUUAAAAGUGAUUGUUGUUCAGGGAUAAUCUGUGUUGAUCAGCUGGUUGUUGCUGUUCUUUCUGUUCAAUAACAGGUGUUAAAGCUCAGCAUUAACUUGAUCUCCUUUUUAUUUCUCUAGUUUUACCUUACUCUUAGGUAAUAAGUCAUUAUAUAGUCUUCCUCAAAGAAAGUAAAGAAUAUGUCUAUAAAUACAUUCCUAUCUUGAGGACUACAAUUCAGACUUUCCCUUAUUCCUUUAAGAUACUUAAAACAUGCAAGCUUCUGAACACGAAUCCAUCUUCUUUACCUCUAAUUCUAGUACAAAUACUAGUAAACUCUAAAUAUGAAUGUGUUUCAAAUUAUGUUUAUAACUUUUUCAUAAUUUCUUAGAGUAGUAAACACUGAGGUAGAUGAAACUAAGUUCGAUAAACUUUGCAGUUUUAAAUACUAGUAUCUGGAAUCAAAGAGGUAAAUGAUAAACCACUUAGUAUAUAUCUUGUCUUAUCCAAAAGAAUCUUGUUUCUCUAUUUAAUUACACUAUUGUAUCUUAGUGUUCUUUAUAUGUGGGAGUUUAUCCCAUUUGACAACCAAAUAGAGCUUGAAUUCUCCAUAGAGAUAUUCUUUGUUUCGAUCAUAUCGAAAUUCUUUUAUGUUCCUGUCUAAUUGCUUCUACUUUAUCCACGUACUCUUUUGAAUUUCAAAAGCAAUGGAAUCAUGACGCAUUUAGACAAACAUAAAUGAAAUGAAUAUUCAUCAACAAGAUUGAUAGAAUACUCAUAACCUCUUAUAAUAUUAUGCUUUUAGCUCAAAAAGAGCAUCCUCGUCAUAUUACUUUUCUAAAUAAGAUUUAUAGAGUUACAACGAUCAAUCUUAAUAGGCCAACAAGUCUAUCAUUAAUCAUUUUUUUAAAAUCUUAUUAUAGUUUAUAUGACUUAAGCAUAAAUAUCAUGGUGAUUUUGGUUAGAACAAACAUUUCUUUUCUUAGAUAAUGCAUAUAGUCUUGAUCCUUAUAUGUUGCUUUGAAUAGAUCAAUGGACUUAUAUGAUAUAAAUUGUCUUUAUAAAUAACCAAAAUAAGUAAUAAACAGAGGAUCCAAAAAUAACAGUGUACUCUUGUUUAUUAAAACAAGCUACCGAAAUUAAAUUCCUCUAAUAUUUAGAAAAAUAAAGACAAAUAUCAAAACUAAAGUCUUGUAAAAUUAAUCCAGCAUUUCAAUUGAUAUAAACUAGCAUGUCCACAACUACUAUUUGAAGCUUUCUUCACUUAAUCUCUUGGUUUCCUGAAAGCCAAAUAAAUGAAUUACAAAUAAGAUUAGUUAUCUCAGAAUUCACUAUUGCAUGAAUCAAUAGAUAUCUGAACUAACUAGGAAGCUUAAAGAUUUCCUAUACCUGAUUUUAAUAAUUUUAGGACAAUAUUUUUUCCAGUGACCCUUUUGUCCACAUUUGUAACACUUGCCUUUUGGCUUGCCACUUCUCUUAGUGGAUAGUUUGUCGAUCCCCACUCUUUCUUGCUCAUUCUUGUCUUUCGACUUAAGCCUUGAAGAGAAUCAUUUUUCAGAAAGUUUUCUGCUAUGAUAAAAUUCUUCUAUAGCAUGCAGUUCGUGCAUUAAUUCAAUUAAGGUCAUAUCUUUAUUGUUUAAGAUAUAGCUGACCUUAAACUCUUUGAAUGUUUCAGGCAAAUAUUCAAUCACUAUGUUAAUAUUUGUUUUAUCAUUGAUUUGAACACCAUGAAUCUCUACUUCAUUCAAAUAGUCCAUCAUUUUGAGGAUAUGAUCACGAACUCUUGUACUCUCUUCCAUCUUAGUAUCCGUAAUAUGUUUUAAUGCUGCUUCUCUGGCAAAAUGGGUAUUUUUUCCAAACAUCUAAUAAGGACUAGCCAUUAUUUCAGUGGCUGUUUCCAUGCUCCAAUGUUUCUUAUGCAGUUCCACAGAAAUCGAAUCCAAUAUAUAGCGCUUAGCCAUUUUGUUAGUUCGUACCAUUUCUCAUAAGGCUCCCUCUGAUUUCUAUAAUCGUAUAACAUUGGUUCUAAAGGGCAUGGUUGGGUCAACACAUAUUUGCAGCCUUUAGCAAUGAGAAUAUUAAAUAGCUUAUGUUUCCAAUCUAAAUAAUUUUCGCUAGUGAGUUCAAUUUUAACAAGGAUAAUUAACAAUGGGUUCAUGGAAGCCAUAUUUUGAAAAACAAAAAAACAAAAUAGACAUGCAUAAAUACUUUGAAACAAUAUUUGCAAUAAAUGAUAAAAGUACAAAAAACCAUAAAUACAUUUUAAUUUAUUGUAACGAUAAUCUAGUACCGCUUUGACAAGCUAUCCGUUGGGGAAGUCAUGUCUACACUUACUAGACCCAAAUAUCCAUUGGAUUAUUUACUUUCAUAUAUAGACAUGAUGAAUAAUUAUUGUUAUCCCUUUGGGCUUAAAUUUGUUAACAAAGCUUCGUCGGGAAGGUUAAUAACAAAUUUUAGUUGAGUGUAUAAUCAUUAUUUCAAUCUAUGUAUUUUUCAUAUCAAUAGUCACCGUUGGGAUGAACAAUUGAUUGAAAAGUAUUUCAAUUUUAUAUUUGAAGAAUUUCAACAAAUAAAAUAUCUAAUAAUUAUACCCUCCGUAACGAGCAUCACUGUAUCAUGAAGUCAAGGUAUAUAUAUAAUUUUAUUAUUAAACUAACAAUGGAGCCCAUGGGAAAAAAGUUAUCUUGAAUUUUCCCUCACCCACUCAAUAUUUUAAAAUUUAUUUUUCCUUUUUAAAAUAUACAUAUUGUUAAUUGCAUGCUUCCUAUAAUAUUAUCUAGAUGAUAUCCAAUAUUAUUUAGCAUACGCAAAUUACAAGCAAUAUAACGAGAUUCAUAAUAUUUGAAUGACAUGUAUCAUUAUGCAUAGAGCGAUACUACCUAUUCUAUACGACAUGUUAUCAUCCAAAACAUAACAUAUAGAAAAAUAAUUAAAUAAUCGUAAUUCAUGGCUUUCCUAAAAUAAAAAAAAUACAUUAACCCUAAGCCUAAUCUUCAUUGGGCUUCUUGUCAAUGUCCAUCUUUUCAUGGGCUUGUCUUUGUUAAUGGACUUGGGGAAAUUGAGCUUUUAAAUUUAUUAUUGGUCCAAUUUUAAUUUUGAAAGGAAAUAAAUAAUUUUUUAAUAAUAAUUUUUUUAAUAAAAUUUUUUGACAAAAAUAAGUUUAAUGUGUUCAAUUUUAUCUAUGCAUUUUAAUCUAUUAAGCCCAAAUUUCAAUUGGGCCUAAAAUAUAGGAUUCAUUUAGUCCAAUUAUUUUUUAACUUAAAUGCAAAAAAUUGAACCUUUUCUGCCCAAAGAAAAAAUUAUGGAACCAUAGGGACCUCAAUUAUAAAAACCAUUGAAACGCUAAAUCCAUCUUUUUCUCUUCCUUUUUUUUUUCUAGCCACCAUCAACAAAAAGCUAACCGCUGGUCACAAUUUCCAGCCAUCUCCGACGCCGAGUUUGCUGCCGCCGUCACGUCGGAAACGCACCAAACGAUGCCUCCCUCGCGCUGCAGCAAACGGCGCUGGCUAGCGCUACACUAGAAUGAGUAGCGCGAGCGCUGCAGCUUCUGGUCAUGCAUGCUGCUGCUGGUGGCCGCGUUGCUUGCAGCGCACGCAGCUGGGCACGCGGGCUACGCCCACUGCUUGCUUCGUCUGUAGCAUGCGAUGGUUGCAUUGCAGAAAAUUCCAGUAAGUUUCUAGAAAGUUUUCGCAAGUUUCCGGCAGUUGUACGUGUGUUUCCAGCAGUCUUUUCGCAAGUUUCCAGUAAUUUACAAAUUUCCUACGGCUUACAAAACUAAAUCAAGAGAGAAAUAUGGUGAAAAUAAACCACUCCUCUUGUUACAGAUCCAAAGGACAAAUACAGCAGAGAAUCUAACCAUUAAUUAAGACUAACCAUAUUAUGCUUUAUUCAUAUAUUAAACAAAUAAUAUAUAUCUGAAUAAAUUGUGCCACUCUAAUACAUAAAUUUCAGGAUUGAUUUUAUACAAUAUUCUUAUAUAUUAAUAUGCGAUGGAUCUGGUACCAAUUGUUAGACAAAAAUCAGUUUUUAAAAUUUUAUAAAAAACUUUUAAGAUCGCUCUCAUACAAUAUAUAAGAAUUUGUAAUCUAGAAAUGGUACCUUGAAAAUCCGAUUUAGCUUUUUCCGCUGAAGUGAUUUAGGCUCCCAGAUCACGAUCCGUCACUACCACUCCUGUUAGAUCACAAUCUGCCACCAAAUAAUCUUUCAGACUAUGACUCAAGUUUGAUCUGCACUUAACAUGUGGGCGCCUUUAUCACUACUAAAGGAACUAGCGCGAGAAAAAUUUUCUCUCAACAAUAGAGAGAAAAAUCUUUUUCUCUAAUCUGUAUAAAGCGGCUGCUCUAUUUCUUUUGGGAGAAAAUAAACCCUUUUAUAUUUCUAUCUAGUGGAAACCCUAGGCUCCAUUUUUUAUAUUUUUUAAUUCUAUUAAAUCAAGUUUGAUUUAAAUUAAAAAUAUUAAACCAAAAGUAACGUUACUUCUUUCUUGUCAUAGGGACCCACCUUGUAAAAUAACACAAGGCCCCUUAGACACAAGUACAUUACAUGGAGCCUCCCACUAAAUGAUAUAUUUAGGCUUUUAACCCAAAUAGCUAGUUAUCUUGCUUAUUAAUUCAGUAGUGGUGCAGUCAAUUAAAUGAGCUAACCCGGGGUUCAUUUGAGAACGUAAAAUAAGAGCUACAAUAAUUAGGCAUGUAAUUAAACUAGCCCAAUUAUUUAAUUUCAAAUCUACUCCACUAAAAGAUUGGAACUGACCUCCAUAAUUGUAUGUUCGAAUAAUAAUUUGUCCUAAGCCACAUCGAUUUCUUUACUGCAUAAUCCUUUGUACCACAUCGUUAAUUAAAUCGAUAUCUCAAUUGUCCAAUCGAUUUAAUUACAUCUUAUUCCUUGAAACUUACUGGUUUUCUCUAAUGAUCAUUUUCAACAUACUAAAUAUGUUGACACACUCUGGCCAGAGAAUUCUAUGAUCAAGUGCCGAAAACCCAUCAAGAGAUGUGUUGUACAAAUUCUAUAUUGUUAAUCUAUAACUCCAAUACUCAUAAUUGCUCCCACCAAGAUACCGGGUAAUCUUGACCACAAUUGUGUGUCGUGCCCAUUGGUAACCCAAAUGGAAUAAUAAUUACAAUCAUGAAAUUAUAACUAACUCAAGAGUAAGAUUACAGUAAAAUCAAUGCCUAUGAGAUUUAAUAGGUCUGACAGUCAUUUCGAGGUUAAUUAAAUCUCAUAUGUGAUCCAGCUCAAUGUAGUCAAACUACAUCAGUAAAUUCAUACAUGAUUAAGACAAAUUAUUCAAUGAAUUUACUACAGUCUAAACAUAAAUAGAGCGCACAACUCUAUUUAUCAACUGCGAACUUAAUUUAUUUAAUCAUAAGAUAACUUGUAUUUAUGUUUUCUGUGAAUCCAUAUGAUGAUCACAUAAAUACAUAUAAUAUGAUUAAACGGACCUUAUUCAACAUAUUUAUGCAAUUGAAAAUAUCUCCAAUAUUUUAUUAAUCAAAAAGUAAAUUAAUAUUCUUUAAAAGAGCAGAUAAUCCCAACAGUCAGAUAAUCACAAUCACAUUGAUGCACAACUUUCUGGAGGCAAAUUUUGUCUAUAUGUACUCUAAAUUCAUCUAAACCAUACAUGCAUGAACGAAAUUAAACCGUAGUUCUCAUCACAACGGUAAUUGAAGCUACAAAAGCCAGCAAAUCCGAACAAAAACUUGAAAGGAAGAUCUUAUUUAAGUUUGUCCCCAAAAGACGUGUGAAAUGAAAAAUAUUGACUAUUGAAUGGGUCAAUGCUGAAUUACAUUUGAAAUGGAAAGCUUGGCUGCAGUUACGAUGUUUCCCCCCCUGACUUUCCUCCAAAACAAAUUCAGUAGUAAACAAUGACUGAAGUAUCAAUAAUUUAUUCAUCAAAGAAAAUACCCAAGAUUUCAACUGACAAAUCCUCUUGUCUAAUCUAAAAAAACUCAUAUCUUUCAAAUUUAUCUGCAAAAUGUUAGAAAUGUGGAGUGAUCUGUCAACUCGGUAAAUAAAUUCAUGCAUAAUGUUAACAAUAAUGAUAAAUUACAUAAUAAUUAUUAUGAUGUAUCAUAAAUUGAAAAUGCUAAUCAUUCUACAAUCUAUUAUAUAAGUAAGAUAAAUCUCAUAAUAAGUUAAGCUAUAAUGUAAUAAAUAUUUUCAAUAUAUAAUUAUUUAAUAAGUCAUUUAACAAUAAAAUAUUUUUUUAAAAUUUUUUAUUUUAUUUUUUCAGUUGAUCAUGUUAUAUAGCGCUAUCUAAACCCUUGACGACAUUAUUAUUACUCACUUUUCUCAAGAAAACAUGAUUAGCGUUUAAAGAAAAGUCAUGCCUUUUAUAAAGAAUAUGCAUACACGCUAUCCAUACUUUAUCUGGCCAUGACAAAAUUGAUGGUGAUUAAAUCAAUUUUUAAAAUAGAUUUAAUUUAUAAAUAUGAUGACUUUUGGCAGAAAUUAGUUUCGGAAGAUAUAGUGGUAGAAAAUAGUGAUGAUUAUUGUUUAAAUGUGUAAAUAGUUUAAGCAUAGCCCGUAAUACCAAUAUUCAUUUGCACCUUCAUUUGGAUUAUCAUAUUUUAUGAUGUUCUUUCAUUCAUAACCAUUGUUCAAAAUUUGGAUUUGAUCAUAAAACAAAGCUAAAAAAUAUUAGAGAUACUAACAAUUGAGUCCCAUUUUAAGUCCCAAUACAAUGUGUCAUUUCCCAAUGCUGUAUCAUUUUAGGUGAUGAAUUUCAGAAUUAAUAAUUAGUUCAGACUUAAAUUAAGAUUUAGUUAUUAAGAUAUCUAGCAUCACUCAAUCACAAUAAACAAUAACCAAUUCAAAUUGGAACGGAAUAUUGUAUUUUCUUUUAAUUAAUUAUGAUGCAUAAGCAAGUAUUUGUGCUUGGGUUUUUUACUUCUUGAUUUUGUUUGGAAAAAUUUAUGAGACAAAGAAGUGUUUUGGAUAAUUUUUUCGGGAUUGAAAAUUUGAAACCACAACUUGGUAGAAGAAAUUAGUUGUGAACAAUUUUUUCUUAUAUUGUAGGACCUUCUAGUUGGAGUAGUGAUGGCUUUGUCUUCAUUUUUGGUUCCAUUUGUGUCGGCAGCCCCUUACUAUUCUCUUGACCCUGAGUUUGAGAUGAAAAUUUAUCAACCUCCAACCCCACAUCCAAAAACAAGUUGAUUGAAACAAUUGCUCUUUAAAUUAAGCGGACCCAAAUGAGUUAGGUUUCAGUUCUUAUCAUUUGUCUAUUAUUUCUUUGAAACAUGUAUUUUGAGCAUUACUGAUCUUAAUUAUCUGUAUUUCUCCAAUUAUUGAAGAAUUUCAUGUGGCCACUUUUUCUCCUUUUAAAAUAUGUUUAUUUUUUGGAGUGAUCAAACGGGUGUAGAAUCAAGUAAUCGCUGGUCUGUAGUUUAGCCAAUGAUGGCUCAUCCACACAGUUGAAUAUAUGAUACAAUUAGCUCUUAUUUGAGAAUAUAAAGGGAUCUUUCUUAUUUGAGAAUAUAAAUUGCCUAGAAACGUUCAACUAUGUUACCCAGCUCCAUGCACAUACAUUAACUUGAUGUUGUCAUAUUCGACAUUUCAAUUAUGCAAGCAAUCUUCAGUGAACAUUACGUCUUUAUUGAAUAAUCUAAAUGGAUAGUAAAUCUAGAGUUUGUGAGUUUUAAUCUAAAUCAAAUCUAUUAUGACUCAAUGUAUCUUCCUGUAUUCGUACUAGUAAUGCAGGGGAUUAUUUACUCUUACUCAUAUUAGUGACUGAGAUGUUCACCUCCAUCCAAUUAGAGAAACAGUGACUGGAUUCCUAUAAGGGGACUCUUAACCAUAUUGUGAGACUACCAGUUCACCACUCAGACCAAAAAUCUUUGUAAUUAAAUCCAAAGGUGAAGAUCUAUGCUUAUUAUCUAUUUAACGGCUAAUAUAUAAUUAUUUAUUUAUUUAAAUAUCAAGAGCUAUGCUUGUAAAUAAGUUCAAAUGUGAUGAGCGCAGCCUCACAUCUGUAUAUUACUCAUCAACUCUAACCUUUUUUAACUUUAUAUACUUUUUUUUAAUGUUACUUACGCUUUUUUUUUUUUUGGCUUUUUCGUCUCUGAAAAAAAAAAAGGUAGGGGUUUAGACUUGAAAAUAUCUUAAAAAUCAAACAAUAAUUUACCCAAUUUUUUGAAGCGAACUGCCAAACAUGUUCUAUUAGACAGUGAUAAAGUAGUUAUAUACAUUAAAAACGAUAUUUUUUACAGAACGAGAUUAUCAUUCAACAUUUUAAAAUAUGAAAACAUGUGGAAGAUGUUGUAAAUUGAUUGAAUGAAAAUAUCCCAAUGAAGUUUAGAAAAUUUGGUACUUGUUAUCUUAUCGAAAGUUUUCUAAAUUAUAUGACUGUUUAAACUUAGCCCCUCCUGGUACUGCCACUGCUUCUACGUGAAAGUCAUAUAAGUUUGUGUUAGCUGCCUAUAGAUUGAAUAACAAUUUUACUCAGGAAUUGUAGUCCAUUAUAGCAAUUUGAUUGAAAGUGCGGCUGCACUAAUUUUCUGGAUGAACUUCCCUACAUGUUUGUUCUCAUAUGACCCAGAAUACUACUAUAACAAUUGUGUUGGAAAUUAUUCAACUGGGUUACUACUCUACAUCCCCACCAAAAUUUAAACAGUCGACAUUGUGGAAAGAAACUCAUUUCGCCACUAGGCUUUUAGUGAGGCUAAUUUCUCUGAAUUUGGACAGAGUAGAUUUCUAAGCUAAUGCUUGGCAGAUCUCUGGGCGAUACUACAAAUUGCAUGUACAAUGAGUCUUAAUAAAUAUAAACGAUUCUCUGAUAUGAUUCAAAACAUCACUACAUGCAUAAGUUAAUAAGAAACAAUAUCAUAAGAUUAUUUAUGUAUCACAAUUUGUAGUUGUACCCUCUGUAAUGAAAUUAAAGGUGCAAUCAGCAAGUGAAAUGAAGCGAGAAAUGUCCACGCAUGAGGCAGUUUUUCUAGAAGAUUGAUACCUCUUUAACGAGCAAAGCAUACCAAUCCAAAGCUAGCCAAACCACAACUGCUGGUCCAGGGCUUAAAUGGAGUACUUCUACGCAUUAAAUAGUAACUAAAACACAAACUAUAUAAAUAUAUACACACACCUACCAGAAAAUUCAAAAAAUAGAGAAAGGAGUACAACUAUUCCAGUUUGUAGACAAUAUUGCAAUCAUGGCAUCAGUUGUAGCAAAUCCUUGAAAUCUACUAAACAAAACAAUGCUCUGCCUCAUGAAUCAAUGUUGAAUUACAGUUGAAAUUAAAAGUCUAGAAGGUGUUGUUUCCCUCUUCGAUUUUGCCUACACAAGUAAAGGGAAAUAAGAAUCAUAAAUGAAAAUCAGCAUUUACAGUCAAAAGAGUUUUUUCAAAUUGGUUGAAAAAGAAAAGUGAGCCACAUGCAUUGCUUUUGUUUUUCAAAGUUGGCACCAAAAUUGCAAGUUGUAGAAUAUAUGACUUUUGACAAUCCUGCACCAAAUGAAGAAAAAUGAAAAAGGUUAGCAAAAUUUGUCAAAUUGACAGAUAGGAGAAUUGACAAAUUGCAAAGCGGAUGGUGCAAUAGUGCAACGUUUUUUGCUAUAAAUAGAGAUGCAUUCUUCAUUUGUAAAUCAUCCAAAAAAUGUUAAGCUUAUAAGUUUCUAAGCUUUUAAUAGAAGUGUGUCUGGAGAAUUUAUCUUUCUUGCAGAGUGUGAGAGUACUGGGUAUAUUUAGGUUUCUGGGAAAUGAGAUUCGUUACUCAAAUAUUUAUACUAUAUUAAUUGUUAAAUAAACAAUUAUUCUUUCUUGCCUCCGUGGAUGUAGGUUAAAUAAUUGACAAAUAUUUGUACUAUAUUAAUUGUUAAUUACCGAACCACGUUAAAUAAUUGUGUCAUUUUAUAAUUAUUUGGUGCACUUGAUUCUGCAUUCCGCGCACAACAUACAGUUCUAAUUAUUAGAUAGAUGUAGAAUGUUCUUUCUUUGUUUCUCUGCUGCAAUGUGCAAUCCCACUCUGUUUGGCUACUCAAAUCGAGUCUAUGUUGAGACAUAAUUUUGACAUUAGAAGCAACCGCAACUAGUUUGGCAUUUGUACGACCCUUUGAAGGUUUUCAAAUUAGGCAACUAAAGUAUGAGUCAUCAGAUAUGAUUAAAACUCACCCAAUUCAAUCCAUCAGAUUCCGUAAGGAUAUAAUUGGAUGUCAUAAGGCCACCCCAUAUCCUCAAAAGUCCGUAGCCGUUGUCUCAACUCUGUCUGAGGCCAAUGUAAGUCCAAUUUGCACAAGCUCUUUAUGCACCAUAGCUCCUCUGGAAGUUUUCUCAAGUAAGCACAUGGGUUGACAGUUAAGCUUUCAAGUUUUGGCAUUGCUCCAGCCCCCAUCGUCCACUCAUCUAGUUAUUACGGACUAUUGAAUUUUGAGCCUCUCUAAUUUAUUUCUACUGCAUAGCGUUUCAAUAAGAAAAAUAAACAUAGGCUUCUUAUUACAGACCAACUCUGCCAACAUUCGAACUGUCCGUGGUUGGCCCAACCCAUGGCAGUUCCAGCUUAAGGUACUCAUUGCUCUCGGUGGGCCUGGAAUACAGGUCCCACCGCUAGCCCCUUUUUUGGAUUCACCACCAUAUAACUCACAUCCACCUCUGCACUCCAGCCCCAUAUCAGCCCUUCUUCUUUUAGCUUCCUUUAACACUAGCUCUUUCUCCCCAGACCUUUCAACUGCUUGAGUAAGGUCCAGCCCAUUUUCAAAUGAACCACUUCUUUGCCCUUAUCAAUCCGUUGACUGCUAGUGGCCUGAACAACUGGCAAUGCUUGUAAACUCAUUAUAUUUUCCAUAGAAUCCCGCCCAUCACUCCCUAUAUUGUUGGAAAAUUUCGUAUUAUUGGAAAUUCCUGAUUUGGAGGCAUUCAUCUCAUUAACCACGGUACCACUUGAGGAAUCAGUAAAAUUUCCAGAAUUAGCCACACUUGCUUCUGGCAGUUCCGAGCGUAGCCACCUUUCACUGGAGGACAUGGCAUUCCGACGAGUUGGAGCCUUCAUCUCUGGCCCAUAUGACCUUGUAAUAUCAGCAGCAUCGCAAUCAUACAACUUCGGACAAAGUUUUUCUGAAUGCCCAAGGAGUCCACAGAUGAAACAAAAAGUAUUUAACCGUUCAUAUUUGAAUUCAACCCAGAACCAAUCUCCUCCCUCCUUCUUUAGUCGCAAUCUUCGCUUCAGAGGUUUCCUGACAUCAAUGGAUACCCUUAUGCGCAUAUAGUUUCUCCACACUCCCAUGAGAUUAUUAGGAUCUGAAGAUUGAAACUCACCAAUAUAGUUACCAAUAUUUAUCAACACUUUCUCCGAAAGAAACCCAAUGGGUAAAUUGUACACUUGAAUCCAGAACGAAGUGUGGAAUAAAGGAACCCUAUGCGGCUGUUCAUUCUCCCCCAACCUCUUUAAAAUUAGAAUAUGUUGGUCGAAGGUCCAUGGUCCCGAAUCAAUAACACGCUUGAGGUCAACUUCAUGGAAGAAUUGGAACAAGAAAAGAGAAGGUGAUAAAUCUUUGAUGCACACUCCCUUCCCUGGACGCCAUAAUGCCGCCAUAGUAUUCUUCAUUGCCGGAAAGUUUAUCACCUUAUCAGUUAAAAACCGCCCCACCAAGUAGAAUCUAAAAUCAGUCAACCCUGCAUUUCCAGUGGCAAUAUCCUCGCUGUGGAAGACAAGACCAUCCUCAUCUUCCUCCCCAAUAGAAAACUUAUCAUAUGCGACAUUCAUCUCAUGCUCCCCUGAAUCUCUAUUGGUCGUCAUAGUACUCGUAAUAAGCAAGAAGUAUACCUAUCUAGCCGGAAGUACCCUAGAGCAAACUUGUCAGAAGGACAAGACAAACAAAGCUUGCCGGAAGUACCCUAGAACCUAGUUGUUUGCAUUAAAAAUGAUAUUUUUUGUGGUGUUUAUAAUGAGGUUAAUUAUAAUUCAACAAUUUAAAAUAUGAAAACAUAUGGAAGAUGGCCGUAUUUAAAUUGAUUGUAUGAAAGUAUUUCAAUGAAAUUCUAAAAAUUUGGUUCUUGUUAUCUUAUCGAAAGUUUUUUAAAUUAUAUUACUACUUGAACUUAACUCCUGCAUUGACUGCUUCUACUUAAAAGCCAUUCAAGUUUGUGUAAGCUACCUAUAGUUUGAACAACAAUUUACUCAUGAAUUGUUGUUCAUGACAGCAAUUUGAUUGAAAGUGGGGCUGCACUAAUUUUCUAGAUGAUUUUUUUCCUACAUGCUUGUUCUCAUAUGAUCCAAAAUCCUGCUACAUCAGUUGUAUUAGAAAUUACUCAUGUGGGCUACAAUUCUGCAUCCCCACCAAUAUUUAAGCAAUCUACAGAAACAUUUCUUGAGGAAAGAAACUCAUAUCGGCACUAGGCUUUCAACGAGGCUAAUUUUUAUGAAUCUGGAUAGCAUAAGAUAUCUCUCCGAUACACGUACUACAAAGUGUAUGUACGUUGACUCUCAAUAAAUACAAACGAUUCUCUGAUAUGAUUAAAAACAUCAGUGCAUGCAUCAUUUUAAUGAGAAAGAAUAUUCUAAGAACGAAAUUGAACGUGCAAUCAGCAACUAAAAUGAAGCCAGAAACAGAAAUGUACACGCAUGAGGAAGUUUUCUUAGAAGAUUGACAUUUCUUUGACUAGCAAACCAUACAAGUCCAAAGCUAGCCAAAACAUACCUGCAAGUCCGGGGCUUAAAUGGAGUACUUCUAAGCAUAACACAUUAAUCAAAACACGAUACACACACACACACAUACAUACCAGCAAAUUCAAAAUAGAAAAAGGAGUGCAACUGUUCAAGUUUGUAGAAAACAUUGCAACCAUGGCAUAUAUUAUAGCAAAUCCUUGAAAUCUGCUAAAUAAAACAAUGCCCUGUCUCAUGAAUCAAAGCCGAAUUAAAAUUUAAAUUGAAAGUCCGGCUGGUGUUGUUUCCUUCUCCAGUUUUGCCCACAUAAGUGAAGGGAAAUGAGAAUCAUAAACUAAAAUGUUCUUUUACAGUUCUUAUUAGAUAGAUAUAAAGGGAUCUUUCUUUGUUUCUCUGCUGCAAUUUGUGGCUAUCCCACUCUGUUUUGCCACUCAAGCUUAGUCUACGUUGAGACAUAAUUUUGACAUCAGAAGCAACCUCAAUUAGUUUGGCAUUUUUAUGACCUCCUUGUACGUUUUACGAUAAACAUAAAUCUACUGAGAAAGUGGGAAAAAAAAGAAAAUGCAUAUAAAAGUAUGAGUUAUCAGAUAUGAUUAAAACUCACCCAAUUCAAUCCAUCAGAUUCCGUAAGGAUAUAACUGGAUGUCAUACCGCCACUCCAUAUCCUCGAAAGUCCAUAGUCUUUGUCUGAACACUGUCUGAGGCCAAUGUAAAUCCAAUUUGCGCAAGCUCUUUAUGCACCACAGCUCUUCUAGAAGCUUUCUCAAGUAAGCACAUGGGUUGACAGUUAAGCUUUCAAGUUUUGGCAUUGCUCCAGCCCCCAUCGUCCACUCAUCUAGCCAAUACAUUGAUUUCAGGUGCAAAACCUUAAGCUCCGGAAAGCCACCAGAGCCAACACAGGACAGCUUUCUUCCUAAAUACGAGUUCUGCUUCAGUUUAAGUACUUGAAGGCAUGGAAGCUUUUCUAGCGUUGGCAUGGGAUCCUCCUUUAGCUCAGUAUUUGAUAAGCUCAGAUGGGUCAGACUUGGAGGAAACUGGUAUUCAGACAGGACCAUUCGUGAGGGCUUCCUUUCAUUCACCAGUUUCAAGCAUUCAAGUUUGUGGAGUUCGCAUAGGCUUUUGGAAACCCCAGAAUGAUAGCAACUCAAAUCUCCACAUAUCCGAAGAGUUUGAACAUUAGGUAGUCUGCCCAAAAUAUCUGGAGUACAACUAUUAGGGUUUAAGGCCGAUAUGAAAAUGAGAUUUUUCAGAGAGCUAGAACCAAAGUUUAGAUGCAUGAGUUUUUCCAUCUUCCAAAUAUCCUUUGGUGUUUGAUCUACGUAGCUAGAUGGCAUUUCUAGUGUCUGAAGGUUUAAAAGGGUGCAUAGCAGGGAAGGAAGACAUUUGAGUGAUGGGAUAUUCAAUUUCAAAUACUUCAAAUGGAAUAAAUUCUCUAAUCCGGGUGGAUAUUGGUCGAGAACUGCAAAACCCAUGUUCAAUACCCGAAGGUGUUUGAACUUUUUCCAAAAAUUCUCGCAAUCUGUCAGAGCAAGAUGUUCGCUUUUCCAAAAUGAGGUACCGUUUAGCAGUUCCCAGUGAUAUCUCUUCCAAGUUGGAGUACAGUCUAACAAAUCCCAUCUUUUCUGCCACCCAACGUAAAGCAGCAUAUACAUAACUUGGAACGUAACACGCUUUAAUUGUGCCGCCGGCUCUUAUCUUACCCACUUGAAUGAAUCCGCUAUUGCUUAAUUCUUUCAAGUACUCUUCAACCAUUCUCUAACUGUUGUAAUUGCCCGGUAUCAAACCUUCAGCUAUCCACAACUGACAUAAUUGCCUGGUAGAUAUCUCAAUGCUUGGAGGGAAGACACACAAAUAGAUGCAGCAGACUUUCAAGUGAAAAGGCAGCUCCCACACAGAAUGAAUUUGACUCAAAAUUGUCGGAAUCGCUUUCUGUCCAAUAUAAUUUUCUAAUGGCGUAUUUCCAUAGUCUAGGAUGAAAAAUUGCCAGGCUUCAUACUUUAUUCUAAUCAAUGGUCCUCCAACGAGAACUGAAUCAGGCUGGAUCUUUUCUCCGUUUUGCAAUUCGAACCAAAAAAGCGUUAUCAGUACUCUGCUUCCAUUCUGAUUAUCAGGAAGAAAUUCUACAAGAUCACUCCAUAUCUCACUGUCAUCAAGCACAAUAAAGUACUUCUUGUCUGUUAGGUAAUCUCGAAGAAUAGAUUUCUUCAAUUGAUAAUCUUCACCGAUAAUUACACUAACCCGAGAUGGAGGCAUCACAGAGUUGAUUAUGUCAUCCAAUAUCUUGCCAAAAUCGUAGGCUAUAGAAACCCUGACCCAAGC
rnacentral:lncRNA from 1 species